rnacentral:lncRNA from 1 species
UUGUUGCAAUCUGUUCUUUUGCACUCGCUGUAGCUUAUUAAAAGACAGGAAAUGGAAUUUAGCUAGAAGUGGCAAAAUAUGUAGAAACUUCAACCACGAUUCAUAUAUUAAUAUGACAUGAGUUCACAUCUCACAAAAUAAAAUGAUGAGUUCACAUCCUGAGUUCAUAGAUAAAAAUAAACACUUCUUCUUCGGUACAACCUUCUGGGCACAUCAACGGUCCAGAUUAAAAGAUACCCCUUCGUGAGGAUAAGUGAGGAGGGUAGGAUGGGAAAUUCUAGUGGGCGCGGCGUCCACCGGCGUAGUUAGGCGCGUGGCCAUACGGCCCGCUGUACGCCCGUAUGUGGGCGGUGUACGCCGCGUGAGGAGGAGGGCGGGCCCACGCAUACUUAAGCCUAACCACAGCCGCGCUAAACCCCGAUUAAUUCGGCGUGGAUUAGGCGAAGCCAUUAACGCCGGCGCAGUGGCACGUCCCGUCGCCGGCGUCGGUCCACGGGCGGUGCAGAUUCACACGCCAUCGACUGACCGCCUGCCGCGCGCCUGCGCACGCCACCGCUUGACUGCCCGCGCACGCCGCCCCCUCGCCUACCAGGCAUUAAUCGCCGGCGCCGAUUCUCACGCCGCCGCCUGAGCUUCUGCGCCCUUGACCGCCCAGCGCACGCCGCCCGCUCGACUGCCCGGCAUUAAUCGCCGGCACCCGCCCCCCCUCCCGACGCCCUAUAAAAAGCGCCUCGCGCCGCCGUCGCUCGCACACCGCUCUCGCCUCCCCUCUCCUUCUCCCCCUGUCGCCGGCGUCACCCCUCUCGCGCCCUUCCUCUCCCUCUCGCCGACGAUGGCGCGCCCCAACCUGACGCUCGAGGAGGCGGAGGAGCUCGCCCACUUCGUCAUCCCCGCCGGGCCCGACGUGCGCCUGCCGGCGAGGUGGCGCCUGAGCGUUGAUGGCGUGCCGGUGGCGCCGGUGCCCGAUGUCGGCACCCACCUCUUCGCCCGCGCCGUCGGCAUCUAUCGGGCGCGGCUGUCACCGGAGGAGUUGGAGGACCCGCGCUACGCCCCCAACAACCCCGGGUGGGCGGAGCGGCUCGCCGACGACCACGAGCGGAGCCUCCACACCUACGCCGGCCCGCGGCCGCCCGUCAAGCACAACCGCGCGCGGCGGCACCAACUCUGGGACGGGCGCACCUUCGAGGAGGUCAUCGCGCCGUACCGCGCGCAGGCGAUCGCCGGCGCCGUGCCCGCCCCGCCGGGGUACGGCUACGAGCUGUUCCGCCGUGGUGAGGCGCGCUCCACCUGCGCCCGCAUCGACUUCUGCGUGAUGCACCAGCGCGCGCCACGCGGCGGCCCAGGUAGUGACUGCGGCGCUGUCCGCCUCGGCCCCGGCGAUCGCCGCACCGUGGGCAGGAACGGUGCCGGGUCCAGCCGCGCCCCUCCGCCCGAGCCGGAGCAACCUCCAGACCCGGCAUUGGUGGCGGAGUACAGGCGGCUGGCGGCGGAGGCCGGCGACCCGCAGGACAUGCCGGGGUACCUGACGGCGGUCCGGGAGUCGGAGAACAUGCCGCAGCCGCCCCCGCUCGUCCAGGAGUACAUGCAGCUCGCCCCGGUCGCCGUCCACCCGGAGGACCCGCCGGACUUCCCCGGGUAUCACGCCGCGGUCGAGGACUCGAUGGCCGCGCCCGCGGCGCCCGUGGUACCCCUCGACAACGACAGCAGCAGCAACGACAGUGAUGACGGCGACGGGCUCUAUGACGAGGCAGACUUCGGCGGCGUCGAGGACGAGUAGUUUAGUUUAGGUUACUUUCAGAAUGUUGUUUAGUAAUGUUUAAUUAUUUUCAUAAUGUUGUUUAGUUAAGUUUAAUUUCUAGUACUAUGUAAAAUAUUUAUGAAAACUAUAAUGAAAUAUUGAGUGUUUGAAUGGAUGGUUUUAAAGUAUUGUUUAAGAAUCGAGUGUUUGAAUUGAUACUGUUAUUUGAAAUUAUUUAAUUGUACAAAAUUAUUGUAAAAAAUUUAAAAACAGAAAAGAGUUAAACUUUAAAUGUAAAAAAAGUAUGAAAAUUAGGAAAGGAAAUAAAAAACGAAACAAAGGGGAAAAACAAAUAAUAUUAGCAAAAAAAAUAAAAAUAUUUUUUUUGUUUUAAAAAGAGUUCUGUUGUAAAAAUUGAAAAAUCAGAAAAGAAUUAAACUUGAAUUGAAGAAAACUAUGAAAAUUAGAAAAGUAAAUAAAAAACGAAACAAUAAAAAAAUUACAUAAUAUUAGCAAAACAAAUUAGAAGAAUUUUUGUUUUUUUUAAAGACCGCCAGCCCGGAGCCGAGCGAGGCGUAGUAAGUCUGUCCCGAUCAAGCCGACGGCGAAAGGGACCGCUUGUCGACCCUGCAAGGCCCACGGGCCCAACCAGCCGGCGAAGAAAGAGUAGGCAAGAUAUUGUUUUUUAGGAGUACGGUGGGGUAGGGCGGGGCGUGUUAUUUAAGCCGGUGCGGGCGCGCUUCGGCGGGCGAGGUGGGACUAAAAUUAGACCUCGCCUCCCGCGGCGCUGCGCGGAUCGCCGAGGUGGGCCGAUUUUGGUGGGCCGAGUGGGCCGCCUGGAAGGCAUGCGCUCGAGCGGUCCAGGGCGCAGGGAUGGUGUGCGGUACGGUGGAGGCGCACUUUUUAGUCCCACCUCGCCCGCCGAAGGACGCCCCGACCGGCUUAAAUAGGCGGAUUCAUGCAUCCUGGCAGAUAAGAUAGUUAGUAAUAAUUUGAUUUGACUUUGCACUGCCAGGGCAGCUCUCCCGCAGCUGCCCGAACAAUGUAACACUAUCCGGGCAGCUGCGAGAGUUCUGCUAGCGCAUUGUAAACUCAGAUCAUAUCAUUAGUAUCUAUCUUAUUUUUGAUAGUUUACCACUGUACGCAAGUUUGUUUCACCUCACUUAAAUUACAUCAUUAAUACCUAAUUUUUUUAAAUAUUUGUCACACCUGAUUUAAAUCACAUUAUUAGUACUUGAACGGUCUUCGGAGAACGAGGUCAAUUUUUUUGACAUCUUCAAAAUGGGCUGAAAUUUUGCAAGUGAGUUGGUAUGCCCACUCCCACACUGAAUCCAAAAAUUGAUCGUAUUUCGAUACCAAAAGCACGUUGCGUCACGUCCGGUCAGUUAUUUAGGUGUUUUCACUGAAAAAUUAUAGAAAAUUCAUAAAGUGGCAAAAAGCCACGAAACUUGUCAUGCAUCCUAGUCAUGAUGGUAGAACACUAUGAAAAAAAUUUGGGUUCAUUAGAAGGAUGUCGAAAAAAAACUCCUAUUCGGACGAGGCCUUUGCUCCUACGCGAACGGUCUACGGAGAAGGAGGUCANNNNNNNNNNNNNNNNNNNNNNNNNNNNNNNNNNNNNNNNNNNNNNNNNNNNNNNNNNNNNNNNNNNNNNNNNNNNNNNNNNNNNNNNNNNNNNNNNNNNNNNNNNNNNNNNNNNNNNNNNNNNNNNNNNNNNNNNNNNNNNNNNNNNNNNNNNNNNNNNNNNNNNNNNNNNNNNNNNNNNNNNNNNNNNNNNNNNNNNNNNNNNNNNNNNNNNNNNNNNNNNNNNNNNNNNNCAUCCGGUCAGUGUUUUAGGUGUUUUCAUCGAAAAAAUUAUAAAAAAUUCAUAAAGUGGCAAAAAGCCACGAAACUUGUCAUGCAUCCUAGUCAUGAUGGUAGAACACUAUGGAAAAAAAUUGGGUUCAUUUGAAGCAUGUCGAAAAAAAACUCCUUUUCGGACGAGGCCUUUGCUCCUACCCGAACGAUAUACGGAGAACGAGAUCAAUUUUUUGACAUCUUCAGAAUGGCCUGAAAUUUUGCAUGUGAGUUAGUAUGCCCACUCCCACACUGAAUCCAAAAAUUGAUCAUAUUUCGAUACCAAAAGCACGUUGCGUCACGUCCGGUAAAUAUUUUACGUGUUUUCACCGAAUAAAUUAUAGAAAAUUCAUGAAGUGGCAAAAAGCCACGAAACUUGUCAUGCAUCCUACUCAUGAUGGUACAACACUAUAGAAAAAAUUUGGGUUCAUUUGAAGGACGUCGAAAAAAAACUCCUUUUCGGACUGUCUACGGAGAAUGAGGUCAAUUUUUUGACAUCUUUAGAAUGGCCUGAAAUUUUGCAUGUGAGUUAGUAUGCCCACUCCCACACUGAAUCCAAAAAUUGAUCGUAUUCGAUACCAAAAGCUUGUUGCGGGCCCUCCGGUCAGUGUUUUAGGUGUUUUCACCGAAAAAAUUAAAGAAAAUUCAUAAAGUGGCAAAAAGCGACGACACUUGUCAUGCAUCCUAGUCAUGAUGGUAGAACACUAUGGAAAAAAAUUGGGUUCAUUUGAAGGAUGUUGAAAAAAACUCCUUUUCGGACAGGGCCUUUGCUCCUACUCGAACGGUCUACGGAGAACGAGAUCAAUUUUUUGACAUCUGCCGAAUGGCCUGAAUUUUUGCAUGUGAGUUAGAAUGGUCUUAUUCAUUAAUGGAUAAUAAAAUUGCCAUAAUAUUAAUGAGUUUUUUGUUAUAAUUUAUAAGUAAAAGUAACAAGUGUUUUGUUAUAAUUGUUUAUGAGUUUUUCUUUAAUUGCUAACAUUUUUGAGUUUAUUAAAAAAUAAUUUGGAAAUCACCCUUAAUAAUUGUACAUAUAUGCAAAGUUAGUAAUGUAAUGUGCAAAGUUUAGUACUGUCAUAUGCAUUUUGUUAUCACUUAAAAAAUAUUCAAUAAUUAUAAAGAAACAAUAUUGAAUAUAGAAUAUUAUUUGUUAAAAAGUGCGGGGGGACAAAAUGAUACAAACAAAUAAGAUAGCUAGUUAAUAAAGUGAUUUGACUUUACAUAACUGCCCGGGCGACUGCCUGCCCGGGCAGUUAUGUAAGGCCAAAUCUCUUUAUUAUUAGCUAUUUUAUCUAACAAAGAGCACAAACGCGGCUAUAUAAAGCGGUCGUGGUGUCGUUCGGCAGGCGAGGUGGGACUAAACUUUAGUCCUGACCCCGCCGACCCUGCCCCCGCACCGCCGCACAGUGAAUGGGCCGGCCAACGCGCCCUGUCGAGGACCUUUUUUUGUUCAAAAAUAGUAUUAUCUUUUUUAGUUAUUUAUGCCUUUCGUUAUCGUUUAAUAAAUGGUUUAUAAUUAAUGAAAAACCCUACGUAAUAUAGAAUUGUUAACUAGAUUUAUUAUAUUUAUGUAAUGUUCAUUAUUUAGUUUAUAAGUAAGAAUAAUGAGUGGUUUAUUAUAAUUUAUAGGUAAAAAUAAUGAGUUUUUUGUUAUAAUUUUUUAUGAGUUUUUCGUUAAUGCCUAACAUUUUUCAGUUUAUUAAAAAAAAUGAGUUUUUUGCUAUAUUAGAAACACUACUUAAUAUAGAAUUUAUUAAGUAGUUAUAUUAAAAACACUACUUAAUAUAGAAUUUAUUUAGUAUUUAAAUUAUACAUAUGAAAACUUUACUAUUGUUAUUUGUGUCAACAAUGAUAAUGAGUUUUUUUUUAUAAUUUUGGGAGGCAGUGGGCAUGCAUGAAAUUUCACCCAAUUUUGGGAGGCAGUGGGCAUGCUCAUCGUAGGACCCCACGCAAGAUUUGAACGAAUUCGGGCACCAAAAGCACGUUGCAUCACGCCCGGUCAGUGUUUUCGGUGCGUUUCACGAAGAAGACCCUACGAAAUUCGUACGGUGUCAGAAAAUUAUUGAAUCUUGCAGGCUUGAUGGCCCUGGUCAAGAAACCCUAUUGAAAUUUGAAGGAUGUAAAAGAAAAACCCUCCGUCGGGACGUAUAAAAAAAUCUUCAGGCGCGUAUAGUCAUACCUUACAACACUUAUACAGGUCAUGCUAUAUUAGUCCACAAUAAUUCUGGAGUGACAGAGCAGAACCAGCAUAAACAUAGUGAGGUAUGGCCACCAUGAUUAAAGAUUUGAUGUUGUAUACGGAUGAAGCUAUUUAAACACGUUAUUAGUCAUGAAAACUAGCAAUGUGGGACUAAAAAUACAACACUAUGGGCGGUUGGCGCCCCUAGCGGCGCACACACGGCCGGCCGCCCACCAUGGCCCGUGCGCGCUGUGGGCCGCCCCCGCGCGCCUUUUAUGGCCAUUGUAGGCGAACUUUUAAUAAAGAAAUUUAUAGCCACUGUACGGUGUCCUAUAAUGCAAUAAUUUUUAUUAUUUUUGUAAAUAUAAAAAAAUUGUGUCCGAAGAGCACUGUAUUUGUAAAUAUUAAAAAACACAAGAAAAAAAUCCUGUAGUGCGGACGGAUUUACCUCAGAAAAUUAAUUUGAAUUUUUGCUGUGACACUCCAUGAUUAUGGAGUGCCAGAGCAUCAUUCACAUUAUCCUACUGAGGAAAGACCGCCACAUUAAAGGAUUCAACACUGUACGCAGAGGACAAUAUUUAAACAGAUGAAUAAGCGUGUCCAAAAGCAAUGUGGGACUAAACAAUUAGCAGUUUGGGCGGUGGCCGCCGUGGAUUUUUGCUUUCAUGGGCACUCACGUGUGCGCCGCAAACGGCGCCCAAGUGGCCGCCGUGGGUCGCCUUCGUAGCCCGACAGUUUGCGCCGCGCGCGCCGGUUGUGAAAAAAAUCUUAAAUCGUUGCACUUUUUGUGUUUUUCAUGCACUAAUUCAUAUAAAAAAUCUAAUGUCGAAACGCACCUAACUUUUGCAUGCGCGUGUGAGUGACCCCCACCGUCUCCCACGCCAAAUUUCAACGGAAUCGGAGUACGAACGGAAGUUGCGUCACGUCGGGAGACCUUUUCUGGGUAUUUUCACGGAGAAAAUCGUGGUAAAUGCAUCGAGUGUCGAAACACACCGAAAUUUUGCAGGCGUGCUUGUGUGGCACACUGUAGCGUGUGAAAAAAUAUGGUGACGUUUCAUGACUUUGCGAAAGGGAACACCUAGUGGAUGCCCGUCCCCCCAAACCGAUANNNNNNNNNNNNNNNNNNNNNNNNNNNNNNNNNNNNNNNNNNNNNNNNNNNNNNNNNNNNNNNNNNNNNNNNNNNNNNNNNNNNNNNNNNNNNNNNNNNNNNNNNNNNNNNNNNNNNNNNNNNNNNNNNNNNNNNNNNNNNNNNNNNNNNNNNNNNNNNNNNNNNNNNNNNNNNNNNNNNNNNNNNNNNNNNNNNNNNNNNNNNNNNNNNNNNNNNNNNNNNNNNNNNNNNNNNNNNNNNNNNNNNNNNNNNNNNNNNNNNNNNNNNNNNNNNNNNNNNNNNNNNNNNNNNNNNNNNNNNNNNNNNNNNNNNNNNNNNNNNNNNNNNNNNNNNNNNNNNNNNNNNNNNNNNNNNNNNNNNNNNNNNNNNNNNNNNNNNNNNNNNNNNNNNNNNNNNNNNNNNNNNNNNNNNNNNNNNNNNNNNNNNNNNNNNNNNNNNNNNNNNNNNNNNNNNNNNNNNNNNNNNNNNNNNNNNNNNNNNNNNNNNNNNNNNNNNNNNNNNNNNNNNNNNNNNNNNNNNNNNNNNNNNNNNNNNNNNNNNNNNNNNNNNNNNNNNNNNNNNNNNNNNNNNNNNNNNNNNNNNNNNNNNNNNNNNNNNNNNNNNNNNNNNNNNNNNNNNNNNNNNNNNNNNNNNNNNNNNNNNNNNNNNNNNNNNNNNNNNNNNNNNNNNNNNNNNNNNNNNNNNNNNNNNNNNNNNNNNNNNNNNNNNNNNNNNNNNNNNNNNNNNNNNNNNNNNNNNNNNNNNNNNNNNNNNNNNNNNNNNNNNNNNNNNNNNNNNNNNNNUGAUUUUGCGAAAGGGAACACCUAGUGGAUGCCCGUCCCCCCAAACCGAUACCUGAGGUUUGUACUGCGACUACAUGUCAACAUGGACGAAACGCACCCAACUUUUGCAUGCGCGUGUGAGUAACCCCCACCGCCUCCCACGCCAAAUUUGAACGGAAUCAGAGUACGAACGGAAGUUGCGUCACGUCGGGAGACCUUUUUUAGGUAUUUUCAUGGAGAAAAUCGUAGUAAAUGCAUCAAGUGUCGAAACACACCGAAAUUUUGCAGGCGUGCUUGUGUGGCACAUUGUAGCGUGUGAAAAAAAGGUGACGUUUCAUGAAAACAUAAAAAAUAAAUAAAUAAAUAAUAUAAAAAAUCCCGUAGUGUGGAUGGAUUUACUUAAGAAGAUUAAUGUAAAUUAUUGCUGUGACACUCCAUGAUUUUGGAGUGCCAGAGCAUAAUAUACAAUAACCUACUUAAGUAAGACCACCACAAUCAGGGACUUAACAUUGCAGGCAGAGGAAGGUAUUUAAACAGGUGAAUAAGCAUGACGAGAAGCAAUGUGGGACUAAAGGAUUAGCAUGUUGGGCGGUGGCCGCCGUCGCAUGGAUAGGUUGGGCGGUACCGGGCCUGGCCCAGUUGAUGCUGGGAAACGGUUUUUCCUCUCCAUCGUCGUAUACCGCCGCGCACGGCGGAACCCUACCCAACCCCACCACUCGCCCCCGUACGCCGCCCCGUGCCCCGACGUCGCCCUAUCACGAUCGCCCCACACUGCCCCACGCGCGCACAACACCGUCCACGCGCGCGCAACGCCGUCCAACGCCGUCCACUGUCAAUGGCGCACGUUGCCGCAUUGGUUGUUAGGGCGCCUCACGGCCGACGACGCAUCUCGCCAUCGUUCGGCUGCCUACUUUCCCUCUGCCACAGCCGCUGCUCGGCGGCUAUCGCCCGGAUCAAGGUCACAUUUUCCCGGCUUGUACAAUUUUUUCUAGUGCUAUUGUGUAAUUAUAUUUAUUAGUAGGAAAAAAUUUUGACAUGCAAUAUGGACAUCGAUGGUGUGAUUCCAUGUUCCAUAGAGAAGUGGAUAAGUCUCUUGACAAAUUAACAACUGCUCAGCGAUUUAGGUUCUAAGAAACAAACUUGCAAGAGAUAUUGAUCAUUCCGUCAGUACAAAUGAGAGAUUUUUUGCUGCAUUUUAUGAUUCUGGGUUAUAACCCAAACAGCAAAAAAUUCAUGAUACAAGAAGAAACUGGCAGUAAAGGCCUUAUUUCACUUAGACCGGACGACGUGUUUUCAAUAUUUGGGUUUAAGAAUGAAGGUGAGGGUGUUUUUGGCAUUCUUGCGACGAAAGGAAAAGAGUUAAUAAAGAAAAUUCCUAUUCAGUACGUUCACAAAAAAAAGGUCAGAUAAUGAUAGAUGACUUGAUCCAAAAAAUUGUGAGGAAUAAAUCCGCCGACGAUGAGUCUCUUCGGAUGGCUGUUCUUGUUUUUUUGGGACUAUUAUUGCACCGAUGUCGGCUGUCUCCAUACCAAAGGAGUACUACGCGUUGGUCCAUGACGUGAAGCGGAUAAGCUCGUUGAACUUUAACAUGUUCACUUUGCGAACUUGUUUGACGGAGAUUGGUAAACUCAAGCAGGACGGCCGUGUGAGGCAAUGGCCAUGUGGCAACCUAGCCCUACUCCACGUAUGGUAUUAAUUAAUGCUAUUUAAUAUUUCUUGAUGUUAUGCUUUCGUAAUUUAUUUUGUCAUUUGUUUUGUAGUACUUAUAUCGGGAGAAGGUGCAGCCAACCACCGGCCCGAAAAAUGACCCGUUGUCGUUGCAAAUUCCCCUAAUGAAAAACUGGACUGAAUCUAAAGCGGAGAAACGAGACAAGUACGACCUGGACAAUGGUCGUGGUUCUGGAUUGGUAAUAUUGUAAUAUUUAUUUAACAAUACGUUGAUUAUCCAUCGUAAAUGUUAUGUACUUAUGUUUUCAUUGCAUACUCACUUUGCAGAUAGAUGACUUCAUUACAAAAGAGUAUAGAAUGAAAAAACUUGCACAUGAACAUGCUGAAAGCAGUAAGAAACCUACUAGCCGAAAGUCAUCCGUUACGGGAAAGAGAAAAGUGGAUUGCGUGUCCGAGGUCCCUGUUAACCUAAAGCCUUUUAUGGACCGGGUAAUGAAUGAUAUGAAGGAAAUUCGUAAGGAAUUGUUUCGUAUGCCGGAGUUAUGCGCACAGGUAAAAAUUUAGCAAUUAUGGUAUGCACUCUAUUAAAUUCGUUAAAUUGACAAAAAGAUAUAACAUGUUACUGUGCUUACUUUUGCAGAGAUUGUUAGAGAAAAUGAAUAAAACAGGUGUGCGGUACAAACCAGGUACAAUGGCAGAGGAGGAAGAAAAUCUGUAUGGAUAGAAUAGUGAGUCCAGGCAUGAAAACAAGUAUCCUAAUAAAGAAUUUCAGUAUGAUGACAUACACACACCUAAUGGCCGAAAUGGCAGUGGGCAUUAUGAUUUGGAUUCUGAAGGAGGGGAUUCGUUCAAACUCAGUACUGGUCACUUGAGUAGCUAUAAAGGUGAGAAGGAUGAUCCUAUAGAUGUCCCAGAGCAGUCAAAAAAAAAGAAGCAUCAUCUUUAAACACAGAAGAAAUAGAAGCAACAAGAUGGGGAGUGGAACAAAAUGAGCAAGAAGUGUCGCAGGGCAUGUCCGAUGGUAAUAGCGAGAUAGAAGAGAAGAAGGAGGUGAUUUCAGGGAAGCGAAAGCGGAGUAAGUCAAAGUACCAGAAAUCUCCUUAUGUUAAAAAGACACCAAAAAAACGUGCGAAACGUUCCGCGAAAGCGAAUAAGUUAAAGACGGUAUGAAUAUUUAUUUCAUAAUUAUAUAUUAAAAAUUUAUACUAUAACUUUAUUUACUUGUGUUGUAGAACUGUUUAAUGAAACAAGUCCUCAGUUAGAUCAUUCUGUGGAUGAUAUGGUGCGUGCGGCUGUGCAGUACGUCAAAGCGUACGAGCACUCACCAAAACAUAAGAACCAUGAAAUAUUCAACAACGUACAGAUGAAGAAUAUCUGCGGCAAGAGCUUGCCAGAUACUUAACCAUGCAUGGUUAUCCGAUGAUGUAUGUACUUUUAUUGUCAUGCUUAUUUCAUGUGCUAAGUAUAUUGCAUCCAUGUUAAAUUUACUCAUCCAUUUCAGGUAAUUGACGCUUAUGCGACGUACAUAUCGGAUUCAACUAUUGCCAAGGACAGGUAUCUUGUACCCACACAUAGGUCUUAUUGGUUAUUGAACACUCGCCCAAAGAUAGUAAAACGAGGGAAGUCGGUGGACGAUCCGGAAGGUUUAGCACAUGCAAAUGAACCUCUCAACAGAUGCAUGGCAGAAUAUUUUGCAAAAUCUAAGGUACCGUUUGUAUUGCAGAAUUGUUUUUACAUUACUGUCAUAUGUGAAAGGCGAGCUUAGUAACAAUAUUUAAAUUGUGAAAUAGGCUUAUUUUGCUUUAAAUAAGGAUAAAAACCACUGGAUUACAUGUGUUAUGCACACUCGAAAGAAAGAGUUCCAAAUUAUUGAUUCUUUGAGGGGGGGAAGAAAAUAUCUCUGAAGCUACCAGGAAAUUCGUUGAAAAUUUUGUAAGUUUCGUAUUCAUGUGUGUACAAUUAACCAUAUAAAUAGUUUACCGUAUGUAGUCAACGUGUUUGUAUUUUUUUAUUUUCAGAGAGAGCAACUUGCAGGAGAUAUCCAAGAUGCAAAUGAUAGUGCAAUUAUGUCGUUCCCGGAUGUGUCCGCAUGGCCUAUAGUCCGGUACGACAUGCCUCAACAAGAAGAUGGGUGAGUUACAUGUUGCACAUGCUUUCGAAAUACAUUAAUUAAUUCAGUGCUAUCUUACUUAACGUGCUUUGAAAAUUGCACUUCUGAUUUUCGAACACAGAAACUCAUGUGGGCUGUUCCUCCUUUGCUGUUUUUAAUACUGGGACGGAGAAAAUUUUAUAAGUGCUAUUUCUCAGGUGGGUACAUUUUUAGUAUGAAAAAAUAUUACAUCGUACUAUAAGUGAUGAAAUUAAAAUCAUUUUUAUUGUUUUUCAGGAAUCUAUUGAUAGUUCGAGAGAAAGAAUGAUAGCUGGAAUUAUUUUGUUCCCAGAAAAUAAGCUUACAGAAGUGAAGAACAAAGUAAUUCGACUUGGAAAGUGGAAACAAAAAUGAAAAUCUCAUACGAGAAUUCUACGUGGAUUUCGAAACAUUAUGUGUGGAUGAUUGAGGAUUGUGUGUGGAUGCUUUAUUUUUUUUAUGUGAGUUCCAAACAUUUUUCACAUGUCCAGAUUAUGUAGCCCGACAAAUUUAUUUAACGUACAUUUUAAUCAUUUGAUAUUUUGAAAUUUAUUUUAUAUCUUAUGUGCGCGAAUGUAUAAGGUUGGGGCUUUAAAAUACCCAGUUGAUAUAUAAUGAUCACGUAUCAGAGGCGAUCGUCGCCCGCGCCACAGGAGGCGAGCGUCGCCCGUGCCACAGGAGGCGAGCGUCGCCCGCGCCGCGCCUCACGUGCUCGCCUCGAGCGGCUCAGACAGCGGCACGUGUUCGGCGCGAGAUGGCCCACGUGGGGGCGCAUCGUCUGGCCAGCCGGCCCGCGCCGCGCGUUGCUCCAGGGUUGGCCUGUGCCACGCCCGAGGUUGAUUCCCCCUCGGCCCACCUGCGCCCCUCUGCGCCCGAGGGCGGUGCAGCCUCGGGAUCGUCAUCUGCGGCGGCACCUGAAGCAUCCUCGUACGUAGCGCCCCUUGGCGCCCGAGGGCUGUCAACGUUUUUUUUAAAGCAACCGACGGCUGUACAACGCCUCCGAUCGCCGAACAUCCAUGUUUUAUACACAAAAUCAUAUAUUUCUAUAAAAAUAAUGUAUACAUCACAUAUUGUAUUAAAGACAAUGCCUGUAGUGCCAAGAAAUAUAUAUUAUAAAGUAAAAAGUGUAUGUCGCAUAUCAUAUUAAGAACACCGAGUAUAGUGACAACAGAUAUGACAUAAGUAAACAGCGAUUACAAGUCUCCCGUAUCGAUGUACCGAAACAAAUAUAUAAGUAGUAUUCUUUAAUACAACCAAAUAAAUCGUCAACUCUAUUCAGAAUUUGUUCCACUUAUUCAAACAAUCUGUGCUAUGAUCAUCAUGCCAUGUUCCUGCAUAGAAAGAUCGUAAUAUAUGUCAAAAUUUUGUAAACAAGAAAAGAACGUUAAAAAAGUGUGCACAUACUUAGGAUUCUGAGGACAAUUGUUCUUGAAAUGACCUUUUAUUCUGCAUAAACCGCAUAGGCGUACAGGAGGUUUCUCAUUGAAAUCUUUAGGUCUACCAUUUUUAGUCACGCCGGUUCCUUACCACGGCCUUUGUUAUUCUGCCCUUUGGUGCUCCUUUCGUAUUGACUUUCUCUGGAUCACCAACAAAAACAUGAUCUUGAUCCGGCACAAAAGCAUCGUCAUGUGCAACCUUAUGCUGUCUCACAUAAUCUUCCUCCUCAACAUCCUUGUUUGCUAUCACAUCCUCCAGAGCAGCCUUCAGUUUGUCAAAUAGGAAUGGUCUAUGACAUGCCGCAUGAUUUGCUUCCGCAGACAAAAUAGUCAACUCACUGUACUUAGUUCUCUCCUCAAUACCUGCCCAUCCCCAUGCGAAGAGAUCACUAGUGCGUUUCACGGGCAGUCCACCUCUAGCAUUCUUGGUGAAUCUUCGCAGCACUAAGCACUUAGGUAAGUCCUUCACGUUCAACCUUGCCAAAACAUAAAGAACAUGCUUGCAUGGGAGACCUUUACGUUUCAUACUAUCACAACUACACUUUAUUGUUUCUUCUGAGUUAGUAGGUGCGUAGUCCACUUCGAAUCUCAGUUGCCUGUUAUUUUUCCAUGCCACUACGAAUCUCUGACUGACAGCUCCACUGAGUCUAUCUAUGAUCUCAAGAUCUGUUGCCUUCUUCAUUUCUUUCCGCAAGAGGUAAAAGUUCACCGCAGUGAAGUCACGGGCAGCGGCUUUCUCAAUGCAUUUGAACUCCUCGAGUACUGGUACAGGAAGUGUCUGUGUGGACAUGCAGUCGUCGUAUGACUCGUUCUCACGGAGCCGAACAAUGCAGUUCUCAUAAUGCACAACCAUAUCAACAAUUGUUAUGCCAGAGUCAAGAUGCAUAUGAAGGCAAGAGUUCAGACUCUCGCUCCUCUGGUUACUCCACAUACCAAGGAAGAACCCACCGGUGAGAUAUGAUGCAGCCCAAAGCCUUUUCUUCCUGUACAUCCUACGCAACCAUGUUUCAGUUUUCUCCGACUCCCAUUUAGCUUUAAAAGCUGCCCAUGUUGCCUCAAACUCAUCAUGUGUAGUAGCAUAUAUAGUAAAUAAGAGACCUGAACUCCUUAAGGGACUUGUUUUGGAGGUGUUUCUGCAUGUUUUUCUCUAUAUGCCACGAACAAAGUUGAUGCCACACGUCAGUAAGGACCUUCCUGAUGGCCCUCAUCAUGGCUGCGUCUCCGUCAGUAAUUACAGACCUCGGCUCCUUCUGACAAUGAUCUCUCAAGAAGGUCUGCAACACCCAAACAUAUGUAUCCUCCGUAUCAUCUGACACAACAGCACAACCGAACACAGUGGUGCAACGAUGAUUGUUUAGACCAACAAAAGGUAUGAAUGGCAUUCCAUACCUAUUCAUCUAGUAAGUGCUGUCGAAGACGAUUACAUCACCAAAGUCAAGGUAAUCCCGACGUGACUGGGAAUCACACCAGAACAUGUUCUUCAGCUUGCCUUCUGCGUCAACUGUGUGCUCAAAGAAAAAGUCUGGAUCCCUUGCCUUUCUCGUCAUCAUGAUACCAAUCGCAGUGUCCGCAUCACCCUUUGCUAGCAACUUCAUUUUCUCCCUAUAACACAUGUUAUAAAGCUUCCUCCUCCCGAAACCAGCCCGUACAUAUGAUCCAUACCUACUAACGAAGUUAUCAUAAAUCCAAUGUUUUCUGAGCCCAGCACCUGCCAUUGCUAAGAUCUCGAGCUUCUGUAUUCCUUUAUUUGAUUAUGAGACCGAAGAUAUAUAACUUCAUCCGGUCUAGCAAGAGUGUGACUAUGAUCAUCGCUGAAACUGCUGACAUACCAAAUGGAGCGCUCUCUAUCAAGCUUCAUAGUCAGAUGGGCCACGCAAUAGCACCGAGUCUCCGCUCUCAGCCUGCCCUUGAACAGAGAAACCUCCUCAAGCGCCUACGUGCGUUACCCUUUGCAUAUUUCAAGUUGUCCCUCCUAAUGCUGAAGCCACGCUUUUUCGCAUAGUCGUUAUAGAAAUCAUAUGCCUCCUCGUCUGUCCUGAACGUCGUGGACAUCACCGUCCAAUGCCUGUCCAGUGAUUCUUGCUGGUAUUCAUCGUACCCAGUGUCAAAAUUGUACUCAUCACCAUCGGCAUUAUCAUCGUUUUCGCACGCGCCAUCAACCUCUCCCUGAAAAAAAAUACAAACAAACUUAUAUGUCAGUAAGUAGUUGUAUAAGGACUAUCAUAUGUAUUCACUUUGCACUACUUACUUUGCUCGAGCUAUCAAUAUAAGAUGCAUCGAUAUCAUUUUGGUCGUUGGGAUCAUCGAAAAAAUUCCACUCAUAGUACCCUUCCACUUCCAUCUGCGCAAAUUUUAAAUAUGAUAUGUAAGACUUCAUGCGUUUUUCAUGUCACUUUAAAAUAACCUGCAUAAUUUUAAACCUACAUGGCUUCCGCUUUUAGCAUAUGAAUCAUCUACAUCCAUAUCCUCAUUGUCAUCAUCCCCUCCUACCUGUGCAAAGUCAAACAAGUACAUGUUAUCAUCGUGGAUGCUUGUAUUUAAUAUGCUUGACAACAUGCAGACCACUUACAUUGCCACUGUAAGACUUAUCCAAACUCAUAUAAUUUUCGCCGUCAUGUUCGUCUUCAUCCAAUGACAAUGAUUCGUCCUCGCUACCGCCAUCAUCACCGUCAUAUCCUAUUUCCGCCUCCAUCUAUACAUGUUCAUUUGUAAUCAAAGAUCCGUUCGAACAUCACGUAACAUCUUCGCAAAUAAAAUCCGUUUUUAAAUCACUAUGCCAGCGGCUCGCGUACCUCGUUGCCUUUGUCAGACAUGACAAUACUGUUGAGAUUCGCCGGAGGCUCGAGGGAGAACAGCUCCGAGCUGAUGGCCGCGGAGGCGUCUGCCCGACCGAGGCGGUUGUCGGCGUCUAGUCACGCACAACGCGAGGGAGAAUAGCACGCCGAGCUGACGCCGGCGGCGCCGUCUGCCCCACGUAGGCGGUUGUCGGCGUCUAGUAUUUUUCCGUCGGCCAGGUACUGCCGGAGAUGGCGGCGGCGGCGCGAGAGGCGACGUGAAGAUAGGGUUCGCUGAUCGUUUUUUUUUCACUCGAACCACACGGGCGUAUGCAGCGGGGCGGGCGUGCUUGCGGGCGGGCGUACACCGGGCGCGGGCGCGGACGGGCGGGCGUACGCGACAGCGCCAUACGGCGACAUGAGCGCGCGUACGGCGGGCGGGCAUUUUCAUACAAGCGUGUGAAAUGACCGCCCUACCCCUUAUACGUUUUGGGAGGGGGGUUGUACCGAAGCGCAUCUCAGAAAUAAAAUGAGUUCACAGCUGAAAAUGAUGAGUUCGGUGUGGGAAGGAAAGAGCCAAGCGCUGACGCAACUACGUCGAUGCAACAGCAGGCGCUGGUCNNNNNNNNNNNNNNNNNNNNNNNNNNNNNNNNNNNNNNNNNNNNNNNNNNNNNNNNNNNNNNNNNNNNNNNNNNNNNNNNNNNNNNNNNNNNNNNNNNNNNNNNNNNNNNNNNNNNNNNNNNNNNNNNNNNNNNNNNNNNNNNNNNNNNNNNNNNNNNNNNNNNNNNNNNNNNNNNNNNNNNNNNNNNNNNNNNNNNNNNNNNNNNNNNNNNNNNNNNNNNNNNNNNNNNNNNNNNNNNNNNNNNNNNNNNNNNNNNNNNNNNNNNNNNNNNNNNNNNNNNNNNNNNNNNNNNNNNNNNNNNNNNNNNNNNNNNNNNNNNNNNNNNNNNNNNNNNNNNCCGUUCCCUCCCUCGCCGACGCCUUCCGUGUUGCCUCUGCGUUGACACGGAUCUGCGCGCUCGGCUCCUUCUCCUCGCGUGUCUGCAGAUUCGCAGGGCCAGGGUUCCCCCUCCCCUUCAUAUACGAGGCGUUCCAGGAGGUGCUUCACCCGAUCCAGUCGGUGCCGGAGGCGGAGCUGCUGGCGACAAGGGAACGAAGAUGGAUGAAUGAUAAUCUCGAAGUGCAGGGAAUCAUCGUAGCAAUUUCCAAAGGUGCAAGUGAUACGUAUGGAGUGUCGAACCCACAAGGAGCUAAAGGUAAGAUCAAUAUUCUCUCAAGCCCUAUCUGCCACGGAUACGACUCUACGUGCACCGAACGUUUGCUUCCAACUAGAAACGAGAAAUAAAACUACGUUGUGGGUAUGAAGAGGAUAACUUUGCAUGGUAUCGGAGAGCUAAAAUAUAAAAGUAGGUGCUGUUAUCAUAAAGUUAGAAUAUAAUACUAAAUAUUAUAAAUAGCGAGUGUGGAAUAAUGAUGGAUCGGUGUGCGGAAUUGUCCUAGGCAAUUGUUAACAAGACCGGUAGUCGUCAUUGCAAUUUCAUAUGAGGGACAGGCAUAAGCUAACAUAAUUUCUCUUCUUGGAUCAUAUGCACUUAUGAUUGGAACUCUAGAAAGCAUCCGCAACUACUAAAGAUCAUUAAGGUAAAACCCAACCAUAGCAUUAAAGCAUCAAGUCCUCUUUAUCCCAUACACAACAACCCCCUUACUCGGGUUUAUGCUUCUGUCACUCAAGCAACCCACUAUAAGCGAAUCAUAAACGUAUUGCAACACCCUACAGCGGGAAUCCCUCAUGCUUGCGCGACACGGAGGGCACAAUAGGACAACACCAAAAUAAAACAUACAACUCGUACCAAUCUAGAUCAUCCAUCAACCCAAAGACAAAGGAUAUCUACUCAAAACAUCAUAAGAUGGCAACACAUCAUUGGAUCAUAAUAUGUGGCAUAAAGCACCAUGUUCAAGUAGGGAUUACAGCGGGGUGCGGGAGAGUGGACCGCGUAAAAGAGAUGAGGAUGGUGAUGAUGAUGGUGAUGUUGAUGAACACGAUCACCGCGGUGAUGAUUCCCCUCCCGAUGGCACUCCGGGGCCACCGAGAGAGAGGAGGAGACGUUAUCCCCCUUGUGCUUCCUCCUCCAUGGCCUCCCCCCUAGAUGGGGAGAGGCUCUCCCUCUGGUCCUUGGCCUUCAUGGCGAUGAUGGCCCCUCCGAGAUCCUCCUCCAUGGCCUUCGGUGAUGAUGGCCCCCUCCGGCAGGGUGCCAGAGAGGGCCUAGAUUGAUUUCUCGUGGUUACAGAGGCUUGCGGCGGCGGAACUUCCGAUCUAGGUUAUUUUCUGGGCGUUUCUGUAUUUAUAGGAAUUUUUGGCGUUGGUUUCACGUCAGGGGGGUCUCCGAGUCGUCCACGAGGUAGGGGCCCAUGCCCAGGGGGGUGGGCGCGCCCCCCACCCUCGUGGACAGCCCGGGACUCUUCUGGCCCAACUCUUUUGCUCCAGGGGCUUCUUUUGGUCCAUAAAAAAUCAACAAAAAUUGGCACGUCAAUUGGACUCCGUCUGGUAUUCCUUUUCUGUAGAACUCAAAAACAAGGAAAAAAAACAGAAACUGGCACUGGGCUCUAGGUUAAUAGGUUAGUCCCAAAAAUCAUAUAAAAUAGCAUAUAAAUGCAUAUAAAACAUCUAAGAUGGAUAAUAUAAUAGCAUGAAUACUUCAUAAAUUAUAGAUACGUUGGAGAUGUAUCAGCAUCCCCAAGCUUAAUUCCUGCUCGUCCUUGAGUAGGUAAAUGAUAAAAGAAAUAAUUUGUGAAGUGUGAAUGCUAGCAGGUGCACAAGUUUGAUCAAUGAUAAUUUCAAUCACCUUUUCUAGCAUCAUUAUAUGUCAUAACAGUAGCUCAUCUCAUAAAACUUUUCAUGAUCAAGUAACAAACUAUUCACAUGUUAAAGUAUAGAUCAUAAACUUUCUUGAAAACUAACAAACAGUGCUCUUAGUCAUCAAACAAUUGCAAUUCAUCUUAUUUUCAGGAAGGGUCUAUGUCAGAGCUUUGAUUUAGCAAACUCCACAUACUCAACUAUCAUUUAAUCUUUCGCAAUUGCUAAUACUCACGUGAUAUUUAUGGGUUCAAAGUUUUAAUCGGACACAGAGAAAGAUAGGGGCUUAUAGAUUCGCCUCCCAACCUUUUACCUCAAGGGUAAUGUCAACAAUAAUAGUUCAUGAUAACUUACAUCCAAUUGGAUAUAUAUAUAUCAGGAUCUUUCCAACACAAUGUGCUUGCCAAAGGAUAAAAUGUAAAAAGAAAAGGUUAAGAUCACCAUGACUCUUGCAUAAGGUAGAAGAUAAAAGUAAAAGAUAGGCCCUUCGCAGAGGGAAGCAGAGGUUGUCAUGUGCUUUUAAGGUUGGAUGCACAAAAUCUUAAUGCAAAAAGAACGUCACUUUAUAUUGCUUCUUGUGAUAGAGACCUUUAUUAUGCAGUCCGUCGCUUUUAUUUCUUCCCUAUCACAAGUUCGUAUAAAGCUUAUUUUCUUCGCACUAAUAGAUCAUACAUAUUUAAGGAGCAAUUUUUAUUGCAUGCACCUAUGACAACUUACUUGAAGGAUCUUACUCAAUCCUUAGGUAGGUAUGGUGGACUCUCAUGGCAAAACUGGUUUAAGGGAUGUUCGGAAGCACAAGUAGUAUCUCUACUUGGUGCAAAGAAUUUGGCAAGCAUGAGAGGGAAAGGCAAGCUCAGCAUGUUGGAUGAUCCGUGACAAUAUACUUUAUUUCGGAUAUAAGAAAACAUAACCCAUUACGUUGUCUUCCUUGUCCAACAUCAUCCUUUUAGCAUGUCAUAUUUUAAUGAGUGCUCACAAUUACAAAAGAUGUCCAAGAUAGUAUAUUUAUAUGUGAAAUCUCUCUUCCUUCAAUAUUCUUUCAUGAAUUGUUCAAGUGACCAAUUCUAUGUUCGCUAACUUUCAUUAAGUUUACUAGCUAUACUUAUUCUGUGUGAAGUCAUUACUCCCCUUGGUAUAAGCAUAUGAAACAUUUAUAAGUUCAGAUUUAUGAUAUUCAAUUCAUUCAACCAUUUACUCAUAGGAUAUACUUGAAGCACGUGAGUAAAUGACAAACUACCCCAAAAAGAUAUAAGUGAAGAACACUGAGUAGUCAAAUAAUUAACUAGCCAUGGGAGGAUUCUUUUUCAUUCAAGAUUUCAGAUCCAACGAUUUUAUUCAAACAGCAAGUAAAAUUGAAAAUACGCUCCAAGCAAAACACAUAUCAUGUGACGAAUAAAAAUAUAGCUCCGAGUAAGGUAUACCGAUAGUUCUGAAGACGAAAGAGGGGAUGCCUUCCGGGGCAUCCCCAAGCUUAGGCACUUGAGUCUUCCUUGAGUAUUACCUUGGGGUGCCUUGGGCAUCCCCAAGCUUAGUGUCUUUCCACUCCUUAUUCUCCUCAUAUCGAUAUCUCACCCAAAGCUUGAAAACUUCAAUCACACAAAACUUAACGGAACUUCGUGAGAUAGGUUAGUAUGAUAAAGUGUAAACCAUUCACUUUGGUACUGUCAAAGACAAGGUUCAUAAUUUUUAUCACACAAUGCCUACUGUACCAUAUCAUUUCUACAACUUAUAUUGAGAAAUAUAAGCCAUAGAAACUAUAAAACAAGCAAACUAUGCAAUGAAAACAGAAUCUGUCAGAAACAGAAUGGUCUGUAAUGAUCUGAACAUAAACCAUACUUAUGCUACUCCAAAAAUUAUGAAAUAAAUUGGUGGACGUGAGGAAUUUUUCUAUUAAUCUUCUGCAAAAAGAAUCAACUCAAAAGCACUCUUCUGUAAAAAAAUGGUAGCUAAUCCCGUGAGCGCAAAGUUUCUGUUUUUUACAGCAAGAUCACAUUAACUUUCACCCAAGUCUUCCCAAAGGUCUUACUUGGCACUUUAUUGAAACAAAAGCUAUAAAACAUGAUUACUACAGUAGCUUAAUCAUGUAAACACACAAAAACAGUAAGGGUAAAUAUGGGUUGUCUCCCAACAACCGCUUUUCUUUAAUGCCUUUUAGCUAGGCAUGAUGAUUUCAAUGAUGCUCACAUAAAAGAUAAGAAUUGAAACAUAAAGAGAGCAUCAUGAAGAAUAUGACUAGCACAUUUGAAUCUAACCCACUUCCCAUGCCUAGGGAUUUUUUGAGCACAUAAUUUAUAGGAACAAGAAUCAACUAGCAUAGGAAGGCAAAACAAGUAUAACUUCAAAACUUUAAGCACAUAGAGAGGAAACUUGGUAUUAUUGCAACUCCUACAAGAAUAUAUUCCUCCCUCAUAAUAAUUUUCAGUAGCAUCAUGAAUGAAUUCAACAAUAUAACCAUCACACAAAGCAUUCUUUUCAUGAUCUAGAAGCAUAGAAAUUUUUCUACUCUCCACAUAAGAAAAAUUCUUCUCAUUCGGAAUAGUGGGAUCACUAAUUCCUAAAGUUGACACUCUUCCAAACCCACUUUAGAUGAUAAUAUUAUUCAUACUCCAAAAGAUAUAAGUGAAGUUCAUGGAGCAUUCUAAGAUUAAUAUAGACUAACCAAUAUCCAAGCUCAAAAUGUAUAAGUGAAGCACAAGAAGCAUUCUAUAAAACCAUACUCAAAAGAUGUAAGUGAAGCACAAAGGGCAAUUCUAUAAGAUCAUACUUAAAAGAUAUAAGUGAAGCACAUGAAGUAUUCUAUAAAUUGAUGAAGGGACAUCUCAUACUAGAAUGGUUCUUAAAGGAAAAACAAAAACACAAAGGACACAAAUCAUGUGAACAAAACAAAAACCGAGGUAUACCGAUAUUUGUUGAAGAAGAAAGAUGGGAUGCCAACCGGGGCAUCCCCAAGCUUAGAUGCUUGAGUAUCCUUUGAAAUAUUUUCUUGGGGUGCCUUGGGCAUCCCCAAGAUUGAACUCUUGCCUCUCUUUAUUCUUCUCAUAUUGAUAGUUCCCCGAUCUUCGAACACUUCAUCCACACAAAACUUUAACAAAAACUUUGUGAGAUCCGUUAGUGUAAUAAAGCAAACUACCACUUUAAGGUACUGUAAUGAACUCAUUCUUUAUUUAUAUUGGUGUUAAACCUACUGUAUUACAACUUCUUUAUGGUUCAUACCCUCCGAUACUAGCCAUAGAUUCAUCAAAAUAAGCAAACAACACGCGAAAAACAGAAUCUGUCAAAAACAGGACAGUCUGUAGUAAUAUGGAAGUUUAGUAAACUUCUGUAACUCCCAAAAUUAUGAAAUAAAUUUGAAAAUUUGAAAAAUUAGUACAGAAGUAAUGUUCAAAAUCUUUCAGACCCAUUUGACCUUCCAGUAAAAAAAUGUAAAAUCACGCACUACAGCCAAAGUUUCUGUUUUUGUUCUGCACAUAGUAAACAAGAAAUCUAAUCAUCCUAAAACCAAAGCUUGGCUCAUUAUUUUUGUAAUACAAUGGAUAUAUACAAGGGGAUAAUUAUUUACAGAGAAACUUCCAUGAAAAAUUCUACAUUGUUUCCGUGAGCAUGAACACAAGUGCUCAAGGUCGAUCCUCACUUCUUCAAUGCAUAACUUUCCAAUCACUUCUCUUUUUGAAAAACAUUUUAGGCAUGAGAGGCAAGUAAUUUUUUUUGUAUUUUCAUUCUUUAACUUUUUUGUAUGUUUCACCCACAACUAAACAGAAACAAAAAGGAAAAAAAUAUACUUAGUGAAGAAAGCAAACAAGCACACAGGAGAAUAUCAACCCCACGCUAUUGCUCCCCAGCAACGGCGCCAGAAAAGAGCUUGAUAAUCCCCAAGUGCAGGGAAUCAUCGUAGCAAUUUCCAAAGGUGGAAGUGAUAAGUAUGGAGUGUCGAACCCACAAGGAGCUAAAGGUAAGAUCAAUAUUCUCUCAAGCCCUAUCUGCCACUGAUACGACUCUACGUGCACCGAACGUUUGCUUCCAACUAGAAACGAGAAAUAAAACUACGUUGUGGGUAUGAAGAGGAUAACUUUGCAUGGUAUCGGAGAGCUAAAAUAUAAAAGUAGGUGCUGUUAUCAUAAAGUUAGAAUAUAAUACUAAAUAUUAUAAAUAGCGAGUGUGGAAUAAUGAUGGAUCGGUGUGCGGAAUUGUCCUAGGCAAUUGUUAACAAGACCGGUAGUCGUCAUUGCAAUUUCAUAUGAGGGACAGGCAUAAGCUAACAUAAUUUCUCUUCUUGGAUCAUAUGCACUUAUGAUUGGAACUCUAGAAAGCAUCCGCAACUACUAAAGAUCAUUAAGGUAAAACCCAACCAUAGCAUUAAAGCAUCAAGUCCUCUUUAUCCCAUACACAACAACCCCCUUACUCGGGUUUAUGCUUCUGUCACUCAAGCAACCCACUAUAAGCGAAUCAUAAACGUAUUGCAACACCCUACAGCGGGAAUCCCUCAUGCUUGCGCGACACGGAGGGCACAAUAGGACAGCACCAAAAUAAAACAUACAACUCGUACCAAUCUAGAUCAUCAAUCAACCCAAAGACAAAGGAUAUCUACUCAAAACAUCAUAAGAUGGCAACACAUCAUUGGAUCAUAAUAUGUGGCAUAAAGCACCAUGUUCAAGUAGGGAUUACAGCGGGGUGCGGGAGAGUGGACCGCGUAAAAGAGAUGAGGAUGGUGAUGAUGAUGGUGAUGUUGAUGAACACGAUCACCGCGGUGAUGAUUCCCCUCCCGAUGGCACUCCGGGGCCACCGAGAGAGAGGAGGAGAGGUUCUCCCCCUUGUGCUUCCUCCUCCAUGGCCUGCCCCCUAGAUGGGGAGAGGUUCUACCUCUGGUCCUUGGCCUUCAUGGCGAUGAUGGCCCCUCCGAGAUCCUCCUCCAUGGCUUCCGGUGAUGAUGGCCCCCUCCGGCAGGGUGCCAGAGAGGGCCUAGAUUGAUUUCUCGUGGUUACAGAGGCUUGCGGCGGCGGAACUUCUAGGUUAUUUUCUGGGGGUUUCUGUAUUUAUAGGAAUUUUUGGCGUUGGUUUCACGUCAGGGAGGUCUCCGAGUCGUCCACGAGGCAGGGGCCCACGCCCAGGGGGGUGGGCGCACCCCCACCCAUGUGGACAGCCCGGGACUCUUCUGGCCCAACUCUUUUGCUCCAGGGGCUUCUUUUGGUACAUAAAGAAUCAACAAAAAUUGGCAUGUCAAUUGGACUCCAUUUGGUAUUCCUUUUCUGUAAAACUCAAAAGCAAGGAAAAAACAGAAACUGGCACUGGGCUCUAGGUUAAUAGGUUAGUCCCAAAAAUCAUAUAAAAUAGCAUAUAAAUGCAUAUAAAACAUCUAAGAUGGAUAAUAUAAUAGCAUGAAUACUUCAUAAAUUAUAGAUACGUUGGAGACGUAUCAAUGAAGAGGGCAUAGAGGAUCAACAAUGAUUCCUUCUCGUGGUUGGAAUGCGAGAGGGAAUGGAGGGAAGCGAAGGCGGUAGCAGAGGCGGAAUCGGAUCCGAUACUCAGAUCCAGAAGAGAGAGGUAUGUUCAAACUUGGCGGAUCCAGGCAGACUGAGAGAUGAAGAAUUUUGCAAGAAGGAUUCACUUUGAAGGUACCGCGGAGGAGAGAGCGCAGAUGCUGCCUUUCCCACUCUCACCGUCGGUGGACUUCAUUCAUUGGGCGAGGGGAGAGGGGAUAUUCAGCGAUCUGAGGAGGAAAGGGAGGUGGAUUUGUCUCGUGGGACUGUGUCCAGCAAGCGUUCCACCGCUGCCGGAACCAGUGGAUCCUCUGCAAUACUUGUCGCCAGCAAUUUGAAUUCCUCUGCAGUUUCAGUCUGUGACAGAAGAGAGGAGGAUGAGCUUGAUGAACAGACGGUUAGAAUUUGACCCCCGUGGAUGUAGGAAAAAUGAUGAAGCUGGAUAUGCUGAUUGCUUAGUUGGAUCUCGACCUGGAGGCAGAUUCUGGGCGUUGGAGCAAAUUGAAGAAGAUGGUGAAAAAUGUUCAGCGGAGAGUGAAGCUGGACAGAGUCCAUAUAUAGCGACUUUAGCUGAUGCUUUUGCUUGUGCUAAGAGGGAAUCGAAGAAGAAAAUCAAAGGCAAGCAGAAGAGGGACAAAUUAUGCAAAUUGGGUGUUGUUGACCGCAUUUCAGAGAAGAUUGUGGCUCCUGUAUUUAGUUAUGUAAAUGUUCCUCCUUGUCGUAAAUCCAGGCAUGUGCUUCCUGUUGAGUGUGAUUCAGUUACUAAGGAUUGCUGGUACCAAAUUGUUGGUGGUAAGCCAGUUGAUGUGGGUGUGGGUUUUGAGCCGAAUUGUAUGCAGAUGGGACAUGACGGGAGAGGUCAUUAUCUACCAGCACGCAGCUUGGUUGAUGCGCCGCUCUCCACACGGUCGCCAACACGCCCGGAGGGUGAAUUUGGAGAUGAUUUAGAGUUCAGGUUUUUUUCCUGUUUUGAUUCAAACUAUGCAUCGGAAUGGGCCGGUUGGUGGUGGGCUGGGUCAGAAAUAUGGGUGCAUAUUGGAGCCCAAAAAGGGGAGUGGGGUGCUACAACUUGGUCAAAGAUAGGUCGUUAACCCUAAUCACUUUUUGCACUCUAGGAUUUCCCAUUUGUGGUGCCCGUCCUCGGCCACCGCCACUCGUGAUAGGUAGAUCCGGGAGGAAAGAUGGAUGGGCAUUUUGGUUCUGGGCGUGUAAAUGGAGGGAGGGAUGGUGGAGGUGGUGGAAGCUGGAGACCAAAUCAAGGUUAUGGGAGAGAAUUCCAAUUUGACAAAUACGAUCAAGGUCCUUAGGUCCGACCCCGACCGUCGUUUCAAAAUUUCCAAGGUAACCAGCACUAGAACUUCCCGCGUAGAGAGCCAGGAUACGGGGAUUGGGGACAAGAUGGUGGCAAUCGAGGUAUGUAUCAGUACCCUCGUCGGCCGCCACUGCAAAACACUAAUCUACCCCUACUACUAGCAAAAAAACAACAGAAGAUGAGUACAACCACUAUCAGUGGUGGAGGAGGGGGUAGCGAUGUUCAGACUUCCAAGCCUAAUUCCGCUGGGGCAGUGGUGGCAGGGAAUCAAAGCUCGAGGGUGAUUUCUGAUAGCAAUGUUUCUUCUAUGGACAAGGUUAUCUGUCAUAAGUGUGGUGAGAAAGGUCAUAACUCUAAAGGAUGUGAGGCAAAAGUAAAGUGUGUGAUCUAUACUAAGGAUUCUCAUGUACUUGAAUUUUGUGCUUGGCUUCAUCAGAAAAAACUUGUGGCUACUCUGGUUGGUUUUGGUGGGGAGGGGCUUGGAUUGUUUGUGGCAGAGCAUGCAAAGGAGAUUUCCAGUGCUAAUAAAAAUGAAGUUGUGGCUUUGGUGAGACUGAGGGAGGGAUGUGAUUUAGAAGUGGAUGCUGACAUGUUAAUUAAAAGCUUGGCCGAAACUUAUCCAUGGAGGUGGGACUUGAAAGCUAGAAAAGUUUCUGAAGGAGUUUUUUUGGCAAACUUUCCUUGAGCUACUAGAAUUGAUGAAGUUGCUAUAUAUGGCUGGGUCCCUUUAAAGGGAGGAAAUAUCUUGGUGAAUGUGAAAAUCUGGAAUGAUGAUGCAAUGGCUGUAGGAAAACUCGCUGCGGUUUGGGUCAGAGCAAAAGGUGUACCAAAGACUAUGAAGAAUUUCCAUGGGCUAUGUGAAAUUGGCUCAAUGAUUGGUUACAUUCAGGCUGUGGAUAUGCAGUUAGUAAGUAAAACAAGCUUGGUUGGAUUGAAAGUUGUUGUGGUGGAUUACAGAAAAAUUCCUAGAUGGACCAAGUUAACAAGUCCCAAUCUCAUGGUUUACAUAAUCUUCUUUGAAAUGGAAGAAGUAGUAGAUGAAGGAUGGGCUAAGGAAGAUGAUGAAUUAUCUCAAGGCUAUGAAGACUGGAUGGAUUUUCAGCAAGAGGAGGAGGAUAGCAGAGAUCCCAAAAAAGCAAAACACAAUGAAGAUGAGGCAGACAAUAGACCAAUUCGUGCAAGUACACAGACCAAGAUUGUUGUGGAUGAGAAAGAUGUUGUUAUAAAGGAACAGGAGGAAUAUGAUAUUCGGUUGUACUAUAAACACAAAGAUAAGGAUGUUGAAGACAAAAAGGAAGAAGAAACUGGCUUUGUUUUUGUGAAUAGAGGAGGUGGAAAAGAAAAUGAGGAGGAAGAGCAAAACACUGCUGAUGAUAAAAAUUUAGAUGAUGAAGUUGAGAUGUCUCAGUCUGUCAGUUUGGGGACUAAACUAGGGAUUAGGGUACAUGAAGAUAUGACUAUACACAAUACCAAUGAUAAGAAUUCUGACCAAGGUACACAGAGGUAUAGUGGAAGGAUAGCUUCAAAGAACAAAGAUGAUAUCGCAAUGUUAGAUAGAGCUAUAUGACUCUGGCUAGGGCCAAAAACCUAGCUUUAUCUAAAGGUAUGUCAUCUAAUGUUGUUGAUGAAUAUUCUGAAAAUGUAGAACUAAUUGAUGUUGCUAAUUUGAUAGGAAUUGACUUAGGGGUUUCUUCGGGUUUGGUGGAGUACAGUUUAAAACUAAUUUCCUCUCAUGAAAAAGCUAGAAGAGAGAUAUUUUUAGCUAAUACCAAGGAGGAAUCUAGUGAACAGGAGAAUGAGAAUGUCUUGGAACUUGAGGAGGUUAAUUCUAUACUUCAGGACUUAUUACAAUUAAGUAGGGAAGGGGAUGAGGAACAUAUGGAUGAUCAUUCGGAAAGUCUAUUUGGUGGUAUGAGGACAGGUCUUAAAGCAAACAGUGCUCAUUUUGAGGAUGUUGCUGUUAAGACACCACUAAAAACAGUGUUGAGUAGGAGGAAAACAGUGCUCAUUGGCUCAAUCUCUCUCCCAUAAGCAGCGUUGAAUCUGUCAACAGAGUAGUACUCAUGCACAAAUUGUUCAAGGUCUACUCUCUUUUGUGAGGUCACGAAGGCCAAGACAUGCGGACAUGGCUUACCAGUAUGCUACCAUUCAAGACAAGUGUUGGAAAUAUGAACUAGAUGCAAUAAUAAUGUAUUAUUAUAUUUCCAUUUUCAUAAUUAAGAGUUUAUAUUUCAUGUUAUAACCAUUGUGAUCCUAGAAUAAGUGAUUCAGUGAAAAACUCAUAUGCACAUGUGGAAUGGUAAACGGUAAAUAAUAGGUUCCUAGUCUUGCCUCUAAGACUGACUCAAGUGUUGUUCGUGAUCAUGUUUCCUGGAUCUUAGGAUAUCGUUAAGUGUAACGAUAGUCCUAAAACAACAUUGAAGGUAUGAUGUUAGAAGAAUGAUCAUAUUGAAUCGAUCCAAUAUUGUUUGUUAUACUUUGAGAUAAUAUCGUCUGAAAUCAAUUGUUAUAACACGGAGUGUUAGUAUGUGUUUUUAGUUCCUCAGACGAUGAAUCUUGGGGUUUCUCAAACAUCAUCUGUAACACGGUGAUCAUAACGACAACUUACAGGUUCAUCUAAAAGUUUGACAAGGGACUAGAUAGCUCGAGAGAGGGAUUUGCUCCUCCGACAAUGGAGAGAUAUUCUUAGGGCCCUCUUGGUGUGACGGAAUCCAUCAUCGUCUGGCCAGACACAGGUGAUUACGUCAUAGGGAUGCCGGAACACUUCAAUGGGAGAAGAACAAAACCGGUGACAAGAUCAAUGGUAUAAUGAGCAUGUGCAUGAAUCAGUAGGAUACCAAUGCAUCCCGACUUUUGUAAAGUAUCCCGAUGCAAAGGGAACAUCACAGGAUAACCGAAGGUUCACUCGAAUUUCAUUCGUGUAAUCAUAGGGAUCGAUAUGGACAUCCACGGUUCCACUAUCGGUCAUUGAACGAAGAAGUUUCGUUCAUGUCUAGGAUUUACCAAACCUACAGGGUCACAAGCUUAAGGUAAUCACGACCUGCUGAGUGUUAGUAGGAUGAGAGCAUCGAUGAUUUAUUUAUGGAAUUGUUUCAUUAAGAACAUUUACAUUUAUGACCCUAAUUUGCGCCGACUCUCAGAUUUACCCCUAACUUUUUGAUGUGCUCAAAUUUGCCCUAAAAAGAAUUUAGGUCACGAGAAUGCCCUUCCAGCUGGUCAAAGUUGUUUGACCAAAACUUUGAAAAAUCAUAAAAAAUUCAUAUGAGCUCAAUAUGUUCGUUAAAAUAUCACCUAUACACGCAUGUCAUUUAUGUUCAUCAACUACACGUGCAUUUAUUUGCAUUCACCCUAAAUAGUUUUUAAUGUUAUGAACCCUAAAAUGCUUUAAAGUGUGCUUUUGUCAUGCACGUAAAUGACACGUGCAUAUAGGUGAUGUUUUUAUGAACAUUUUGAUAUCUUAUUUUGCAUUCUUCUAAGUUCAUAUGAAUUUGUUAUGAAUUUUGAAAGUUUCGGUCAAACAACUUUGACCAGAUGGAAGGGCAUUUUCGUGACCUAAAAUGCUUUUUAGGUGCAAAUUUGAGCACAUAAAAAUGUUAGGGGUAAAUCUAAGAGUGGGCGCAAAUUAGGGUCAUAAAUGUAAAUGUACCUGAAUGAAAUAAUUCCACAAAUAAAUUCUCGAUACUCUCAUCCUGCUAACACUCAGCAGAUCGUGAUUACCUUAAGCUUGUGACCCUGUAGGUUCGGUAAUCAUAGACAUGAACGAAACUUCUUCGUUCAAUGACCAUAGUGGAACCAUGGAUGUCCAUAUCGAUCCCUAUGAUUACAUGAAUGACAUUCGAGUGAACCUUCGGUGGGUUCAAGUUAGGGUCACAUCAAAAAGUUAGGGGUAAAUUUGAGUAGUGGGUUCAAGUUAGGGGCUCAAAUGUGAAUGUCCCGUUCAUUAAUGUUCAAAAUAGUUUUGAGAGGAAUCGGAAGCGUUUAGGGGUCACCGGAAGGGUUUCAGAGUUUAUCGGGAAAUACCGGGUAUUAUCGAUAAAUAAUAUAUAGGUGGAAAAUGUUUUGGUUGAUGUUAAAUUAUAUAUAGAAGGCCCUGGUAAUUGUUAGAGGGCUUUUAUAGUUAAUUUAAUAUCAACAUGCCUUAAAAUGUCUAGUGGUGAAAGGCAACUUGGGCCACCAAGGCCCAACUGGAGGUGGGGUCCGCCCUUUCCUGUAGGACGUGAUGAUUAUCAAAUUGCAAAAUUGAGUGAAUCAAUGAAUUGACCAACAUGUCGAGCAAUAAGAAGCGAAACAUAUGAAUUCCAUGGUCGACGAGCCCGGCGGGCACCUUCUCCCCACUUGUGCAAUCGCAUCGCAAAACUUCAUGAUGAAGUUGGAGAUGGUGUACCACCGGUGGGCCAGUGACUUCACAUUGUGUUCAUGGAUCAAGUAAAAGGCAUAGGGCAUGAAGUGCUUUUGCUCAUGAAACGGAAUAUGCAUGGUUUGCCAAAAGGUCGAGCUCCAUUGUCUCAUGCCUAGAAAGUCCGCAGAUAUGACCUUUCAAGCAUCACACAAUAAUCAUUCUCCAUCAUUGAGUACCCCGUCAUUGUGCUUACUCUAGAAAACACCAAGAAGGAAAAAAGAAAGCUCAAUGACAUUUGAUCGAACACCUGCCGGGCGUGCUGUCCGCCAUGGACCGUGUCGACAGGUGGCCAGGGGAGGGGGCGGUAUCUGGCUGUGGACAAUUCCUGAGUGGAUGGUGGUAUAGUCCAAGGUGGAUAGGUGCAUGGGUUGGGCUGCGGACAUCCGGCAAUGCCUGGGCGGCGGCUGGAGAGAUACACCGACGGCGUCGGACGAGGACGGGUUGGGUGCAGAGCAAGGGCAGAGCAGAGACGAAGUGGGAGAAAAAUGAUCCAGCAGGAGGGGAUUUGAGUGGGCCGAGAGUGUUGGACGCAUACUUGGUGAAGGUCUGGGUGCCCACAAACCUCCUGGUUUGUGUCCGGUUUACAGGAAUGCAUACAAACGUACGCAUAUAUGGAUAAAUACAGAUAUCCGAACAACUCAGUUCAUCACAUCGUAUACUGGCGUUUCAAGGGUUUGGGAAUGCCUGCCCUCAAGGGUCAGGAGGAGGGAGGAGGGGAGGGGAGACCGGCAACACGAUCUAGGGUUCCCUCCCCGUCGCCAUGCGGGGGCGACGCGUCAGGGAGGAGUGUUGGUGUUUUUCCCCUCUACUGGUGCUAUAUAUAGUGUAUCCCUGCCGUUCUUGUAUACAUGACAUCAGUGAAUCAGGAUGUAUAAGAAGGUAGUCACGCAAGGGAUAAUAUUUUGAGCGUAAAGCGUAGAGAACUUUCCCGGGCGGCAUCAGAUGCUAAUCACAUGCGAGUUAUAGCCCUUUUUGUCUUUUAUGAAUGUGCCUUUUUAAAACGGAGCGAAAUUAAUCUAUAUAUAUACUAAUAUAAAAAGACCCAAAGAAACAUAUCCAAUUAAUCUCGGCCAUCAAAUCAUGUCAAUCCAAUAACCUAGACUGCUUCAAUGUUCGAGCGUUCAGCACGUUUAACGUGCAGUUAAUUUCAUGCCAAAAAUAGUGUUAAUCACAUAAUAACAUGCAAAAUAAUAUUCUAUUUAAUAUCCGCAUGCACUUAAUAUACUUCCAAAUUAACGUGCAUUGCACGUACACAUUGACUAGUCAUUAAGAAAAAGCAGAAACGACCAAAGCAUCAUUUGGUUUUACAGCUAAAAAUAUUUGUGUUGUGCAUGGAGAUGGAGACAGUGAUGGCGUACAAAUGAACAUAUAAUGUAAGCGUACAUGUGAAUUCUCUUCCAUGCGGCGUAUAAUGUAAGCUUACAUGUGAAUUCUCUUCCAUGCGGGCAUAUGGAAUUAUACCACAUGGUACGAAAGAUUUAGUCGGCCAUGUACUUCGUUCGAUUGUUGUUUUAUAUAUAAAGCGGGAUGAAAGUCAGUUUCGAGAGCUGCGGCUUGCAGGGCUGGAUGCAAAUGCCUAGCUUGUAAGGCCAGACUAAGAAUAAAGCUGCAUGUAUGCACAUAUAUUCUGCCUGGAAACGUAUGGACUUAAUUUAUUUAUUUUUGAGGAUUGAAAUGCAUGAACUUUACAUGAAGCAGCCAAAGUUUCUACAAACUAGCUAGGUGCAAUCAGCACAAAGUCCUCCACUUAGCCAAGUUUCUACUGACUGGGUGCAAUCAGCACAAAAUCCUCACCUCACCUUUGUAAUCCUGCUCAGUAAAUUACAGGUGCUUGAUUAAUCAUGGCUCCGUGUUGAGCUCGUGACACGCGUUUGAUUCACUUCGGUUUCUAAUGUCAGCUGAACUAACAAGCCGAGGUUGACUUGGAUGACAGUUACUCUCUUCGUUUUUAUUUACUCCGCAUAUUAGAGUUGACUGAAGUCAAACUUUCUAAAGUUUGACAAAGUUUAUAAAAAAAAUAUUUACCAUAACAAAUCUAUAUGAUGUGGAAGUACAUUUGAUAAUGAAUCUAAUGGUAUUGAUUUGUUAUUGUAUAUGUUAAUAUUUUUGUUUGUCAAAGUUUAUAAAAUUUGACUUUGACUAAAGCUAAUAUGCGAAGUAAAUAAAAACAGAGGAAGUACUAUUUUGUUUCCCUGCAGGCAUGCAUGGUAAUCCGCAUCUCACCCUGCAUAAAGAUCAUUGGAAUCAGAUCUAAUACCUUUCUUUGGCCGGUCACACACUCUAGCUAGGGUUCUUCGACGCAGGUUGCUUGCGUAGUUUUUUUUAGAAACAACAUUGACGUACACAUACAGUCACACCACCACACACACUCACACUCAAACAAAUGCCUACUGAAGGCCCGAUCGAAGUUGCGGGCUUUGAAAUUGAUGGAAUCACCACAUGUGUCUCGUUAUUUGAUAUUUACUUAUGAGUUAUGAAUAAAUAAUAUGAAAAACAAAUCUUAAGGGUUUUUCAAACCACAUUUAACAGGAGACGUUCCAUUCGGUUCAAACAUUUAAAAAUAUUUUUUUUCUUUGUUUAUUUUUGUGGUGCAACUAGACUUUGGUCAACUUAGUUAAUCAUACGGCAGUCCAAUAUCCGGGGUGGGCCCCGCCUGUCAUCGUGCAAGGCUACCAACGUCUCCGUCCCCCUCUUUCCAUCGCAGCCCACCUCCGCUAUAAAUACCACUCACUCAAAAUAAAAUAAUGAGCUCGACCGCCGACGGAAGCAGCUCGCGGUCGGCUCUCAGUCUACUCUCCGUCGCGUCGUCGACAGGCGCCGCGGCAGCAGCGGCCAGCGUCCGUCGGGAGACAGAGAUUUCCUCUUGGCGGGGGCCGAAUCCAAUCCGUAAGUCGAAAUCUCUCUCUGUGCUUGCUCUCGGAUCCCCACCCGCCCCCUACAGUCCCACAGUACUUCCCUGCUGCCAAUGCCCGCCUCGCCGCCGUUCCCGCCGUUUUCUUGGGGUCUCGGUGAGGAAUCCGAGGGUACUGGUUCUGGAUUGACCCCCCGGUAAUGGAGGCCCUGCUGGCUGUUGCCGCUGGGUUACUCCUGUGUGCCCGUCCUCAAGGUGUUCGAUGGAUUGUGGGCAGGGUGUUCCGUCCGGCUGGUCGAUCUCGUUCCAGUCCUUCCAGGUUCCAGCCCGUUUACAGUCAGUUGCUGAAAAUGUGCACGGAACGCAUGAAAAUGUAGGCUGUGCACAGGUUGUUUGCUUGCUUGCAAUUCCAAGCAUUGUUUCCUCUUUGCAGGAAGCAUAGUGCCACAAGUGGUCUGCUUGUUUGCUUGUGCUCAGGAAAAGAAAAAGUUGUAUCUUCUGUUUGUUUGCUUGCUGUCCGCUUCAGUGUUUGUUCCAUCUUAAGCAUGGUACAAGUAUAGUCGCUUUGUUUCGUGGGCAUAAUCCAAAGUUUGUGCGGAUGCAGCUUUUGUUCUCUCUUGCAUAGCGAAAGUGUGUGGAAACUGGAAUCUGUUGAGAGUAGUAUGGCCACGCCAAACGUUUUGGCUUUCACUUAAGGACCACACAUUGCUUCUUGACUUUCUUGGAUGCUUGCCGGCCCAGCCUUGGAACUGUACCUUCCUAGCUAGUAAUGGUGUAGAUAGAUGGUUAAUAUAAAUGAGGCACAGACCAAACCUUUGUGUUGCUUCCUAGAAAUGAGUGUAUUUCCUUAAUUUUUUUUUUGUCAAAACGUCUGUCGUUGUUCUCCCAAGUUGCUUUCUUGCGGUAUUCAAUCCAUUUUUUAUUACUGCAAUUGCUUCAUUCGAAUUGAGGUUUCAGUCCGUUUACCGUCAGUUGCUGAAAAUGUGCACGAAACGGAUGAAAAUGCCGGGACAUGCGCUCUUUGUUUACCGUUUAUACCGUCAUUUGUUUGGUUGCAGGAUGCACCCGGUCUUAAGCAUAGUAUAUAUAAAGUUGUAUGCUCUGUUUUGUUUGUUUGCUUGCUGUCUGAGGAUUGAGACAAGGGCAUAAUCCAAAGUUUGGCACCUGCUCCUGCACAUUUAUGUGUUGGAAACUGGAAUCUGUUCAGAGUAGUAUGGCCACGCCACAUGUUUUGGCUUUAACUCAAGGACCACAUUGCUUCUUGACUUUCUUGGAUGCUUGUUGGCCCAACUUUGCAACUCUACCUUCCUAAUAGUAGUAUAAAUCAGGCACAUACAAUUUUUUUUGUGUUGCUUGAGAUUUGGUGUAUUUACUUAAUGUGUUUAGUUGAAUCAUCUGUCAUUGUUCUCCCAAGUUGCUUUUCCUCGCGAUAUUCAAUCCGUCGGGUUUUUAAUUACUGUAACUGCUUCAUUCAAAAUUGAUAUUUGCUUCUUUGUUGUUGUUUUCCUUUCAACGCUUGGGCUGAGGCUUCAAAUAAUGGUGCUCUUUAACAUGGACUUUGUUACUUUAGAGAAUGCAAGAAUUAUGCAAUUGUAUCAUGAUAACAUCUGCUCUAUGUUUUUUCUACAGGGAGUUUCCAACACAUAAGUAGUUUGCUAACAUGAAGACAAGCAUCCAGUAGACUUUGCACCAUUUGAGUCACAAUGGAGAUAUCUUUUCUCAUGUUGUUGGUUCUCUCUCUGCUUCUGUUUCCUAAUGGCAUCUGCAAGGGUUUAGCUGCGAGGCCUCCUGUUGUGAAUAUUGGGUCUAUUCUUCAAUUUAACUCCACCACUGGAGGUGUUGCCGCGGUUGCCAUCCAUGCAGCCUUGGAAGAUAUCAACUCUGAUCCAACAGUUCUAAAUGGAACUACACUAAAGGUUCAAAUCAAGGAUACAAAUUGCUUUGAUGGUUUCCUUGGCAUGGUUCAAGGUACGCUAGCUUUAAUGUCACGCAUUCAUUUGGCAUUGUUGAAAUAGUUUUUGCUUCUCUUGUGGAAUUGUGACAAUGAUACCGUAUUCCUUGUAUCAGCUUUGCAGUUCAUGGAGACUGAUGUUGUUGCACUCAUUGGCCCUCAGUGCUCUACAAUUUCUCAUAUCAUUUCAUAUGUAGCAAAUGAGCUUCGAGUCCCUUUGAUGUCCUUUGCUUCUGAUGCAACUCUUUCAUCGAUACAAUUCCCGUUCUUUGUCAGGACUGGUCCCAAUGACCUCUAUCAAAUGGCGGCUGUGGCAGAAGUUGUUGACUACAACCACUGGAAGAUUGUGACUGCCAUAUACAUUGACAAUGUUUAUGGUCGAAAUGGCAUUGCUGCUUUGGAUGAUGCACUUGCUUUAAAGCGCUGCAAAAUCUCCUACAAAGUUGGGUUUCCUUCCAAUGCUAAAAGAAGUGAGCUCAUAAAUUUGUUGGUUAGUGUCAGUUAUAUGGAGUCUCGUGUUAUCAUUCUCCAUACUGGAGCUGAACCUGGACUCAAGCUUUUCUCUAUGGCAAAACAACUGAACAUGAUGGGCAACGGCUAUGUGUGGAUUGCAACUGACUGGCUGUCUGCAUAUCUUGAUGCUAAUUCAUCAGUUCCUGCUGAGACUAUAUCUGGCCUGCAAGGUGUUCUUACUUUACGGCCACAUAUCCCCAACUCAAAGAUGAAGAGUAAUUUGGUCUCCAAAUGGAACAAGCAAAGUAAAAAGUCCAACUAUAGUGAUCUUCGUGUAAAUACUUACGGUUUUUAUGUUUAUGAUAGUGUCUGGGCAGUAGCUCGGGCUCUGGAUGCCUUCUUUGAUGAUGGUGGUCGGAUUUCCUUUUCAAAUGACUCGAUGUUGCAUGAUGAAACUGGAGGAACUCUUCACCUUGAAGCAAUGAGCAUUUCUGACAUGGGAAAUAAAUUAUUGGAGAAGAUUAGAAAGGUAAACUUCACUGGGGUGUCUGGGCAAGUGCAAUUCGAUGCUGGAGGCAACCUAAUUCAUCCUGCAUAUGACAUCAUAAACAUCAUCGGAAAUGGCAUGCGGACCAUUGGUUUUUGGUCAAAUUAUUCUGGCUUGUUGUCGACUGUCUCUCCAGAGGCUCUAUAUUCAAAGCCUCCUAAUAUUUCUCUCGCUGAUCAGCAUCUCUAUGAUGUUAUUUGGCCUGGGGAGACUGCACAGAGGCCUCGAGGAUGGGUUUUUCCUUCUAAUGCCAAGCAGUUGAAAAUUGGUGUUCCCAACAGAUUUAGUUUCAAAGAGUUUGUCACGAAAGACAAUUCUACUGGGUCAAUGAAGGGUUAUUGCAUCGAUGUCUUUACUCAGGCAUUGGCUUUGCUUCCUUAUCCUGUUAGUUACAAGUUUGUACCUUUUGGGAAUGGUACUGAAAAUCCUAAUUAUGACAAACUCGUACAGAUGAUUGAAUCAAAUGUAAGUAUGGAAUGCCUUUUUUCUUCCUCUAACCAUUUCAUCAUCUUUAUCGAAAAAACCAUUUCAUCAUACCAUGCUGACCAGGGGGGGUCUUAUCCUGCAGGAAUUCGAUGCCGCUAUAGGGGAUAUCGCAAUUACAAUGAGGCGGACAGUAACUUUAGAUUUCACCCAGCCAUUCAUUGAAACAGGCUUAGUUAUCUUGGCUCCGGUUAAACAGCAUAUAACAUCGUCCUGGGCAUUCUUGCAGCCAUUUACUUUGCAGAUGUGGUGUGUUACAGGGUCGUACUUCCUUAUUGUGGGUGUGGUUGUUUGGGUUCUUGAACAUCGGAUCAAUGAUGAUUUCCGUGGUUCAGUACGUCAACAAAUAAUAACUAUUUUCUGGUAAGGAGCUGACUUGCACCUUUUGUAUCGUCUUCUUGUAGUAUAUCAUUCCUGUUUUCUUAGAAAUGUUGAUGUUUCGACAAGUCUUGUGCAAUAUGUUUGCAUACAGCAAGCACCUCAGAACAGUUGCCAGUUAACAUACCCAAAUGAAGCAUCUAGUGAUUACCAAGGAACUACUCCCUCUGUUCACUUUUAUAAGGCCUUGAAGACAUUUCAGACAAGGUGCAAAGUAGCUCAUUUUCAGUUGUCUGAAACGACUUAUAAAAGUGAGCGGAGGGAGUAUUAUCUUAAUGGUCUUGUGAAACGUAUAUAUGCACAGUAUGUAUUCGCUUAAUGAUAUUUAUGAUGCAUUGCUCAAUUUUUUUUUCUGUUUUCACAUACUUCUCCACAUGUAUUACAAAUGUUCUUAUCAUGGCGUGAUUCCUUGCUCUCAGAUGUGAUUAUAAUUUCUAUUUUUAUUGCCUGCAGGUUCAGCUUUUCGACGUUGUUCUUUGCACACAGUGAGUAAACCAACCUUCUCUAUUAUGUGUUUUUUUGGCCAUAGGUAACAUUUUGUUCUGAGGCAUGGCUCGUGAUUUCAUCUGUAUCUGCCCGCAGGAGAAAAUACUAUGAGCAGCUCAGGGCGUGGUGUCCUGAUCAUAUGGCUGUUUGUUGUUUUGAUAAUUGUAUCCAGCUACACCGCGAGUCUUACUUCCAUCCUGACCGUGCAACAACUUGAUACUUCUAUAAAAGGAAUCGAUGACCUGAAAAGUAGCAAUGAUCCUAUUGGUUUCCAAGUUGGUUCUUUUGCACAAGACUACAUGGUCAAGGAGCUCAACAUCUCACGUUCAAGGCUGAGAGCUCUCAGUUCACCACAAGAAUACGCUGAAGCCCUCAAGCUAGGCCCCAAGGAAGGAGGUGUUAUGGCCAUUGUUGACGAGCGCCCCUAUGUUGAACUGUUUUUGUCAACCUACUGCAAGAUUGCGGUAGCUGGCACAGAUUUCACCAGCAGAGGAUGGGGCUUUGUAAGUACAUUUGAACCAUAUUCUUUAAUGUAGAUUUGAAUAUGAGAACAAAAUAUUUUGAAGUUAAUAUCCUGGAAUAGCAGUUUUAACUUUGAAUAGUUGUGUCAACUAUCUAGUUUAUUAUGCAACUUCAUUUGCACCUGUCUGCGGCUGCAAGUCUAAAAUCUACACCUACUUUGUUUCACAAAUCAAAAUGUAGCGCCUUACAAGUUCAUUCUACCAGGCAUUUCCAAGGGACUCCCCUUUGCAAGUAGACCUCUCCACCGCAAUCCUGUCAUUGUCAGAGAAUGGGGAACUGCAGCGAAUCCAUGACAAGUGGCUCAAGACAGGGGAGUGCGCAACUGACAACAGCGAGUUCGUUGACUCGGACCAGCUCCGCCUUGAGAGCUUCCUUGGUCUGUUCCUAAUCUGUGGCGUUGCAUGCAUCCUCGCGUUGCUAAUCUACUUUGGUAUCAUGCUACGCAAAUACCUGAGGCAUGACCAGAGGAAGAGCCUGAGAAGAUUCAUCUCAUUCGUCCAUGGCAAGGAUCCGCCGAAGAACAACGAGAGGCGGUCCAUGAGCCUGCUUGGAAGCUCGACGCCGGCAACGCCGAUGAGCAGCCUUACUACCCUUGAGAUAGAAAGGCCGGCCAGGGAAGUCAGAAAUGGCAGCGUUAUUGAAAUGGAAAGCUAGUUCAUGUGUACAAAGCUAGUUUGUGCGUUAUCUCUCAAGGCAGCUGGGUAACUGUUUUGUGUGAAGCAACAAUACGGCCGACUAACCUAGGUCCCGGUAACCUAGGUUGGAAAGCCAAACACCAGGGAUGUAUAGAGGGGUUUCAAAUACUUCUUAAAGGAAGGAUUGAUAAUAAAAAUUAAAAAUAUCGAAAUGCUCCUCUCUCCCACAUAGAUCACUUUAUUCUUUGCAUGACUGUAUUUUUUGGGGAUAUCUUGCCACUUCAGAGUUGGCGUUUGGUGGUGUGAUCUGUGCAUGUGUUCAAUUGCGCGUAGUGUGGUUAUUCCAAGUUAGUACGAUUGUGUCACUUCAGUUUGAUAGUAUGCAGGGACAGAACCUGCCGGCUGCAGCUAGUACGGUUUGAUAUGUGACGAUGCCUGUAGAUUGUGGUACUAAACUUUGAUGCUUGUUCAUAAACUAGUUUAGAUGGAGCCACCCAAAAGAUAUGUUAGUUUUUCUUUUUUUGGCUUAGAUACUCUGUUUUGUCUGUGUUCUGUUCAGGGCAACUUUGAAGCUUAUCUUAGGGUGGUGGACAGAAAAAUGUUUAGCACCUUCCACAACUCAUAAGGAAGAUAAUUAAAAAGAGUGUAGGAAGAAAUAGUUAUGAUCUUAUUAGGAAAGCUAAGAAGAAAGCCAACACUAGGUUUUUGUUUUUCUAACUCUAUGGCUACACUGUAAAAUUAUUUAUAGAUUAGCUCCAAUUGAUGCAAAUCUUUUUGGUGGGUCUGGGAUGCGACUGAGUCAGAUCAAUCCCAAGUUACUCCCUCCGUCCCAUAAUAUAGGAUGUUAUUACAUCUAAUAUGUGAGCAUAUUAGGUGUAAUAACGUCUUAUAUUAUGGGACAGAGGGAGUAGCUACUUGUCUCUCUCAAAUUUUACUGGAACACCGAGGCACUGGUCUCAAAAGUGGAAAUUCUUGCAGGUUUGUAAUGCAUCUGUUUUGGUCCUUGCGUUCACCUCUGAGAAAUAUACCAUACCAAUCACAAUUUUUGUUAGUAAUGGAGUGGUAGGCAGAUGCAAAACCAAGCAAUCAUUUUCCUUCUAAAGACACUUGUAAAAGCAUCAUGAGUGUCUAUUCUAAUGGAGUGGUAUACAGACAUAUAAUUGUUGCAGGGAUGCUGCAACUUCCUGGAGCAAGGCCAUAGUGGUACUAGGUUUGUCUAUUCUAGUGAUACUGGGUUUUCUUUUCUGAUUUCUUCUAAUUUAAUAGUUAUGCCAGCUACAUUAUGAGUGCCAGCUCUGCAGUAACUUUUUUUGCGAGGCAUAACAACUGGAUUAUUGUUCAUACAGGGAAAACAGAAACGAGUAUGAGUGCCUUUUUAUUUAAUUUAGUCAUAAUAGUUGACUUAAAAUAUUGUAUAUUAAAUGUGGGUAGGAGAUUCCUGUAUUUUUAUUGAAAACGGAACAGCAACAAUAGGAAGAGUUUUUUUUUUACAUGAUGGAGCGAUUAUUUUCCUAAGAAAAAUAUAUAAUGUAUAUAUAUAUAUUUCUCAUUCUGUUCAAUACCUGGUUUAGGAAGAGCUCUUUUUCCUAUGCAAAAUGUAUAACAUGUAUGUUUAUAGUUCUGAUUGCAGGCAUAUUCGUCGCGCUCGCCCUGUGUCUUGACGUUCCGCGAGGGACCAAGCGGGAUACGCCACGGGUUUUGCUGUUACUAAGAUACUUCGAUAUCAGUAGCACCUGUUCUAUUUAUCUGUCUUUUUUUGUGUUUUGACGCACAGCCUGCUCUGUUAUACAUAGUUACUGGCAUGACUGGUUUCAUCGCUGUUCGCUCUGUGUGUAAUGGAGAAGUAGAGCCGAUAAGUAAGCCUGCUUACCUAGUCCCUUUUGUUUAGUCCUGGGAUGAGAGAAAAUAACUGACAAUCUGGACCAGCCUGCCUUUGAAGUGCGAAACUUGUUUGUCACUGACUGUUUUCGCGAUUGGCAGUUGCUGGAGUUCACUGAGUCGAUAGUCGGAGAGGACGCAGAACAGGAGAGCAAAAAGGUGGAUUAGGGCUUUCCCUAAGGUGUGCUUUCAGGUAUUUUCAGUUUUCUUGUUAAGGAAUCAAGUUAUGAUUUUGUCUGUCAAGACCCUAUAUUCAUGGAGUGAGACGUUGUUCUGAAUUCCGACGCACUCAGAAAGUUUCGUCGCGGAAUUUCUUCUGGAAAAUAUGUGUAUGUAUUCCAGUUGUAUCAUUAGUAACCCAAGGCCAUAUAUAUAGCACGAAGAAUGUUUUCUUGAUUCGUUCGGUCUGACAAGACAUACAUAUAUUCUGCCGUGAAGCGAAUUAGGUUCGUUGCUGACCGGCAAAGUAAGGGCCGUUUCUGCAUCUAUAUAGGCUAGCUAGGCAAUCUGCCCUCAAGGUUGGGGGGAGUUGGAGAUUGGGGUCUCGAAUUGAGCUUAUAUUAGAAUCCUUUGAUUGGCUCAGAGACAUGGGAAUUAAGGAGCCAAGGGGAAGAGGAAUUAAGAGGCCCAGCUCCCUCAGAUUUCUUCCCUGGACGACCCCUGGUAAUUGAACUAGGGAUCGGGAAUCGACAGAAAAAGAUACUACUGACGUGCUGUUAGUUGGGCACGUUUGUAAGGGAAAGGCAUCAUUAAAAGUUGCUUAUUCCUCUGCCUAUGCCCACCAACCAAAUAGUGGUAGUUAACUCGCUUUUAAAUUCUCAAUUCUAAUUGCCUUCACAUACCAAACAGAGGAAUGGGACUUUAAAAUCAAUGUCCAUGUCUAAUGCCUUGGCAAACUCCCAUUCUCUCUCCCUCUAUUGCUGCCGAACACGCUGUAAAAUGAAGUCAUUUCUGCUAAUCCAGAUGCUCCAGGCUGCCAAGAUAAUCGAUUCCAGUUCCAUACCUGAUUUAGCAACAACUCUUUUUCCUAUGCAAAAAGUAAAAUCUAUACCAUGCUUCUAGUUCCGACUGCAGGCAUGUUCGUCGCGCUCGCACCAAGAGCUGUCGCUUCAACAACGCUUUUCUGGGAUACGCCACAGGCCUGCCAGUAAAAAGAUGGUGGCGACGAACUGGUUUCGAGCCACACAGGUCAGUUCUGCCAUUACUAAUACAUCAUGGCAUCUUGUUGCUCUCGGUCGAUGCCCUGUCAUCUCUGGAAAAAAUAUCAGCAGCACCUGUUUUGUUUCCGAAUUGUUGUUGGGUUUUGAUGCGCAGCCUGCUCUGUUGUAGCACAUCGUUCCUGGCGUGUGGCUGGUUUUGUUGCCGUUCACUCUCCGUUGAAUGGAGAAGUGAAAGCGGGCAAGUAAGCCUGUAUACCUUUUCCCUUUUAUGUAAUUCUGUAGUCCAUUGAUUCUUGAUCUGACUGUGUAGACAAGGGAGAAUGUCACCGUACUGUUCGCUGGUGACUCGCCCAUGGCAAGUCACCUGAUCUCAAUCUCCCCCAACCCCACCUCACCACCCACAAUGAUAAUUUUGUUUUCGAGACAUCUAUAAUACGUAAAUAGUUCAUCCCUACUAUGUUAUUUCUCUUGACAUGCAGUCUAUCCACCUCAGCACAGCUGCCACAUCCGCAUUUUAUUAGUGGCUUACAUGUGGGACCCACCACAGGUUGACCAGGGUACAGAACAACCACAUCAUCAUUCGGUUACCAGCUGUAGAGACCCACCACUGCCUCCACAGUGUAAACCAACGGGGUACAGAACCUCAAAGAAGAACAGCGUACAGACAACCGUCCCUCUCCCUCGAUUCAGCCGAAUCCACGAGCCCCUUUCCCACUGUUACACUUUACACACCGGCGCGGCGGCCGGGAUCCCAUCUCACGCCCCUCCGGCAGGACCACCACCCGGGCUUCCCUCUGCAAUUUAGCCGAACCCAUUCACCCCCUUUUCCCCUGUGUACAGCCCGGCGCGGCGGCCGGGAUCCCAUCUCACGGCCCUCCGGCGGUACCACCGGCUCGGCUCCCCUCUGCUGUUCCCCGGGGACCGCUAGGGCUAUGAUCCCCUUCUACGUGUGGUGCCAUGGUCUGGAGCUAUUUCCGUGGUGCCAAAUCCAGACCGCGCACCUAUUUUAGCCACCGCUGCCCCCACGGGUCAGCGUUCUCUCAUCAUGAUCUCCCCCGGGUGAACGCCUCUCUCUUUUCUGGUGUUCUUGGUGUUCUUGGUUUUAAGUCAAGCUGCGUGCACAGUUGUACAUUACGGGGUUGAUUCACAUAUAUGUGUAUCCUUUUACAAGUCUGGCGUUUGUUUGCAACUAGAUAUAUAAACACCGUGUGUCCAUAUGGUUGGGGUACGGAUUUAGAGAACACCAUUGUUGUUAGAGAUUUCAUCAGAAUACAAUGUAUUGGGUUGUUGACAGAUAUCUUUUCAACAACAUUGGCCUGCUUAGUACAUGAUAUCUUUAGCGUAGCUUUAUUUAUCUGAUUUUUUUUCCUGAUUGGCAAAUUUGAUAACUAAAAAUCUCUUUUUCAUCAGGUCACUGCGGAAGAUUAUAAUUGUUUCUAAUCCCGCUCUCUAUAUACUCCCAAGGUAUGACCUUUUGAACUAUUGUGUAGUUUCGUUUCAGCAGUAAAAGUUCAGAAACCCCAAUUUAGGGCCUGUUCGUAUUCACUCCACUCCGUCAGAUCCUUAGCUCCACUCCCAGCUCCUAGGUUGCUAGCUCCACAGGGCAAACGAGGAGCAGACAACUUGUUCGGCAACUAACUCCACUCUGCACUCUGGAUUACAGGCCCCCCACAACACAUCAAGCUGGUUUGAUACUGGUCAGUACGUGGAUCACUUGUUGUGCCAAUGAUGCAACACAGUGCAGAAAAAAUGCACAAAUAUGCUGAGUUUACUGAAAAUAAUGCUGAAGUUUCACACAUAAUUUUUUUGUGCAAAAAUUCACUUUAUCGCACAAGAACGAUUCAGCAUGAGUUUGCUGAAAUUACAUGAUUUUAGCAACAUAGACAAAUAGGAUUUUUCAUAAGAUAAACACAAACAAAGGCAGCAUAAACACAUGUACUUUGUAGACAUCACUCUAGUCCAGUGGAGGUCCUGCAGAAACAAUUUUCAACACAUGAAAACCUUUAUGCAAUGCUGGUGAUUGCUUGAAUAGAACCAAAAACAUAUAUACUCUGCUUCGGAUGGUUUCACCUACAAAAUUACGAAAUUUGUUAAUAGGUACAGAUACAUAUCAAUUGUGAAAGAAGCAAAUCAUGUUGUGAUUGAACUAGCUAAGAACAUCUUCUGGAUUCUAGACUUAUGCAUCUUGCUACAAGGAAAUAAAUGACAAGUAAUAUUGUGACUAAUAUUUCAGCUACUGACAAAGACAGUGAACAGUUUCGACAUGUUUGGAGACAACAUUCACUUGUUUAACUUUACGACCAGUCAUCUAUGAGAAAGCAUGAAUUUAUCAAGCAAGGUAAAAACUAAAGAAUUGUAGCAAAUAAAAACACAUGAAUGCUGUAGAAACUAGUAUACUCACAUUUAUAGCAGAACUGGAAGUCACCAACCAAGAGCAAUAUCAGUUGCUAGUCUAUUACGGAACCGGUCCAUGUCUUUAUCACUAGUCUCCGAGGUUGACGCAUCCGAUGCAUUCGGAGGGAUGGCAUACCGUUGAUACCUUGAAGGGAUAGUUGGGACAUAGUUGGGAUCUCUGUCGACUCGAAGAAAGUGAAGAUCCCCCUUAUCAUGAUAUCGAACGUAGUUGUGGAGGGCCAUAGUUGCAGCCACUAUCAUCUUUUGAGUUUCAACUGAAUAAUUGGGCAUCUUUAGUAGAAUCUGCCACUUCAUUUUCCACACACCAAACGCUCUCUCGAUCACAUUACGCUUGGAUGAGUGUAUCUCGUUAAAUUUCUCCUUAGGUGUUCUUGGCGCCACACCUCGUUGAAAAUCAGGCACGUGGUACCUUUCCCCCUUGUAAGGUGCGAGAUAUCCAGGUCUAUUAGGAUAGCCCGCGUCCACAAGAUAGUACUUACCUACAAACAACAAGCAGAUUGCAUGUAAGGCCUAUGAUUUGUUUACAGAAUUUAAAUAAAAGAAAUUAUUAUAGGAACUACUAACCCUUUGGAGGAUGAGGGAAGGUAUCUUUGUCAGCUUCAAUUGCAUGAUACAAGACACCGGUAUCAUGCAUAGAGCCGGGUUGACCAACUGAAGUGUACAUGAAAUGCAUGUCAAAAUCACAUAUUGCCAGAACAUUCUGUGUUGUUGAUCCUGACCUUCCAAUGUAUCUAACUUCAUCGCCAGCAGGAAUGGUAGCUCUGACGUGAGUACCAUCUAGUGCGCCGAUGCGGUCCUUAAGAUGUGGAUAAGCCCUUCUAUCCUUUUGAAUCCUUGGGUGCACACUACUAAAGUUUGGGUCCUUAGGUUUCAGGUAAUCUGCUGCCAUCUUAAUCACACAGAGUAAAACCUCAUGAAACUUCCGGUGGACUGUAUCUCCUGAGUGCUUGAAACGAUUUUGUGUUCUCCUAUUAGACUCGCAACCCCCUAAAGUCCACAAGAACAUUGCAAGCGCCUCAUAACUGCUCACGAAACAGGUUGAUUUGAAGCCAUACCUUUUGACCAACAAGUCAUGCAAUUGAAAGAAGAGGCGUGCGUUCAUCCUCAACAUGGUAUAUGUUUCUCCAGGUGUUGACACUGUCUCUUGCAGCCAUCCGAACCCACUAAGAAUAGAAUUCCUUGGGUCUGCCUUGAUCAAAUAGUUGUCACAGUACUUCCCUGCAAGUGUUGAUGCACUGGCAUAGAUGUUGGACAUUGAUUGGACAUGGUGGCAUACCCUCUUCUUCCUUUCUUCAUAACUAUCACUAUCAUUGUCACUAUCCGAUGACAUCUGAACAUACACAAGUAACAACAAUUAGUACUUAAUUAUCAACCAGAUUAGUCAUAGCAGAAAGAUAAGUAAGAAUCAUAUGUAACAUUAAAGACAAGUCAUAUGUAACAACAUUUAUCAUGUAACCAUCAGCAAGAUGAGUCAUAGCAGUAAUAUAAGUAAAAUUAUACAUUAAUUGCAAGCAUUACAAUUUAACACAUAUCGAUGAACAAUCAUCAACCAUGCUCCUAGUUACAUACCAGCAAAGACCAUGGUGAAAAAGAAUCAGCACAGCUACUGUAGUACAAACAAAUAAUAAUGUCUUAAGAAAAUCCUGAAACAAAUAAUAAUUUCUUAAGCAAUCUCAAUACUAACAUAUUUCAAAGACAAGUAAUAUUGACUCAACUGCACUAGCUAGAGUUUAUGAGCAUCGGAGCAGAUAUCAUAUCCUAUUCUCUCGCUAAAGGAAAAAUAAUAGUUACAGGUUAUAGGCAGAGAAGGGGUUCACUAGCUAGUUCACUCCAUCCAUGUCAAUCAAGGCAAAUAAAAGAAACAGAUGCAAUACGUAUAUGUUUGCAACAUCCAUGAUAAUCAUGUAGUGUGUAUUUGUUAUCUCUGAAGAAAAGGAAACUCUAUCUGUCUCUAUGCACUCUGUCGCUCAUCUCCUUUCUAUACCAACUCCCCUAAUUCAUCCCCUUCCUCUCAAUUUCCUCACAUAAUCCUUGCAGGAAUUAUAGACAUGUUGUACUACUACUUACUGGAAUCAAGAACCAAGAAUCAAGAACACCUGGAACUAUUCAGGAAUAUGAAUCAAGAACAGUAGAGGAACAAGGGUGAAGAGGAGAUAUGGAUCUCACCUUGAUGGAUGUGAUGUAGGCGUGGAUGCCGACCUUGCAAACGACGAAUCCGAGCUGCCGGGGACGAGGACGAGGCCCUGGUGAUCUCAGCCGCCAGAGGUCCACUCAAACCGUAUGCCCUCAAAGUGGUUGCCGAACAGAAAAGCCGCCUUGGAUGAGGAGGGGGGCGAGGAGAUGGCGAGGUCGCAGGGGCAUGGAUUUGGCCGAAGGGGAGCUGGGGAUCCGCGGCGGCGGGGUGGCGGCGGGCGGCGGCGCAGCGCUAGGGUUCCAUGGUCACGGGAGGACAGGGGAGUCGCUGCACGGGGGAGAGAGAAAAGGAUCGAGUGAAGCGGUAAGUUGUGCGGGGAGUGGCACGCGGAGCUCGGUUUCGCUGACUCCGCUGAAUUGAACUACGGUCUUGUCCGCUCCGCUCUUCCUACUUCGUGGAGUCGGACCGUUCGGCACUGCUCUGUCCGCUCCGGGAGCAGAGUCGGGGAGCGGAGUGAAUCCGAACACGCCCUUAGUUAAAAAAAAGUUCUAAACUCUCAAAUAGCCUGCGAGCAGAAUGUUGCAGGCUUUGUCCGGCGUUGCCAGAUACAUGUUGUGAGUGGUAUCUGUUUCCUUGACUACAAAUUCAGAGUUCAUUUGAAUUCUUGCCACCGGUCUUUGUGUUAGAGCCAACAUCACUGCAUCUGUGGGCGACAGCACACACCACUUGCAGUUGCUACCUUCUCUCUUUCAAGCUCGGCAUCAGUAGUGUGCCUUCCUGGUCCAACAACUGGUGUUUUCUCUCUGAUGACUCUCCAAUCUGCAUAUUGGAUUUUGUUCCCUGCUCGUGCUAAACAAAGAGUGGCCCUUGGACCAUUGCCUGCCUGACAUGGAUGUACCCCCGUUUUAAUCUGAAGAAUUCAGUAUUGGUGUUUAAUUCUGUAAAUUUUUAUUUUACAUUUUUUUGAUCCAAACUUGCUAGGUUUCCUGACGAUGUGUGGUAAGACGUCUUUUAUCAAGCCAUUUUGGAAUUCUUAAGAAGGUAAGGAUGUUUCUCUCUUUUGUAACAUUUAGAAUAUUUUUCAGCUAGUUGUAGCUAUUUUUACUUGCUUUACCCAGUUAUUUUUCUGCAAUGAUUGGCCAUAUUAAUUCCCUCUAUCUAAUUCCGUCAACUAGAUCAUGCGCGGGUUCGAACAGAUUUAUGAAAUUGCUAUUUUUUUCUGAUAGUAACUCGGGUAUAACACCUAUUGUAGUACGGUUAUGUUAUAGUAGAUAUAGGCCCUGUUUGGUUCAGCUUUUAUCGACGGAUUCCGCUGUCGCGCAGCAGAAUCUGAACCAAAGGGCGAACCCAGCAAAAUCCGAUUCCAGAAAUCCGCGGCCAAAAUCUGAACCAAAAGCGGAAGCAACCCAGGACGUGCUUUCCAAAAUCUGAUUCCGCUGCGGGCCAAAAUCUGAAAAAGCUGUAUCAGCUGGUUUGCCAAAUGACCCACAUCUUUUUCACAUCAGAUUUUCCACAACUAUUUUUCCACAGCAGAUUUUUCACAGCUGCUUUUAGAAAUCCACAACCGAACCAAACAGGGCCAUAAGGAGAAGUUGUUUGAUUUCAUGUGGUGACCCCCCUUUGCCCAAAAAUUACUGAUAGCAUUUUGUUUUUUGUUUGUUUCAUAUGGCAUCAUUCUAUUAUUUCCGGCAGUAUUUAGACUAAAUUGGAGAGGGAGAACAAACUUGAUACACUAAGCAAGCAAUGUCGGUCAUCUGAGGGCUUGGGCGCCUGUUGUUCCAAGUUCGCGAGGUACUAAGAGCAUCUCCAGCCGUUGGCCCCCCUAGGACGCGUAAAAAUCGCCCCCCGGGGGCGAGCCGGCGACACAAUCGGCGCUGGGGGCGGUUUUGCGCCCAGUCAUCGCCCCCAGGUGCCGAAAUUGGCCCACUUUUCAGCCCCAUUUCGGCGAAUAAAGGGCCCAUAUGGGCGAGAAUAGGCCCAUAUUCGGCGUGGUUCGCCGUGGCUCGGCGUUCAAUUAUCAAUGUAAUUUUUUUCUUAUAACAUAUUUCAUCACAGAAAAAUCAAAUACUUCAACAAAACAGUACAACAACAAAUAGUUCAAUACAAAUUAUAUAGUUCAACAAAUAAAAACUCAUAUUUCAUCACACGUCGCGCCCGGCGUCCCCCUUGAGCCUCCAUAGGUGCUCAAUCAGAUCUUUCUGCAGUUGAUGAUGCACCUGUGGGUCUCGGAUCUCCUGACGCAUACUGAGAUAGGGAGUCCAGGUUGCCGGUAGCUGGUGAUCAACUUCGGCUAGAGGACCCUGCCUGUAGUAUGGUUCAGUGUCUAACACUGGGUCUUCUUGCUCGCUCUCGAUGAUAAUGUUGUGCAAGAUGAUACAGCAAGUCAUAAUCUCCCACAUUUGAUCUUUCGACCAGGUUUGAGCGGGGUACCGGACAACAGCAAAUCGAGAUUGGAGCACACCAAAUGCCCGCUCGACAUCUUUCCUGCAAGCCUCCUGAAUCUUCGCAAACCAGGCGUUCUUGCCUCCUGGCACAGGGUUUGAGAUCGUCUUCACAAAUGUCGACCAUCUUGGAUAGAUGCCAUCAGCUAGAUAGUACCCCUUGUUGUAGUGCCGCCCAUUGGUCUCGAAGUUCACCGGAGGAGAAUGACCUUCAACAAGCUUGGCAAAGACAGGAGAGCACUGCAGCACGUUGAUGUCAUUGUGAGUUCCUGGCAUACCAAAGAAGGAGUGCCAAAUCCAGAGGUCCUGUGUGGCCACCGCCUCAAGUACCACACUGCAACCGCCUUUGGCGCCUUUGUACAUCCCCUGCCAAGCAAAUGGGCAAUUCUUCCAUUUCCAAUGCAUGCAGUCGAUGCUUCCAAGCAUCCCAGGAAAUCCUCUUGCUGCAUUUUGUGCUAGGAUCCGAGCAGUGUCUUCCGCAUUGGGUGUUCUCAAGUAUUGCGGUCCAAACACAGCCACCACUACCCGACAGAACUUGUAGAAGCAUUCUAUGCUGGUGGACUCGGCCAUGCACCCAUAGUCGUCGAGUGAAUCACCGGGAGCUCCGUAUGCAAGCAUCCUCAUCGCUGUCGUGCACUUCUGGAUCGAGGUGAAUCCAAGUUUGCCGGUGCAAUCCAUCUUGCACUUGAAGUAGUUGUCUAACUCCCGGAUGGAAUUCACAAUCCUGAGGAAGAGCUUUCGGCUCAUUCGAUAACGGCGCCGAAAUGUUUUGUCGCCGUGAAGUGGAGCAUCGGCGAAGUAGUCGGAGUAGAGCAUGCAGUAGCCUUCGAGACGAUGCCGGUUUUUUGCUUUCACCCGCCCCGGCGCCGAGCCACCUCGCCGCGGCUUUUCAUUGCUCACCAGCAGCUGGGCGAGGGCGGCGAGCACCAUCAGAUGCUCUUCUUCCUGGACGUCGGCCUCGGCUUCCUCCUCCAGCAACCCGGCGAGCGCUUCCUCGUCAUUCGAGUCCAUCGCCGAGGCAGACAAAUCGCCGAACACCUUGCGCUCAGUGGGCGUGCACCCGCCGCUAAACUGCCCCUCUGCGGCCGGAAACGCCCAGCUGCUGUUGGAGGGGCUGCCGCGACAAACCUCUGCUAUUUUUCCGGCGGGGAAUGGCUAUCUAGCGGUGAAGGGCGGCGGGCGGCGCCGGGAUAUAGCUAGUGGCGGCCGAGGGCGCGGGGGGUGGAAGGCGAGUUGGGGAAGAAAAUCUUGACUUUUCACCUGAGGGUGUGGGCCAGCAGCGCUUUUCCCUUGCGCCGGAGCCCCCGAUCGCCCCCCAGUGCGCCGGGUUCGGCCUGCGCGCGCCGGGCGGAAAAAAGGGCCGAACCGGCGCUUUUCGUCGUCCUGGGGGCGCGACCAGGGCGUUUUUUUGGCGCCGACGCCGAAAAAGUGGCCUGGGGGGCCUGUUGGGGGUGCAGCUGGAGAUGCUCUAACUGUACUUUGAGGAAUAUCAUUUAGUGUCUGCCAAAGUCUAUUGAUGCGUGUACAGAAUAUCAACAAACGUAACAUACUCAUUCAUUGUAAUGUAAUACAAGAAUAUUUGAAUCUAUUGUAUCAAAAUGUGAUCUAUACAGUAACAAGUUGUGCGAAAAUCUAAAUGGUCAAGAUAUUUUUUUUUUGCGAGUAAUCUGAAUGAUCGAGAUGAUUGCUAUAUCUCUCUUUUUCACGGGCUGAGACUGCUGUGUCAGCUGGACUUUCUCUCAUCCCAAUGCUUGAGCGGACGACCAUGAUUUAGGGUGCAGCUGAGUGUGGGCACCAAAAUGCCCGUCCCCUUAAAAUUAUGCUAUUUAUAUCACCUUCCGUGAUGUUGUCUGUGAUAUUGGGUUGUUCUCAUCUAACACAAUUUUUCAGCAUAUCAUCGUGGUUCAUUAAUUCUCGACAUUUCUAUGAAAAAUCGUUUCUAGAUGAUGCAAAAGUUCACAUGUCUUUAUAUUAAUCAUGUGUACUUGGAAACAGGGUUUAGUUGUUCGUAUUGUCAUGGACUUUCAACAAUUAUCUAUAGUUUUCCAACUGAGGUUUCGAGCAUUUUCUUAUAAUUUAACAUGUGUUCCCACAGCAACGCCCGGGGUGUCAUCUAGUUAACUUGAAUGGCUGGUAGCGUUUUCUAGUACAAUCCAUUCACGGUUUGUCGAUGCAGAGUAUUCAUGAAUGAUUAACCAGUGCUCGGAUUAAGUUCAUGUAACUUUUUAUUUGAAAUAGGCAGACAACUUUCUUGAUGAUAUUUUUACUUCACACGGAAGGGGGCAUGUGUCAGUGAGCAUUACUGUUGUGCAUCUCUCACAGAACAAACCUACAUUUUAAGUCAAAUUCUGAAGAAAAAAAUCUGCACACAAACAUAGAGACGUACUAGCUAAACCCGCGCGGCGACACGCCGCGCUUGUUGAUUAAUCACGACUGUAUAUGUCGACUACGGGCUAAGCAGUAGAUUAAUGAAUAAUCAUCUGUUGUUAAUUAAAGAGAUCCAGAACAAUACAUAAAAAGGCCGAAGAUGACAAAUAACUGAAUUUAUUAUCGCCAUGCAAAUGCAUGGAUACAAACAGAACGGUUAACAUUGACAUAUCUCUAAGGAAAACUAUUUAUUGAAACCAUAUAGAGCUCACUCUAUGCAGUAAACAGUAUACAGUGCUAUUAUUUUACAAAACAACAACUAAACUUUUUUUGUAAGUUCUUUAUUAUCUGACAUACAAACAUUAAUAAGACUUGCUUCAUUUACAUGAAACAACAAAGGGUCUCGAGGAAUAACAUAUGUAGCUUAGCUUGUGCAUGAUGAGCAGCAAUACACUCCAGCUGCAUGAAGUCAUGUAGUCUCUUGGGUAGCACUAAAGCUAACACAUUGCACUUGUGGAAAGGAGACCGUAGGCAGGUCAUGGCGUUUAUGCUGAGCUUGUGCAAGAUGUGCUCAAGGUACGUACGUGGGGUUGUUGCCAACGGGUAGCUGAAUACCCCAUUACCAUUCUCACAGAACCUGGACGAUCACACCUCCUAAUCGUACACCUACACGAAACACACGGGGAAUAAGAAUUAAGAAUCAAGAGAAAGAUGUCCAAGCAAGCAACCAUGCAGGCAACAGGUGGCCAUUUCAUGUAAAAUCCAUGCACACGUAGUCACAUCGCCUGCCAAUCCCAUGCACACAGCCACAUCAGCCCGAUGAUAGCCCACCUCUAAAAAAAAGCUGCAUCGGCCUGAGCCCCCCUCUAAAAAAAGAAAACGGCAUCGUCCCGACAACCAUGCCCCACCGCUGCAUGCGGCUACUGAUUCCGGACCAAACAAUAUAUGGUGUAAACAAUCAGGGGUGAACAUUUUUGAGAAUUUUAAAUAUUGUAAGGGAAAAUAUUUUAUUCAAGAUAUUUUUUCCUAAAAAAAAUUUAUGUUUUUGAUUAUAGUUUAUAGACGACUAUGCUUCUAUUUGGAGAAAAAAGGUUUGAAAAGGGGUUGUGCACGAUAAGAGUAAAAUUAUUUUUUGGAGAGAACGCCCGUACUUCCAACUAACCAUGCAAGCAAAAAACAAUACGUACGACAAGGUUAUGACAGUACCCCAGACCUCUAUGUAAAGCUAGAUGGAACCAUCUGUAAAAAUCAAUCACAGUUGACGGACAUUCAACAUUGAAUAUAAAUGAGUCCCAAGCCUGAGAGAUUGAAGUUCGAUAUCAAAAAUUAUUAUAUACCAGGAAAAAGAAAAAUAGAUAAACCAACAAAUUACCCAGAGCUUAGAAGAUAACCGCUACACUUCCACAAUUCAUGCAGCAUCAGCACGCUGAAGAUCUUUUUUUUUUAAGCUAGCACGCUGAAUAUCUGGCGUAAGAAGAAGUGAUUAACAAAGCCAAGCAGCCAGACCUCUCCGUUCGCCAAAACUGUGAGGAAACCAGAAAAUGAAACUACCUGCAGUGAAAAGAGCUGUGCUGCUGGCGACAACUGCAAAGGUGUAACGCGAACUUCAUGUGCACCCGCUCUAACCCAGGACCUAGAGGGGAUGGAAGUCUCGGGCUCUGGUGACCCUGGGGACGCGCCCCCGCCCCCGGCGGGCGCCGCGGCCGGCGUUUCCUCCCCGCCCGGCUCCUCGUCGGACCCUCGCCCGGCUUCCCCGCCUCCUGCGUCGCCUGCCUCCUCGCCGCUCCCGUCCUCCCUCGAGGUGUUGCCGCGGAUCCGUUGGGCGGACCUCGCCGAGGAGGACGAACCCCCCUGGCCGACUGCCCUGGCCCCUCCCGUCCCCCCCGCCCCCCUCCCCCCGUUCGUGCGUCGCCGACCAGCGUGGCCGCUGGCUCAGCCUCCCAUUGCGGAGGUUCUGCCUCCGGCUCGCGGCGGCGCGCGCAGAACCGGCCAAUGAGCUCUGCUCGUCCGCCUCGGGGCCAAGGCGCAGCCUUGCGGGGCUCGGGAGGCCGCCGACGCUGCUCCUGGGGAGUGGCGGGCCGGUCUGACUUGGUUUCGGCUCGGUCCUCCUGGUGGGCGUCCACGGCGUCCCCUCCUCGGCUGACGCCGGCGACUCCCUCGGCUCUUCCCACCUCCCCGCCCGCCGGCGUGAUAGUGCCCCGCUGCUCCCCGUUCCGACCCUUCAUCGCCGCGUUUGGCUCCUUCGCGCAUCAGUUCCGUCCUCUCUCCCUCCCUCGUCGCCCUUGGCCGGCGGCCUCACCCCCCUUGCCCCGGCAACGGUGGCGGCGGCGGCUCCUCCCUGCGAAGGGGAAACCCUUCCGCGCGGUGCCCCGCUCCCUGUCCUGGGCCGUGCCCCUUUGGGCUGCGAGGAGGUGGCCCGCUCGCGCCGGGUAGCUGGCCUGGCCCUCCGGGCUCAUAGGCCUCUUCCCCAGGCCGCGGCAGCUGGGCCUUCGAUCCUUGGGCCGGCUCCGUGCCCUAAGCCCAGUCAGCCCCCUCGAUCGAUCUGGCUACCCUACGGCCUGCCGCGCCCCUCGUCCCCCCCCACCCUGCCGCCAUGGUCUCCCCCUCUCCCGAAGAGAUCUCCAGUUCCUCCCCAUCCCCGCCCCGCUCCACCCGCCUCCUCGUCCUCCCUCGCCGGCGACCGCCGGCUCGGAUUCCUCCCUGUCCGCUGGCUCCGCCCAUGACGCGGGAGUGGGAUGACGGCGUGGAUCGCCGCAAGCGGCGCUACGACGACCGCCGCGACCCCCCUCGUCCCUCCCCGGACGCCGCCCGUCGCGAGGAUGAGCUGCGGCGCGAGCUCCGGGACCGGGAGAGCCGCCGCUCGCAGGGCUUCGACGACCGUCGCGACCACCGCCGCUCCCCGGGCCGCUCCGAUGGGCGUGCUCGGUCCUGCUCCCCUCCGCCGGCGGCGGGCAACUGGCGCUCCUCGCGGCGGCGCUCUCCUUCCCCGCCCCGAUGCCGGGAGCGCAGCCCAUCCCCUCCCCGCCCGGCCCGUCCUCUCUCCCCGCGUGCGCCUCCCCAACCCGCUGCUGCCCCGGCCAGGAAGUACGUCCCGCCGCACGCCGCAAACUCCUCUGGUCCCCCUGUCGCCGGUGGUGUUGGGGGUGGCCAGGCUCGCGGUCGCCCGGGUGCGGCCAAAAAGAAGAAGCGGCGCGGGCAGGCUCGGGCAAACCAACAGGCAGCCCCUGUGCCGGCCUCCGGCCGCUCGGCUGUGUCUGGCCCAGUCUCUGGCCGCCCCAGUCCGCCGUGCUUCAACUACGGCAUUGCGGGUCAUUCCCAGGUCAACUGUGUCAACCCCCCAUGUGCUACAUUUGCAAGGAUCCCUCCCACCCCGCGCUGUUGUGCCCGGACCAGCCUAUCGACGAGGAGUUGAUGAUGUACGGCCAUGGGAUCGAGGGGCCGGGGUUCUUCCACAUCGAGCUCCCGGACGUCCCCUCCCCCUCCCUCCAGGCGCUCGUCACGAUGAUUGAUGGUGUCGCCUCCCCCGAGAUGAUUGAGGUUGAGCUCAACCACCUCUAUCGUCGCCAAUGGGACUGGCAGGCCACCCUCACCACUAAUGGCGCUUUCUCGGUGGUCUUCCCCGACGCUCUCAGCCACGGCUACGCCACGCGCAGUGAUCAGAUCACUCUCGCCCUCAACAAGUUGGUCGUCGACAUCUCCGAGCCGAUCCUCGACCCCAAGGCCGUCGCGGUCCUUGACACUGCUUGGAUCCUGGUCGCCGGGCUUCCUGACAUUGCCCGGUCUGAGCGAGUGAUCCGCAAUAUGUCUCGGAUCCUUGGCAAGGUGGUGGUGGUCGACGAGCUAUCCCCCCGCAAGGAGGAGGUGCGCGUCAAAGUCAAGUGCCUCGACUCCUCUAAGCUGCGCGCCACCAUCCGAGUCUUCUUCAACGACCAAGGCUUUGAUCUCCGCAUCGCUCCCGAGCCGCCCAACCAUGUGGGUCGGCCCCGCUUCUUCGACGACGCCCCCCCGGCGCUCCUCCUGGGUCCCAGGAUGACUACCGCGGUCGUCAUCACCCUCGGUCGCACCACUCCGAUGAUGAGGAGGGAUCUGAGGACAGCCCUUCCCGCUCCCCUUCGCCACCUCGCCCGGUCCCGUCCUCGAGCCGUGGGGGGCAGCAAGCUGGGCUCGCUGCGCCUCCUCCUUCUCCGGUUGCAGCCGCCUCCGAGGGGAGUGAUGCCUCCGACAUCAGCCUCAUCGUCACCCCGGCCUCCUCUCCCCGCUCCCCCGACACGCUCCCUGCCGUGACGAUCCUGGACGUGUAGCCGACCGCCUCCGUCCUGGCCUCCCCUACGGCUGGGACCCCUGUCGCGGCGCGCGCCUCCCCGGCCACCUUCUCACCGACGCUCCAGGGUGCCGCGCCACUCCUCCCCAGCUCGCCUCCCCUAGUGAUGGCCCCCGAGGAGCCCCCACCCCCACGGCAGCCGCUCCCUCCCCGUCGCCGCUGCCGGCGGUAACUGGGGUUCCUCCCGCCCCUGAUCCCGCGUCGCCAGCUCCUGCUUCAUCCCCCCGACGCCUCGACUGCUCCCAGCCGCUUCUCCUCCUCGCGGGUACGGCGGACCCCGGCGGGGAGGGCGAGACUCGGGUGACCACCCCCGUGGCUUCCCAGCCACCUCCCUCACGGUCCGCGGCCUACUCCCGCCGUGGUCGGUCCUCCUCCACCCCGGUGACGGCCUCGCGAUGGAGUGUCAGGCUUGAGGCCGCCUGGCCGGACGGUAGCCCUGCUCUGCCCAUCCCCGAGCCGGCGGAGCUUCGGGCCGCUGCCCGGAACCUGGAGUCAGGUACGCCAGUCGCCCCCCCUUCAACUUCUACUUGCUCAUUCUUUGCGCUCGAAGCGGUUCCUCUAGGUCACCUUGCGAAGGUUGUGUCAGACUCCGUGAUUGUUUUCAGGGGGGAAUCCGCUCCCCCCUUAGUGCAGAUUGCGGCCAUCCAGGCUCGCGAGAUCCUUGAUGGGAAGUUGGCGGAGGCCCGCCAGACCCUCCUCGCUCCCUCCAUCCCCUCGGGCCCUCCUCCGGUGGCUACCCCGUCACAACCCCGUAGGGCGGCUGGCCGCCCACCAGUGGUGGAGGCUGAGCCUCGGGGCCGCACCCACUCUCGCACUGCCGCUCUCCGCGCCCGAAGCGCCUCCCGCGUCCUGGGGUCAAGCAGCCCCCCAAUGGUUUCCUAAUGUGUGCCUUAUUCUGGAACAUCCGCGGGUUCGGCCAUGACGGCCGGCGCCGCCAACUCAUCGAGUACGUGCGCGAUGAGCAUAUUGACAUAGUGUCGAUCCAGGAAACCAUGCGCUCUGACUUCUCAUUGCCAGAGCUUGACCGGCUGAGCACCCACCUCUUUGCGUGGCACUGGCUCCCUUCUAGUGGGAACGCCAGCCAUUCGGGUGGCAUCCUUCUAAGUGUGAAGGAUGCCACCUUCGAGAUGGGGAGUAUGGACCGGGGCCAGUUCUUUGUUAGUAUGGAGCUCUAUGAACGAGCCCUGAACUUCAAAUGGGAGGUUAUCAUCGUCUAUGGCCCGGCUGACCACAGUAGAUCCGCGUCCUUCCUCGAGGAGCUUAACCGGAAGGGUCUCUGCGGCCUCCCUGCCGGUGGUUGUCGGAGGCGAUUUUAACCUCCUCUGAUUCGCGGAAGACAAGAGCAAUGACCAUGUCAACUAUGCACGUAUGCAGAUAUUUAAUGACUGCAUUGCCGAUCUUAGUCUUCGCGAAAUAGAUAGGAUCGGUGCCAGGUUCACCUGGACCAAUCGGCAAGCCUCCCCGACCCAGUCCGUCCUGGACCGGGUCCUAGUCUCCCCAGAAUGGGACCUCUGCUGCCCUCUGGCCUCUCUUCGGGCUAUCACUCGGAUUGGCUCCGACCACGUCCCUCUUCUCUUGUCCUCCUCCGAUGAGCGUCCUCUGAUCCCUCCCCGAUUUCGGUUUGAGACAUUCUGGUUGUUCCAAACUGGAUUCGUGGAGGCUGUUGGGGCUCGCUGGGUGGAGACCAGGACUCUUCCUCACCUCCGCCCCCCUCUGCUAUUGUCUCUUGGCACCUCUGUGCCAAACGCGGCCGACAGUUCAUGAAGGGAUGGGGUGCCAACCUGGGUCGCGACCUCCGCGAGCGAAAAAAGGCCUUGCUGACCGCCAUUCAGGCACUUGACCUCCGUGCUGACACGGUCGGCCUCUCCCCUGAUGAGUGGCUCUCUCGGUAUGACCUUAAAGACCAACUCUCCAUCAUCUACACGGACAAGGAAGCUUACUGGCAUUUGCGGGGUUCCUAGAAAUGGGUCCUGAAGGGCGACGCGAACACGGCCUACUUUCAGGCCAUAGCAAACGGCCGCCGUAGACGCAACACUACCCCCCUCCUCUGGGACGGUCUGUCCCUUCUGCAGUCCCCGAGCGACAUAGGACCCAUGUCGACGGGUUCUACCGAUCCCUUUUCUCCGCCUCUCCUAGGAGCGGCCAUUCUCUAGCCCUCGAUUGCUGGUCCGGCCGCCAGCUUGUCUCCGCUGCGGAGAAUGCCGCUCUCACGGCCCCAUUCUCGGAGGAUGAGGUCUGGGCGGCCAUUAGAGGCAUGAAUCCCUCCUCGGGCCCGGGUCCGGACGGCCUUCCGGUGAAAUUCUUCCAGACCUUCUGGAAUGUGAUUAAGCCGGAAAUCAUGGCCAUCUUUGACGAGUUCUAUGUUGGGACCAUCGACCUCGGGCGCCUCAACUAUGGGAUCAUCUCGCUCAUUCCCAAAGUGCCGGGGGCCUCCGACAUUCGCCAGUUUCGCCCGAUCACGGUGAGCAAUGUGAUCUUCCGGAUUCUGGCAAAGGGGUACGCCAAUAGGGUAACCCUGCUAGCAGACCUCAUUACCCACCCCAACCAGUCCGCCUUCGUGAAAGGGCGGUAUAUCCUGGAUGGGGUAUUAGUUCUCCAUGAAGUCCUCCAUGAGGUGUGGUCUAAACACCUCAAGGCGGUCUUCCUGAAAAUUGAAUUUCACAAGGCCUACGACACUGUUAGUUGGUCCUUCCUUCGGGAAGUUUUGCUCCGGAAGGGCUUCGAUGAUUGUUGGAUCACCCGGGUGAUGCAGAUGGUGUCCUGCGGGCGCACUGCCGUGAACAUCAAUGGGGAGAUUGGUCCUUACUUCCCCACCCUCUGUGGGGUUAGACAAGGCGAUCCUUUCUCUCCGUUCCUGUUCAACAUGGUGGUGGACGCGCUUGCCGCCAUCCUAGCUAGAUAAGGCCAAAACCGCUGGCCAUAUUCGUGGGAUUACCCCUCAUCUGGCGGGCGGCUCCGGGAUCUCCAUGCUCCAGUACGCCGAUGACACCAUCAUCAUGGUCGAGGGCUCGGACACGGACAUCGCUAACCUCAAGUUCCUUCUUCUCUGCUUCCAACAAAUGUCUGGCCUCAAGAUCAACUUCGACAAGAGUGAUGUGAUGGUUAUGGGCUACUCUCCGGCUGAAGCCCUUGACAUCGCCAACCGCCUCAAUUGCCGCCUCGGCUCCUUUCCCACGACUUACUUGGGAACCCCCAUCAGUGACUCUUGGCUCACUGUCGCGGACUUGCGCCCCACGAUCGCCAAGUUACAAACGCGCAUGGAGCCUUGGCAAGGCCGAUGGCUGUCAAAGGCGGCUCGGACGAUCCUCAUUAAUUCCUCCCUCACUAGCCUCCUCCUGUUUCUUAUGAGCUUCUACAGCCUCCAUGAGACCCUUCACCAUGAGAUCGCCAAAAUUCAAUCUCGUUUCUUCUGGGCGGGUGACAACAAUAAGCAGAAAUACCACAUGGUUAGCUGGACGGACAUCUGCAAGCCCUGUGAACAGGGAGGCCUCGGUAUCAUGUGCUCUAAACGCAUGAACAUCACCCUCCUCACCCGCUGGCUCUGGCACAUUUCGCAAGGACACCGUGGUCUCUGGCUUGACAUUAUCCGGAACAAGUACCUGCGCGGACAGCCCCUCGCCUUCUGUCAGAGAUCCGGCGGCUCCCAGUUUUGGCAAUCGGUUGUCCAACUGCUUCCUGUCCUUCGCAUCGGAACCUCCAUCGCGGUUGGAUCGGGUACAGCGACGCUGUUCUGGUUCGACCGGUGGGCGGGAGACUCCCCCUUUGCGGCCCGUUUCCCCGACCUCUUCUCCAUUGCUGUCGCCCCCUUAAUCUCCGUUGAGAGGGCCCUUAUUGACUUAGGGCGCCUCGCCUUCCGGAGGCCAUUUGGGCCCCCGGAAGCCGCCGCGGGGCUUCAGCUGCUUGAUUGCGUCGCUCUCCACGAGCCGGCGGUGGAUGCGGGCCCGGACGAGGUUCGGUGGCGUCUUGAGCCUUCGGGCCAAUUCUCCACCAAGUCCCUCUACUUGGCCAUUGCCCCCUCCUCCGCUCCUCCCCCCUCCCUGCGGUUUGGUCCAUCCGCUUGCCAUUGAAAAUUCGGAUAUUCAUGUGGCAAUGGAUCCGCGGUAGGAUUCCGUCUGGGGUGGAGGUCCGCAAACGCUAUGGCCCUGGGUCCGGCAUCUGCCCCCUGUGUGGUACCCCCGAAGAUUUGAAUCACAUCUUCUUCUCCUGUGUCUCAGCUCAAUUCAUGUGGAUCUCCUUUAGGGAGGCAGUGGGAGGCGAUUGGUGUCACACCAACUUCCCCGACCUCUUCGCCGAACUCCAAAACUCCCCUUCCCCCUCUCGCCACAUUAGGUGGCUCGAGAUCGGGGUUCUAGCGUGGACUCUUUGAACGAUUCGCAAUAAGCUUGUGAUCCAGCGUAUUCCUCUUCGACGGGCUACUGACGCUCUCUUCAAACUGUCUGGUUACUUGCAGCUUUGGCGGCCGCUUAGCUGCCCUCAGGACCGCGACGCCAUCACCGCCUUCAUCGCCGACCUUCGCUCGAUGGCCGUCCGUCUGUCGCCGCCGCCCCCUCCGCCACCCCCGGAGCCGGAUUAGACGCCUUGCCUCGGCCGUGUCCUUUUUGUUUAUUUUUGGCUUGUUGAGCUGUGCCCUCAGCAGAACCUUUGCACUUCUCGUUUUGUGACUUGGGUGUGUGUGUUCUGAACUAGUCCGUGUAUGUGUGCUCUUGGCGGUUAGCUUUAUAUAUAAAGCGGGGCGAAAGCCUUUUUCGGUAAAGGUGUAACGCAGGGCACAAGGUGCAGCGACAUGCGCCGGCAAAACAGCAGUCCCGACUAGCCGGAGCAGUCCGCCCCCGCACGUGCUGAGCACCACGGAUCACAAAUACAGAGUUGCCAGCCCGACAGCGCAUGAAGACUGGCAUCGGCGAUGUACACAUACAUUGUCUGGCCCGAAGCCCGUGUCCCCCGUCCGCUGUAGUGGUCGCCGCCACCGCCUCGGGGAAUCACCGAAGAGAUCAGGACACUGCUCCAUCGGUGAUCUGGCCGCUGGCGAGGAGCAUCUCCUAGGCGUGCUGUGGGCCGCCACCGCAGCAGUAGGAGGCCCUGCACUACAAUACAGCUACAUCUACAGGCCGUCUCUCGCCAGGAGCUACCGGACGCGUGCGCCGGCGUCCACAGAUCCGGGCCGCACGCCACUACGUCCAGCUCGUCCGAGUGCUACCACUACUAGGGGGAAAACCCUAGUAGUAGCGCGGGUUUAAUGCCCACUAGUAGCGCGGACAGCCGCGCUACCAAUAAGGCGCUGCAGUUAUUACUUAGCAGUAGCGCGUGCAACAAGCACUACUGCUAAGACACAUAGCGGCAUCGCUUGUUCUGUCCCGCGCUGCUGCUAAUCUAGCUAGUUGUAGCGUGUUUACUAUCCAUCGCUACUAGUACUCUUUUUUUUCAUUUUUAGUGUAUUUAUACGCCGUUAUACAAAUUUUGUACAAUACCAAUUAUGAGGUUUAUAUCAUUAUGUCCAUAACCGUGUGUCAAAUGAAGGUGGAGUAGGUUCAAGUGGAGGCAAUAUGUGGUGCAUGUCAAAAGUAUACUACUAAUCCAAACUUGAUCUAGUUUGGACUAGUAGUACUUUCGAUGUGCACCACAUGUUGCCUCCACUUGAAUCUAAUCCGCCAGCACAAGCUAUUUAAUCAUCAUCAUAGUCAUUACCACCAACAGUAUUUAUUUAAUCACCAUAGUCAUAGUGUAGCACAUCAUCAUCUUCAAACUCAUUCUAGCUAGCUAAUCACCACCAACACUAGAUGCGGUAGCUAUCUAAUCACCACCAACACUAGCAAAUAAUAAUUAUCAUAGUCAUUACCACCAACACUAGCUAUUUAAUCAUCAUACUCAUAGUGUAGCACAUCAUCAUCUUCAAACUCAUUUCUAGCUAGCUAAUCACUCCUGCUGCUCUCUCUCAGGUAAAAUAACAUAAAACAUGUGUAGCUCUCCUCCUUCAUCAAGUUGGAGCAUGCAGAUGAACCUGUCUCCUAAUCGUGGUCUACGCUUCUCAUUGCUGCCCCCUAGUACUUCUCUGCGCUCCUCCAUCACAAAUUUGGUCCAGUCUUUCACUAUUAAGACUUCCUCGCUCUUAGAAAUCCUGAAUGCACUAAAGUGCAUUGUAGGAUAUCUUGGCCGUAAGCUAACAAUACUCAUGGUACCAUUAGUCUCGAUCCCAUGAGGCACAACAUUCAUCGGGAGUCCCAGUUGAAGAACAUCGUAUAGUAACAUACUUAGCAAUGAAGUUUAGCUUAAAAAUAAUGUAUGCAAAAGAUGCACUGAGGACAAAUAGUAAAACUCUUACCAUCUUUCCUAAAUAGAUAUGACCGUAGUUCAUUACGAACACUAUUGGUCGCACGUUUUCAGUACUAACAUUUCUAAGUGCAGGAAGAAAAUUUGUCUUGACAGUAUCAAGAUCCUCAAGCAAUGAAACAUAAUGACUUAGCUCCUCGCAGUUUAGUUCAGCCCCGGGACAGUAGUAGGUCCUGUCUACCAAGCGCUGGACAUGUUUGCUUGAACCGAAAUAAGCUGACAAUAGAAAUUAGUUGUCAACUAUUUUUGAAUAAACAAUAUUAAAGACAUAAAUAUGGUUGAGAAACUCACAUAAUGGUAUAACUGGAGGCGCCUGCACAUCGACCCAGAUGUCGGUAUUACCUUCAAUAUCAUCUUCUGGAUGAAUAUCAAAGGUGAUAACCAUAUCAGGCUCAAAUGCAUAAGUCUUGCAUAGUGUUCGCCAAGUUUUGCAUCCAAAAUAGGUGUAGUCGUCUGCAUUGUAUAAUUUUACGUGGAAAAUAUAACCAUGCUCGGUCUUCAAGUAAACUUUCUUUACCUCCAUAGUACGACUGAAACCUAUCUUAUCCAAGACAAAAACUCUUGCAUGGCAGGGGAUACGCUAGUAGAAUAGUAAAAAAAAUUUAAAUUAUAAGUUGAAGGAAAUGAAGCAGAUGUCAUGCUUAAUUACGAAAAAAAACUUGUCGUUGUGACUUACUGUAUCCACUUCGAAGUUCACGUCCAGCUUGAUGCUGAAGCGCCAAUCAUCAUCUAGGAAGAUUCCGUCGCACAGGCCGCGCUCGUCUUCGCAGUAUUUGCAAAUACCGAAAUCCUUUUCGUUGUCAGACAUUUCCUAUGUUCAUAGUUGAAACAUUAAUUGAAAAUCGAUCGAAGACAACUCCAGGAUAGUCAAAAUAUCUUAUAGGAUCAUAUUGACAUGAGCAUUCAAUAAGCAAAACCAAAUCGUAAAAUAAAUAAGUAUUCAAAUUAGCAUGCAUUCAAUAAGCAAAAGUAAAUCAUCUCAUGCGUCCGUACAUCGUCGAAUAUUAUCACUAAUACAUCCCAAAUAGUAUCAUACAUAUAACAUCACUAAUACAGCUAAAACCCUAGCGCACGACGGGUAUCAGCGCGGGCGGUGGACACCCAAAGAGAAGGAACCAUCACAGGAUCAUAGCUCCAAUGAGAUCCCUGGAGAACCUGCCAGGUAUUGGAGAACCUGUGCUCCAACGCAACAAGUAGCGAUGGACGUGCGCGUCCUCCUCACUGACACGGUCAUGCACCACCUCCGCGGGGUCCUCGAGCCUCUGGACCGUCACUGGCCCACGCGACCGCCACCAAAGAAGGUUCGGGUCAACGACAGGCUGGCUCCUCACCAACCUGCGCCCCCUGGUAGGUAGCGCCUCCCAGUACCACCCCGGCGGAGCCCAGUCCCGGACAUGGCCCAUCUGGUGACGCAGGUGUCCUCCACCGACUCGACGACGAGGAUGCGGGAUAGGCAUCGUCGACGUCGAUGCGCGAAAAAUUGCUUUAACUAAAAAAAUAACAACAAAUGUGACAUGUUCAACUAGUUCUAUAAAUUCAACUAGUUCUUACGAUUAAAUCUAGUCAAUUAAUUCUAUACCUAAUAAAAUGAAUAAUGACAUAAAAAAGGCCUAUGCUUUGCAGGAACAUUGACUCCUUCCCGGUGCGGCAAAUCCCGGGCACUCGAUAUGUCCUAGUUUGUAGCACAAGUCAUGUCGAAAUUCACGAAAAAUUUCGGCAUGACUUUUGCUAAAAAGUGGACAAAUCGAGAACCUGAAAUUUGCCGGAACGGAAAUGAAUCAACAUUCCGGCAAAACAUAGGCCACUCGGCUUCAUUUCCUGAAAACAAUAAAGCCACUUGGGCACAAUCGAACCACUUCAAUAAUGGAAUAUGCAAAUGAACAUCAAUGACAUAUAUCAUAUAACAACAAUAUGCAAAUGAAAUUACUGUUUAGGCCUUUUCAUAAAAAUUUGCCCUAGCUAAUUUCCUAAAAAAAUUGCUAAUCAUUUUUCCUAAAUGCUAAAAAAUGCCUACUGCCCUAAACAAAUCUAGGGUUCAUAUGAACACCUAGGGUUCAUAUGAACAUCAACACAGCAUCAACACAUAUAUAAAUUGCCCUAGCAGAGCGAGAGGGGGGUAGGGGAGAGGAGAGGCAGAGCCUUACGGUGAUUGCGGCGAGGGAGGGGCAGGCGGCGUCGAGGUCGGGGUCGGGGCUCGGGCGCGCGGCGGAGGGCGGCGUCGAGGUCGGGGUCGGGGGCGGCGUCGAGGUCGGGGUCGGGGGCGGCGUUGAGGCGGGAGAGCGCGUGGGAGAGCGCACGGCGGCCGACGGGCGACGGCGGCGGCGACAGUGGAGGAGUUGCGAUUUGGGGGAAGUGGCCGUUGGGGAAAACGAAUCGAGCGGUUUAGUCAGAAGUAGCAGUAGCGCGUUCCAGGAAGUGCGCUACUGCUAACAUAGCUACAGCGCGUUCGUGGAUACGCGCUACUGCUAUACCAUUCUCUUUUUUCCAAUUUUUCAUUUAUUUUUAUUUACAUUUUAUUUUUUUCUUUCACCUUUCUGUAUUUCUUUCAUUUUCAUUUACUUUUCUAUUUGCUUUUCAUUUAGUUUUAUUUACUUUAGAAGUAGCGCGUCUCAGCGUAAACGCGAUGCUACAAAGCAAAUAGCGGUAGCGCUGUUUGGCGAAGAUCGCUACUACUAUGUGCAGCCUAUCGGCUAAGCCGUGGGAAUUUUAGUAGUAGCGCUUUUGUACGCUGGCGCGCUAUUGCUAUAACGGUAUCUAUAGCCCGGUUUACAACACCGCGCUGCUGCUAAUUAGCACCAGCGCGUGUUUUUAACCCGCGCUACUGCUAAUGUCCUGUGUAUAAGAUUUUCCCUAGUAGUGUCGCGGGUUGCCGUUCAACCACAGCCACCUCCGCCCCAUCCGCACCACCGUGCAGGCGUUCACGGAGGGCCGCCCGUGCCCGCGCCUUAGAAGAAGACCAAGAAGCUAGCGGAAGCCUCCAUCCGCGCCAAGCUCAGGGACUUCCGUAAGCUGGCCUCCCCCGGCGGGCGGCUCGCGGGAUUCCUCAACAUCAUCUUCGCCGGCAAGCGCGCGGUACGUGUGCUCAUCGGCGUCGUGGUAUUCGUGGUCCUGCCUGAGGAAGACCAGCUGACACGCGGGCAGGAGCACCGUACCGUGCGGUUCAUGGAUAGUGACCGCGAGGCGCCGGCGGCGGUGCCUGGUGCAAAUCUUGGGACGGUACCGGCGCUGGAGGCGUCCUCCGGCUGGCGAUGGCAACACGAUCUCCAGCAGAGCUUCAAGGUUAGUGGAGCCAUGGCACCGGGCCGCUCAAGGUGUGUAUAUACUUGCCGUGUCCGGCGUACACUGCGUUGUCCGCUGGGAAGGAGGAGAGCCGGCCUCUUCUUAUAUAGGCUUAUAGGGCGGUGGCGUUGUGCUCAGAUUUUGCCCGGGCUUUCUAGAGAAGACAGGGCAUGGGGAGAGAACACAACGACCGAACCAACAGCGGCACACAGGCAACGACAGUGACAGGAACCAAUAUAGAACCCGAUGACGAAUAGGAAACAAGAAAGCGACUUCGGCCAACAGCACCAGAGACUGACAGCGACCUAUCACAAUAGCGAAGAAGGGCCAAAGACAGCGACUAAUCACAAAUGCGAAGAACGGCACCAGAGAAAAUACUAAACGAACCAAACCAAGCUGCACACACGUUCAAAAAAUUUCAAACGAAAACCUGAAUCCACAACUCAUUUGUACACAACCAGGUACCAAAAUAAUACGCGUGCCCCAUAGGAAUUUACCCAAAAGUCUUUUUCAUCCAAGUGGAUGAAUCUUGGAGCGAAAAAGCUCCCGGAUAUAGAGGUUUGGGUAUAUUACACGUGUGUGAAGUUUAAUGAUGAAAUACCUUAUGAUGUCGCUACAUAAAAAAAAUACAAAUUACUCAAAGUUGUGCAACGAAGAACAGAAAAGUGAACCAUCGCCAUAUUUUGGGAAGGAGCGAAAAAACUCUUUGGAGGACGAGCUCCAUGUAGGACUCGUUAUCUGGUGCGUGUGUCUUUCUUAGAACCACGCUCAAGACCUUAUUCAUCGCACGUAUCUCACCUGCCAACCAUUUUACACACCACCAUAUUCUUGUUUUUUUUACGGGACCGUAUUCUUGUUUUAUGAAUAGUACUACCCCUUUUCCAUUAAAAAAAAGAGUUGUGCCAUCACAUGUUAACAGGUUGGGCCUACCAGUGCAUGAAGUCUAUCACCCCGCCCCCAAGCCUAAUUUGGUACAAUUUUGACCCUGAAAUCUACAAAACCGGACAAAUUUACCCCUCGAGUGGUUUUGCUAUGAUUUGGGUGGUUUUGGAUUGUGUUGCGGGGUGGACAUGGCGAUGUAACUCAAGGUGACGGUCACCGCAACACGGGCGCAUGCGGGGCGCGUGAUUCCCGCUGGAGAGGGUGAAAGAAGGGGGAGGGAAGGGGAAGGAGGGGCUAGGGCAUCGGAGGCGAAGCUGUAGCACCUCGACGACGAGCAUCAGGCGUCCAUGGCAGUUGGAUGAAUGACAUAGAGGAGAGAGGUGGAGAGAGGAGGAAGAUGAUGUCAGAUCCAAAACCACGAAAAUCAUAAUCAAAACCGCUUUAGGGGCACAUUUAUCUAGUUUUGAAAUUUUUAGGGUGUAAAUUAUACCAAAAGCAGUCUUUAGGGGGGGGGUAUUUGUCCAUUGAACCACAUUUGAAGUUGAAAAUGAACUUCUUUCUAUCCAUUAUGUUGCAUUGUGGCCCGCGAGAACGGAACAUGGGCAUGAAUCUGGUUGGAUGUGCCUCUUUGAAGUCGUUGCCAUUUGGUCGAGCUGCUGGGAUUCCUGGCCUAGACGUUUGCUGGUUAGCAAUCUACUACUCCCUCCGUUCCUAAAUAUAAAUCUUUUUGAGAUUGUACAAUAAAGAAUACAUUCAGAUGUAUAUAGACGCCUUUUAAGUAUAGGUUCACUUAUUUUACUCCGUAUAUAGUCUAUUGUGGAAUCUCUUAAAAGACUUAUAUUUAGGAACGAAGGGAGUACUCCUCUUGUCCGUGGUACUCUUUCGCUUUCUUGGGCACAUGCUUUUGCACCAACGGUGAGUGGUGCCUGGCAUUACUUCUUCUAUGGCAACCUCCAUCCUGAGCCUGGUCUGUUUUUACACAAAAUAGAAAACACAAAACCAUAAAAGAUUUGUGGGUACCCCCAUGGGAAACAAACGAGGUUGAUCUCUCUCUCUCUCUCUCUCUCUCAAAUUCCUGAGCAUUUUUUAACUCAUAAAGAAUUUUUAAAAUUAAAAAAUAUGUUUUUAGUUCGUGAACAUUUUCUCAAUAGGCAAACAUUUUAGUAUGUUCAAGAACAUUACUCAAAUUCACCAACAUUUUCCAAAUGCGCAGAAAAUUUUCAAAUUUGUGAACAUUUUAUUAAAUACAUGAACAAUUUUUCAUAUUCAUGAACAUUCUUCCAACUUCAUGAACAUGUUUUCAAAUAUGCGUCCCUAUUCACGAACAUUUCUCAAAUUUGUGAAUGUUUUUCAAAUACGUGAACAUUUUUUUAAGCUUGGGAAAUUUCUCUCAAGUUUGCGAUCAAUUUUAUAAAUACAUAAACGUUUUUAUGUAUUGGGGAACAUUUUCAAAAUACGCUCCUCGAAGAUGAAUUCCAUCCAUCCUUGGCCAAUAUUUUUGUUUCUGAAACUGGGCCGAAAUCAGGCCAGUAAAUGCAAAGUGAUAAACUUUUUGUUGAUGGACUGAUCGAUUGUUCCACCGGCCUAACUACCUCCACACGGUGCAAAUUCAAAGUCCGUGAACGCUAUGUCUCGCAUUACGCGAGACGGUAGCAGCUCUCGCUGACGGUUUUUCCAUUUUUACAAAAAAAUUAAAUGCUUGAUUAACAUUUGCGUGCAUAUAGUUAGAGAAAGAGCUGAGGAAAGGGGGAACCAGAAUCGAUUCCUGGUCUCAAAGGUGACAGCGGGUGCUGCUACAAAGCCCGACCAAGUCCCGUUCGUGAUAAUUUGUAGGUGCGCGUCAUACUUUUGGCGAUUCAAGCCGGUUUUCUUUGAGUUUUUUUCCUUUUUCUCUUUUUUUCUUCUUCAUUUUUUUAUUCUUUUUUGCACUCGUUUCUUCAUUUUUUUCAUUUCUUUUUUCCUUUUGUUUAUUUUCUUUGUUCUUUUGGUUAUUAUUGUGCAUUUUUUGUAUACGUCAACAACAUUUUUUAAUACACGUCUAACAUUUUUCAAAUACAAACCAACAAUUUUUGCAAUACAUGGUCAAUAUUUUUGUAUACACAUUUUUUAAAUGCUUGAUUAUCAUUUUUCAAAUACAAGAUUAACAAAUUUUCAAUUCAUGGUCAACAUUUUUUUCCAUUUUUACAAAAAAAUUAAAUGCUUGAUUAACAUUUUCUUAAUACAUGGUCAACUUUUUUUCCAUACACAUUUAACAUUUUCCAAACGCUUGAUUAACAUUUUCAAACCCUUGUUCGACAUUUCUUUCAAAUGUUGGAUUAACAUUUCUAUAUACAUGAUCAAACAUUUUUAUCAUUUUUAAUACAUGGCCAACAUUAUUACCAUACACAUUUAACAAUUUCCCAAUUCUUGAUUAACAUUUUUUAAAUACUCGUUUAACAUUUCCCAAUUUUAGCUAGCUAUGGUGCAAACUAAGUGUUGUGCCUCGUCUUAAUCUAUCUAUAUAUCCUAUCUUCUAUUCGGCGAGGUGGCUGCGCCCGUGGCGAAUGCGGUCGCCGCCAUUGCCGGCGCCUGACUUGGUCGAUCUGCCUCUUCUCUUUAGAUGAGAUGGGGAGGAGAUGGUGAGAGAUGAGGUCAACGGCUUUGGGGAGAGGAUAAGGGUAGACGCCAACGGUGAGGCGGCGUGAGGAAGACGAGGUGGUUCGCGGCGGCGACGCGUGAGGGGAGGGGAAGGGAGGGGUAGUGGUGCGUGGAGGGGAGUGGGUAUGCGGCGUGCCCAAUUCGCGAGAGAGGAGAGAGGUCGGCAAGGGAGCGAUCCAUGGGAGUUUUUUUUCCUUCUGAGUGAGCCUAGUUGGGCUAUCUGCUGCGUCCAAGGCCCAGUGCACCACAUGUCUUCAAAUUGGCCACCAGUAGCAGCCCUUAGAACAGCAUGGCCAAUUUGCAAAUUUAAAGACAUAAGUUUUUUGCACGCAUGAAAAACAUAACAUGUAUCUUUCCACACAUAAUGAACUAUAGGUACUACCCCAAAAAAACAUAAUGAACUAUAGGUUGUCACAAGAACUCAUGCCAUCCCACAACCUCCCUCCGACCCUGCCAACAUUGUUGCAGCUGCACUCGCAAGUGUUACCGUAGAUGAUCAUGAAAUUACCAUAGAUGAUCAUUUCAUGAUUCGCGUAAAACGAAAUAAGAUCUACAAAUGAAUAGAAGCUACACAUACCUUGGCAUGCACACACAUUGCAAGCCAUACUAAGAAGAUAAGUGUUAAUAACUUGUACUCCCUCCAUCUCAGUUUACAAGUCUUCCACGUGUAUCUAGGUCGUCAAUUUAAUUAUACAAAAUAAAUUGUUUAACAUAAAAAUUAUAUCAUUAGAAAAUAGAAUAUCUACAGUUUCUAAUGAUAUAUUUUUUGUAAUGUAUGCCUCUUAUUAAGUUGGUCAAAUUAACGACCUAGGUACAUGUGCAAGACUUGUAAACCAAGAUGGAGGGAGUACAACAUAUACAACACUUAAGACAAGUAAAAGCAAUUUGGUGAGUCAUGGUCUAUGAAACCAAGCUACAUUACUAAUCUAAUCUAUCUUAACAGGUCACACAUGAUUACAAUCUUUUUUGUAUGCAAGUCAAGCUUAUCUAGUCUACACGUAACAACUUGUAGAACAUUACAAAAUUGAUGUUUGCUAACAAAUUCUAGAACACUACAACACUUGACAUGUAAAAAGAAUUUGAUGAGUCAUGACCUACUAAAGCAAGUUAUAUUACUAGUCUCAUCUAUCUUAACAUGCCAACAAGAUUAAAAACUAAGUUCUGUGCAAGCAAUGCUUAUCUAGUUUACACGUAACAACUUGCAUAACAUUACAAACUUAGUUUCACAAAAUUAGGCAAUCAAGAUUAGUGUUUAGCUGUAAAGUGAAUAAGAUGAGUCAUGUGUGUUAUCACACCUUUUUGUGGUGGAAUGAUAGUGCCACCAAACACAACAUACCAAAAUAUGAUUUUGGGAAGCAUCCAAGCACUUUGCAGACAAGCAAAUGCCAAUUGUGAAAGAGAUCAUGCCAUGGCAGCUAUAAAUAGGCAUGUAGCAUGAUGACCAUCCUUCCUCAUUCAUCAUUCUCAUAAGUAGAGUGCAUCAUUCAAGCCAAGCAAGAACUGGUCAAUACAAAUACACCAUGAAGACUUUUCUCAUCCUUGCCCUCCUUGCUAUUGUGGCGACCACUGCCACAACUGCAGUUAGAGUUCCAGUGCCACAAUUGCAGCCGCAAAAUCCAUCUCAGCAACAACCACAAGAGCAAGUUCCAUUGGUGCAACAACAACAAUUUCCAGGGCAGCAACAACCAUUUCCACCACAACAGCCAUAUCCGCAGCCGCAACCAUUUCCAUCACAACAACCAUAUCCGCAGCCGCAACCAUUUCCGUCACAACUACCAUAUCCGCAGCCGCAACCAUUUCCACCACAACAACCCUAUCCACAACCGCAACCACAAUAUCCGCAACCACAACAACCAAUUUCGCAGCAACAAGCACAACAACAACAACAACAACAACAACAACAAAUCCUUCAACAAAUUUGCAACAACAACUGAUUCCAUGCAGGGAUGUCGUCUUGCAACAACACAACAUAGUGCAUGCAAGCUCACAAGUAUUGCAACAAAGUAGUUACCAACUGUUGCAACAAUUAUGUUGUCAGCAGCUGUGGCAGAUCCCCGAGCAGUCGCGGUGCCAAGCCAUCCACAAUGUCGUUCAUGCUAUUAUUCUGCAUCAACAACAACAACAACAACAACAACAACAACAACAACCAUCGAGCCAGGUUUCCUACCAGCAGCCUCAGCAACAAUAUCUAUCAGGCCAGGGCUCCUUCGAGCCAUCUCAGCAAAACCCACAGGCCCAGGGCUCUGUCCAGCCUCAACAACUGCCCCAGUUCGAGGAAAUAAGGAACCUAGCGCUACAGACGCUACCAGCAACCUGCAAUGUCUACAUCCCUCCAUAUUGCUCGACCACCAUUGCGCCAUUUGGCAUCUUCGGUACUAACUGAGAAGAGAAGAACUCUAGUACUAGAUAUAUCAAACAUCGUGUUCUUAGUCCAUGGUUUGGUCGUUGUACUGGUGAAAAUAUAAAGUGACAUGCACUACCAUGUAAGAACCCGAACUAUACUAGUUCAAACUUGGGAAUAAAAGACAAAGCCAGGUCUUGUCUGCAUAUGAUUAUUUGUUUGAGUUCCAUUCAUGUGCCCGUUCACAAGUUCACCCCUAAUUAUAUAUAUUACGCAUUAAGUAGAUAUCUAUGUUGCAUUAAUUUGAAGAUAACAAAAUGAGUCUAAAACUUGAAUUAAAUUGAAUUGUUUUCUUGGACUUUCAAAUUGUGUAUUAUUAAAGUAGUAACGACUAUCCACAUCCUUGGCUUGCCCUUGAUCAAUUAUUUCCAGAGAAGCAUUCAAUUCAUCAAUCAAUUACAUUGAUUUUUGAGACUGGUACAUCUCCUCAUCAUGAGUAUCAUUGCGGCUACUCCAAAUCGCCCACAUAACCGAAGCAUUAAUAGCGCUCUUCUUGCAUCAGGAAAUAUGGAUUGAAGAUAUCAGGUGACCAUGUUUCCGGGUGCAACCUUGGGAGUUUUAUGUCAAAAUAUUCUCAAGAAGAAUCCAAGAAUAAACUUGCAUGCUCACGUGUGAUAAGGGCAUAUGAAGUAACAUUUCCUCCCCAUGGCCACAUAGGGCACACACAUAACCCCAUCACAUGCAUUUUUAGUUAUGCAUAUGAAAGGUAGGAUGUUUUUAAUUACUCUCCACCAAAAUACUCUUAACUUGGCUUGUACCCUAAGAGUUUGUUGCCUUUUCAUUUCUUCUUCCCCAUUAGACAAACUAGACAGUCCAUCCACCACACCAUUCCUUGUGUCCAUCAUGGCUCUGUACAACAAUUGGACAGAACAAAUGUCAUUUCUUUAUGAUACCCACGACCAAAUGUCCUCUGCUGGAUUGUUUGGUCGUGGCAUAUUAAGGAUGGCCACCUCAUCUGAUGGGAUAAACACCUAAUGAAUGAAAGGAUUGUUCCAGUCGCCCGUGUUUUUCAUCGAUAAGAUCAGCUACAAGUUGGACCGGAGUUUCUCACAUGCAUCGUAGUGGUUUCAUUAGCGGCAUGCCCUGCACCCAUUUAUCAUGCCAUAUCUCUGUAGUAUGUGCAUUCCCAAUUUGUCACAACAUACCCUCCUUCAAACCUUCUUGACCUUUCAGAAUUGCACGCCAAGUUAGCGAUGCACUAUGCAGGAACCCGCAUUUCAAAAAAAAAAGAAUCUCAUUUCAUGGUAUCUUCCAUAAAGGACCCUCAUACAUGAGCUAUCUAGAUAGAAACAGCCAUGUAUGUUUAGCAAACUUUGCAUAAGUGAAUAGAUCAAGGUUGUGGAACCCCAAGCCUCCAAUUACACCCGGCCUCUCUACCAACAAGAUGUCUAAAGACAUGAAGGAUACACACAGCCAAAAAAGAAAAUAAAAAGAACAAAAUAAAAAAUACCCCACCAUGGUGGUCAAUCACAAGCAUCAACAACACUCUAACCACCACCGAAGACAAUGCCCGGAUUACAAAAAGGUUAUUCAAAAGCAACACCCACAAGAAGGAAACAAUGCACAAGCGUUGUCGUUGCCCGAUAGAAGAUCGUGGGUUUUCACCCUGGAAAAAUUUUGAGUUCACCCAAAAACAAUGCCUUCAACAAGGCCAUUGCCAAGUACAGCCAAUAAGGGGUAGACCUUGGGUUUUCAACCUAGGAACUGAGACUCGAUAGUCGACAAGUACCACCGAAAAUGCAGUCCACCGGUGUUGCCGCCCCCGCUUGCCGAGGCCGCUGUUGCAAGUCACCAAACAUACAGUUGUCAUCGCAUCCAAUACAUCCUUCCGCCGAAGCUUCAAGACCUCAAAUGGCAGCCGCCGUGACUUUCUCCACAUCUAUCAAUGCCUUGAGGAUCUUGACUUAGACAUGUCCCGUGACAUAAAUAAGAAACCGAAGCUUCGCACCGCGUCCUCUUGAGGCCGUGUUGGCUGAUAAUAUUAGCGCGUAUGACGGGAGCCUUUCCAACCUAGAUAUCCAGGGGCGACAUACACCAAUCAAUAUAGAUCUCCGCUCGGAAAGACCGGAACUCAUCAACGGCCAGAUCCAAGUGGUCGACAUCCGGCAAAAAGACGACUUGGCGGAAGAAGAGCAUCAGGGCCAAACCACCAUUAUUAGUCCGAAGCUAAUAGCCCCCACGCCGCCCUCCUCUCGAUCCAGACCUGCAGAAAAAGAUCAACGACGCCGCAUCGUGCCACUUGCAUCCGUGGAGGCUUGAACUUGGCAAGAUGCCAACCAUGGCUGGAGACGGGGACCAGCCACUCCUGGCUGGAUCCGGUGACUCCUAGUCCUACCGCUGCCGCUACGGCGGCACCGCGUGUGGCCUACAAGCCCAUCCACGAUGAUGUCUGAUUAGAAGGAUACAUGGAUAUACAGAUGAAAAGGCCCUUGUUAUCCCUCCAACAAUAUAUAUAUAGCUUAUUGGGACGUGAGAAAGCUCGCACAAUUUUAUAGUGGCUAUGGAAAUGUGUUGCCAGACAGAGAUAUAAGAUUUUUGUUUGGCAUCCAGACCGUUUGUGUCAUGCUUAAUCGAUGGUCACUCUAAUUUUUCCGGCGGGCCUUCCCCGUGGUACUGCAGCCUUAUAUGUGUAUGGGUUUCAUACAGCUAUUCUGUCCUGUCUAGAAAAGGAGAAAACCAAAAUUACUUGGAGUUAAUAACUAAUACGUUUCCUUUAACUACCAUGUGCACGGCGAGGAUUUACGUGCAUGAUGUUUUUUCCUCUCCCCACGUCAUAUUGGGCCGGCCCAUUCACGCGCAUAUGGUUAGAAAAAGAGAUGAGGAAAGGGAGAACCAGGAUUGAUUCCUAGUCUCAAGGUGACCGUGGGUGCUGCUACCAGUCCGCCCAAGUCCCGUUCGUGAUAAGUUGUAGGUGCGCGUGGUACUUCAAGCGAUUCAAGCCGGUUUUAUUUGAGUUUUUUUUCUCUUUUUUUUCUUCUUCAUUUUUUUCAUUCUUUUUUACACUCCGUUUCUUCGAUUUGUCAUUCUUUUUUUCUUUUGUUUAUUUCCUUUUUUUCGGUUUUCUUUGUUCUAUUGGUUAUCAUUGUACAUUUUUUGUAUAUGUCAACAACAUUUUUCUCUAAUACACGUCUAACAUUUUUCAAAUACAAACCAACCAUUUUUGUAAUACAUUGUCAACAUUUUUUCUAUACACAUUUUUUAAAUGCUUGAUUAUCAUUUUUCAAAUACAAGAUUAACAUUUUCUCAAUACAUGGUCACCAUUCUUUUUCUAUUUUCACAAAAAACUUAAAUGCUUGAUUAACAUUUUCUUAAUACAUGGUCAACUUUUUCUCUAUACACAUUUAACAUUUUCCAAACGCUUGAUUAACAUUUUCGAACCCUUGUUCAACAUUUCUUUUAAAUGCCUGAUUAACAUUUCUGUAUACAUGAUCAAACAUUUUUAUCAUUUUAAUACAUGGUCAACAUUAUUACCAUACACAUUUAACAAUUUCCAAUUCUUGAUUAAUAAUUUUUAAAUACUUGUUCAACAUUUUUUUCAAAUGCAUAAUGAUGACAUUGUUCAAAAGUGGCAUCACAAGUUUCAGGGAGUAGAAAAUAGAUUAAUCAAUGAAACCGCGCGAACUUUGUGAUGCUAUUGUGUUAUAUCAACUACUUUCUCCGUCUCAUAAUAUAAGAGUGUUUUUCACAUUAGUAUAUAGUGGAAAAACGCUCUUAUAUUAUGGGACGAAGGGAGUAUGUGUUUGUUAUGUCAUACUGAGCACCAAAUUCACUAUAUAUAUAUCUAUACCAAUAUAAAAAGACCUAAAGGGGCAGAUCCAAAUAAUCUUGGCCAUUAAAUCAUGUCAAUCCAAUGACAUAGACUGCUUCACUGUCGAGCACUUAAUACGUUUAGCAUGCAGUUAAUUGCAUGCCAAAUAUAGUGCUAAUCACAUAAUAACAUGCAAAUAAUAUCCUACUUAAUAUCCGAAUGCACUUAAUAUACUUCCAAAUUAACGCGCAUUACACAUACACAUUAACUAAUCACAUAAUCAAAGAAAUUAACACACAAAUAAUAGCAUACCUAAUAUCCACGUGUAAAUAAUAAAACAAUAUAAUGCUUAAAUAUUAACCUGUGUUGCACGUGCACAUUUAGUAGAACAUGGGAAUACAGUAACAGUAAGCUCACUAGACGGAAGCCCGUCACGGCCAUGUGAAUAGGAUCCUCCUCGUACUGCUCCUCUCCUGCCCUGCCCUGAGCAGUAUCAUCCGUCGUCGUCGCCGGGCGGCGCAGCAGCCGGCGGCCGAGGGGAGACCGAGAUUUCCUCUUUGGAGGCGCCGAAUGCGGCUCGUAAGUCCAAAUCCCUCCCAGUCCCGCCUCUCGAAUCCCCACCGGUCUCCUACUUCCAUGCCGCCAAUGCCCGCCUUUUCUUUGGACUCCGAGCGAGGAAUCGGAGGGAAAGCUGUGUGCUUCUUGCAGCUUCAUGCCCCGGCAAUGGCGGCCCUGCUUGCUUUCUGUUGCCGCUGGGUCGCUCUACUCUCUGCGUGCCCGUCCGCAAGGUGUUCGAUGGAUUGUGCGCAGGGUGUCGGCCCGGCUGGUCCCCUGGUCUCGUUCCAGUUCUCCCAGGUUUCAGUCUGCUUACUGUCAGUUGCUGAAAAUGUGCACGAAACGGAUGAAAAUGCUGGGAUAUGCGCUCUUUGUUUACCGUUUACCGUCAUUUGUUUGGUUGCAGGAAGCACCCGGCCUUAAGCAUAGUACUACAUAUAAAGUUGUAUGUUCUGUUCUGUUUGUUUGUUUGCUGUCUGAUGAUUGAGACAAGGGCAUAAUCUAAAGUUUGGCACCUGCACUUGCACCUGCUCCUGCACAUUUAUGUGCUGGAAACUGGAAUCUGUUCAGAGUAGUAUGGCCACGCCACAGGUUUUAGCUUUCACUCAUGGACCACAUUGCUUCUUGACUAUCUUGGAUGCUUGUUGGCCCAUCCUUGUAAUUCUAUAUCUUUCUAGUAGUCUUAUAAAUCAGAAACAUAACAACUUUUUGUGUUGCUUACUAUAUUUUGUGUAUUUACUUAGCGUGUUUAGUCAAAUCAUCUGUCAUUGUUCUCUCAAGUUGUUUUUCCUUGCGAUAUUCAACCCAGCGGUUUAAAAUUCCUGCAAUUGAUUCAUUCAAAGUGAUUUUUCCUUCUUUGUUGUUGUUUUCUUUUAAAUGUUUGGGCUGAGGCUCCAAAUGUUGCUACUCUUUUACAUGGACUAUGUUACUUUGGAGAAUACAAGAAUUAUGCAUUGGUACCACGAUAACAUAUGCCUAAUGGUUUUUCUUACAGGAUGGGGUUUCCAACACAUAAAUAGUUUGCUAGCAUGCAGACAAGUGUCCAGUAGCCUUUGCGCCAUUUGAGGCGUAAUGGAGAUAGUUUUUCUCAUGUUGUUGGUUCUUUCUCUGCUCCUUUUCCCUAAUGGCAUCUGCAAGAGUUUAGCCACAGGGCCUCCUGUUGUGAAUAUUGGGUCUAUUCUUCAAUUUGACUCCACCACCGGAGGUGUUGCGGCAGUUGCCAUCCAUACAGCCUUGGAAGAUAUCAACUCCGAUCCAACAGUUCUAAAUGGAACUACACUAAAGGUUCAAAUGAAGGAUACAAAUUGCUUUGAUGGUUUCCUUGGCAUGGUUCAAGGUAGGCUAGCUUUAAUGUCACUCAUUCAUUUCGCAACCUUCAAAUAAUUUUUUACUUCUGUUGUGGAGUUGUGGCAAUGAUGCCGUGUUCCUUGUAUCAGCUUUGCAGUUCAUGGAGACUGAUGUUAUUGCACUCAUUGGCCCUCAGUGCUCUACUAUUUCUCAUAUGAUUUCAUAUGUAGCAAAUGAGCUUCAAGUCCCUUUAAUGUCCUUUGCUUCUGAUGCAACUCUUUCAUCGAUACAGUUCCCGUUCUUUGUCAGGACGGGUCCCAGUGAUCUCUAUCAAAUGGCGGCUGUGGCAGAAGUUGUUGACUACAACCACUGGAAGAUAGUGACUGCCAUAUACAUUGAUAAUGUUUAUGGUAGAAAUGGCAUUGCUGCUUUGGAUGAUGCACUCACUUUAAAGCGCUGCAAAAUAUCCUACAAGGUUGGGUUUCCUUCCAACGCUAAAAGGAGUGACCUCAUAAAUUUGUUGGUUAGUGUCAGUUAUAUGGAGCCUCGUGUUAUUGUUCUCCAUACUGGAGCUGAACCUGGACUCAAGCUUUUCUCUGUGGCAAACCAACUGAACAUGAUGGGCAACGGCUAUGUGUGGAUUGCAACUGACUGGCUGUCUGCAUAUCUUGAUGCUAAUUCAUCAGUUCCUGCUGAGACUAUAUCUGGCCUGCAAGGUGUUCUUACUUUACGGCCACAUAUUCCCAACUCAAAGAUGAAGAGUAAUUUGGUCUCCAAAUGGGGCACGCAAAGUAAAAAGUACAACUACAGUGAUCUUCGUGUAAAUACGUAUGGUUUUUAUGUUUAUGAUAGUGUCUGGGCAGUAGCUCGGGCUCUGGAUGCCUUCUUUGAUGAUGGUGGUAGGAUUUCCUUUUCAAAUGACUUGCAUGAUGGAAUUGGAGGAACUCUUCACCUUGAAGCAAUGAGCAUUUUUGACAUGGGAAGCAAAUUACUGGAGAAGAUUAGAAAGGUAAACUUCAGUGGGAUAUCUGGGCAAGUGCAAUUCGAUGCUGUAGGCAACCUCAUUCACCCUGCGUAUGACAUCAUAAAUGUCAUCGGAAAUGGCAUGCGGACCAUUGGUUUUUGGUCAAACUAUUCUGGCUUGUUGUCGACUGUCUCUCCAGAGGCUCUAUAUUCAAAGCCUCCUAAUAUUUCUCUCGCCGAUCAGCAUCUCUAUGAUGUUAUUUGGCCUGGGGAAACUGCACAGAGGCCUCGAGGAUGGGUCUUUCCUUCUAAUGCCAAGCAGUUGAAAAUUGGUGUUCCCAACAGAUUUAGCUUCAAAGAGAUCGUCACGGUAGACAAUGCUACUGGGUCAAUGAAGGGUUAUUGCAUCGAUGUCUUUACUCAGGCAUUGGCUUUGCUUCCUUAUCCUGUUAGUUACAAGUUUGUACCUUUUGGGAAUGGUACUGAAAAUCCUAAUUAUGACAAACUCGUACAGAUGAUUGAAUCAAAUGUAAGUAUGGAAUGCCUCUUUUCUUCCUCUAACCAUUUCAUCAUAUACCAUGCUGACCAGGGUCAUCUUAUCCUGCAGGAGUUUGAUGCAGCUAUAGGGGAUAUUGCAAUUACAAUGAGGCGGACAGUAACUUUUGAUUUCACCCAGCCAUUCAUUGAAACAGGCUUGGUUAUCUUGGCUCCGGUUAAAGAGCAUAUAACAUCGUCCUGGGCAUUCUUGCAGCCAUUUAGUUUGGAGAUGUGGUGUGUUACAGGGCUGUUCUUUCUUAUUGUGGGUGUGGUUAUUUGGGUUCUUGAACAUCGGAUCAAUGACGAUUUCCGUGGUUCAGUAUGUCAACAAAUAAUAACUAUUUUCUCGUAAGGAGCUGGCAUUUACCUUUUGUAUCGUCUUCUUGUAUAUCAUUCCUGUUUUCGAAGUGUUGAUGUUUUAACAAGUCUUGUGCAAUAUGUUGCAUACAGCGAGCACCUUAGAGCAUUGGCCAGUUAACAUACCUAAAUGAAGCAUCUAGUGAUUACCAAUGAACUACUCCCUCUGUCCCAUAAUAUAAGAGUGUUUUUGACGGCGGGAGUAUUAUCUUAAUAAUCUUGUGAGACAUAUAUACAUGCACAGUAUAUAUAUUCGCUUAAUGAUAUUUAUGUUCAUUGCUCUAUUUUUUCCUGUUUUCACGUACUUCUCCACAUGUAUUUGCCAAAUGCUCUUAUCAUGACGUGAUUCCUUACUGUGAGUAUAAUUUCAAAUUUUAUUGCCUGCAGGUUCAGCUUUUCAACUUUGUUCUUCGCACACAGUGAGUAAACCAACCUUUUCUCUUAUGUGUUUUUUUGGCUAUAACAUUUUGUUCUGAGGCAUGACUCGUGAUUUCAUCCAUGUCUGCUCGCAGGAGAAAAUACUAUGAGUGCCUUAGGGCGUGGUGUCCUGAUCAUAUGGCUGUUUGUUGUUUUGAUAAUUGUAUCCAGCUAUACCGCGAGUCUUACUUCCAUCCUGACCGUGCAACAACUUGAUACUUCUAUAAAAGGAAUUGAUGACCUGAAAAAUAGCAAUGAUCCUAUUGGUUUCCAAGUUGGUUCUUUUGCACAAGACUAUAUGGUCAAGGAGCUCAACAUCUCACGGUCAAGGCUAAGAGCUCUUGGUUCACCACAAGAAUACGCGGAAGCCCUCAAGAUAGGCCCUAAGGAAGGAGGUGUUAUGGCCAUUGUUGACGAGCGCCCCUAUGUUGAACUGUUUUUGUCAACCUACUGCAAGAUUGCGGUAGCUGGCACAGAUUUCACCAGCAGAGGAUGGGGCUUUGUAAGUACAGUUCAACCAUAUACUUUUAUAUAAACUACUCCCUCCGUUCCUAAAUAUAAGUCUUUGUAGAGAUUCCACUAUGGACCACAUACGGAUGUGCAUAGAUGCAUUUUAGAUUGGAGAUUCACUCAUUUUGCUCCGUAUGUAGUCCAUAGUGGAAUCUUCCCAAAGACUUAUAUUUAGGAACGUAGGGAGUAGAAUAUAAGAACAAAAUAUUAUGCUGUUAAUGUCCUGGAAUAGAGGUUUUAACUUUGAAUAGUUGUGUCUAGUCUCUAGUUUAUUAUGCAACUUUUCUUGCACUUAUCUGCGGCUACUUUGUUUCGCAAAUCGAAAUGUAGCACCUUACAAAUUAAUUCUGCCAGGCAUUUCCAAGGGACUCCCCUUUGCAAGUAGACCUCUCCACCGCAAUCCUGUCUCUGUCAGAGAAUGGGGAGCUGCAGCGGAUCCAUUCCAAAUGGCUCAAUACAGGGGAGUGCACAACUGACAACAGCGAGUUUGUCGACUCGAACCAGCUCCGCCUUGAGAGCUUCCUUGGUCUGUUCCUAAUCUGUGGUGUGGCAUGUGUUCUCGCGCUGCUACUCUACUUUGGUAUCAUGCUAUGCAAAUACCUGAGGCAUGAACCGCGGAAGAGCCUCAGAAGAUUCAUCUCGUUCGUCCAUGGGAAGGAGCCGCCGAAGAACAUGGAGAGGCGAUCCAUGAGCCUGCCUGGAAGCUCGACGCCAACAACGCCGAUGGGCAGCUUUAGUUCCCUUGACAUGGAAAGGCCGGCCAGGCCAGUCAGAAACGGCAGCGUUAUUGAUAUGGAAAGCUAGUUCAUGUGUAGAAAGCUACGCGGUCGACUAACAUAGGUUCUGGUAGUCGGACAGCAGGGGUGUAUAGGGGGAUUCAAAAUACUUCUUAAGUACUCCCUCCGAUCCAAAUUAUUCCAAAGUUUAGGAAAUAAGAGAAGGAAGGAUUAAUAAGAAAUAAAAAUAUUGAAAUGCUCCUCCUGUCCUACAUAUAUUGUUUUUACCUUUUCAUGACUGUAUUUUGGGGGGAGUGUGGAUUUUCUAUCAUGCACGGGACCUCCCGUGCAUGCAUCCAUCACAUUUUUUAUUGCUGUGUGGGGCCCCUAUUUUCUCUCACCUAACAUACAUUCACAUGUUAAUUUGUACUGACUAGGUUUCAUUCACUAGUGCAGAACAGGCCUUUAUCACUGGUUCAUAAGGGCCUUUAGUGCCGGUUCUGUAACCGGCACUAUGGAGUGGAGACUAAAGGCCCCCCUUUAGUACCGGUUCGGCACGAAUCGGCGCUAAAGUGCCACCACGUGGCACGAGCCAGUCCCGGGUGCUGGUAGACCAUUAGUACCGGUUGAUAACACCAACCGGUACUAAAUGUUUGGGGGGGUUUUGGUUUUAAUUUUUAAUUUUUCAUUAACUUUGGGUUUUCCAUUUAAUUCUUUUUUGUUUGCUGGUAUUUUACGAUACUACAUAUUGUACACGUUAUGCAUAUAUAUAUAAAUAGAUUUUCUCGUAGAACUGAUCAUAUAUAUAAUCGAAUGUCUCACAACCACCAUUAAUUAUUCACACAUACACNNNNNNNNNNNNNNNNNNNNNNNNNNNNNNNNNNNNNNNNNNNNNNNNNNNNNNNNNNNNNNNNNNNNNNUUUGCUGGUAUUUUACGAUACUACAUAUUGUACACGUUAUGUAUAUAUAUAUAAAUAGAUUUUCUCGUAGAACCAAUCAUAUAUAUAUAUAAUCGAAUGUCUCACAACCACCAUUAAUUAUUCACACAUACACAUGUAUAUAUAUAUAUAUAUAUAUAUAUAUAUAUAUAUAUAUAUAUAUAUAUAUAAUUUCUCCUCCAUGUUGCCUUGGUGCCUUCGGAGCACGAUGACAAGUGGUUCAUGGAGACGGUAGCGGGUAAUAGUAUUUUCCUUUGGGAUCUAUGACCUGCUCGAGCAAAAAUCUCGUUAUUUCCUCUUGAAGUGCUCGUAUGCGCUCUGUUGGUAGGAGCUGGUCCCGCAUGUCUUUGAACCGUUAAGAAGGAGAUCAAUAUGCAUGUGUAUUAGUUGUGUGACUAGAUAUCGAUAAUCAUGUAAGAUUUGUGAAUAGUGUUCUGGCAAACGUACCCAUUGUUGUCUAUCAUAUCUGCUCCUUUCGGACGCCAUUAUGCGAAUGUUCUUGAAAACGUAGUAUGCACACACUUCAGUCCCCGGCGCCUGCUUCAGGGCCUUUACGAGAAUAGAAUUUAAUCAGAUAAUAAUUAAUCAAGUGUGUUAAUUAAUUAAUGGUAUUGAAACAAGAAUUAAAGAGAUGGUAGCUAGCUAGCUAGUACUACUUAAUUACUUGCCUUGGGUCGAUACCAAAAUAGCUUUUGUCGCCAUUUUCCUGAAGUCACCUUGAUGUACUUUACCCAAGCCCUUCCCGUCGGCAAAGAAAAUUGAUAAAGGGGUUAUUAAAAAUAGUUCAUAUCAGGAAAUGAUAAACUAAAUAGGCCAAGAUAUAGUUAAUAAUGAUUGAAAUUACCUGUUGACUAUCCCUUCAUUAUGCUGUAGUCACUAUCUUUUUUAAGUAGUGAGUCCAGUACUUCAACUUUUCCUUCGUCAACUUUAAUGUCUAACAAGAUCCAGUGGUACCUGCAUACGCAUAAGUUUGCAUGUAUAAAUUAAGCGGGCAUGUGCAUAACACUAAUCAACUAUAACCCUAAACCCUUUACACUUAUUAACAUCUAGCUAGUAAGCAAAAACAGAAUUUGUAGUACAAGACAGUGUGACUCACUCGAAGUUGUAAGGAAGUAGUACAUCUUCAUUGCUAUUGAGGUGCUUCAAGAACUCUAGCAUGUUUUUCUCUACAUCUUGUCUACACCAUUCCAAUUUCCAUGUGUAUUCAUUAACAGUAUUUGGGUCAAUGAACCCAAUGCCAUAGCGUCUAGCUUUUUUCAUUUCAUACAUCUUCAUCCUGCAUAAUACCACAGAAAAGAAUAUAUAGUGAGGAUAUUUAAUUACAGGUAAUUAAUGAUCAAUCAAUGAGCACUAGAGCUAGCUUGAGACUUAAAUUACAGAAAGAAAUCACUUACAGACAAUAGCAACUGACGAUAGAUUUGUCGAGUGCAUCUUGAUUGAAUAACUGAAAUAGUUCUGAAUACUCAACAGUUAGAGCUUUCUUAUUGAAGUAAUGAUCUUCCUUGACUUGCACCAUGAGGGACUCUCAAUUGGAAAUCUUGAUAAUUUUCAUGUACCAAUCAUGCAAUUCAUACAUUCUCGUUGGGAGGUUCUUGACCUCCUCGGGCUCGACCAAAGGUUGGCCCCGGACAUAUUUCCGUUUUAUUUUCUCCUCUCUAAGCAGAGACAUGGGCUCGAUAUCGAGGAGUUGUCCAAUAGUGAUCUUGAGCAUUUCAGCCUGCAUUAUAUGAUCCUCGGUUAUUACCACACCACCCACCUCGGGAACGUAAAUGGUUGCGCCGCCUGUUCUCCCAGCUGGGGAACGGUUUUCCCGUAUUUUUUGACAGCUGCUUGUUGGCUCGAGCUCGAGCUCGCUUCUUUCCGUAGUCGUGCUCGAUGUGCCUUUCUGAUUUGGCGCUCAUAGUCUGAGUCAACAGGCUUGGGAGCUGGUGGCCUAGCCAUACGAAUGAAGUGGUCAAUAUUUUUCCUCAGGCACUUUCUCCCUCGGCGGCGUUGCCGGUUUCGGUCCAAAAUGGGCGUCCACUUGGGCCUUCACUAUGGCUGCAUUUUGCUCCUCGGUCAUGUUGUAAGGCCUCUGAGGAAGAGGAGCGAGGCUGCUUGGACCAUAUUUAUAUCGCUUGUCUCCGCCUGUACUUCCUGUACUACCUUGACUCGUACCACUACGCACCAUAGCUGCGGCGUGUCUCUUCUGCGAUUGCUGAGGCGGCGGAGACGGCUGACGUUGCUGAGUUGGAGCAGGAGGAGUGGCCUGACGCUGUGCCAGACUUGAAGCAGGAGGUGUGGCCACUAGUAGAAAAAGGGUCAAAUGUGAAGCACAUUAGUGCCGGUUUGUGAAAAAACCGGCACUAAUGUGAUCAAUAGUACCGGUUCGUGGCGGCGAUCAAUAGUAUCGGUUCGUGACGAACCUUUAGUACCGGUUCAUGCCACGAACGGUACUAAAGAGGAUGUGGCAGCCUGCAGUCAGGCUAUGGCCCCACCAUCACCAUUUAGUGCCGGUUCGUACCACGAACCAGUACUAAUGAGGUUAUGGCAAGCUGUUUUUAGUCCCACCUCGCUCCCCUAACAAGGCUUUUACCACCUUAAAUAUGUUACUUCUCAAACUAUCACAAGCACUUGGUCUUCAUUGAACUCUAUGUGUAGAAUUUGUGGCUGCAAUAUGAGUCUUCACCGGUUUAUAAAUCGUUGAGGACUCAUAUUGACAAUUCAGAUUGUACACAAAAAGAUCAUUGAUGAUCAAAGUAUUUUUAAUGUAUAAGAUCAUAGUGACAAUUCAGACUGUAAAGAAAUAUAAUAUCAUAAUCUAAAUGCUCUUAUAUUUUUUGCAUUCAGUAUGCACCAUUCAAAGCGACGCCAUCAACUUUCAACCAUUUAUGCCUUCAUUUGCUAUUUUUCAUGCAUUUAAUGAUUUGUUUUGAGAACUAAAUAACCUGGAAAUUGAAAAGCACUACAAAUGAACUCUGAAAAAGUUGAAACUUGGCAUGGUAUCAUCAUUUCACCCACAUAGCAUGUCCAAAAAAGUAGAGAGGGUUAUGGCAAAAACUGGAUGCACUUCGUUUACAAACUGGACAAUCUCUUUCGAAGUAUUUGGGUUUUGACGAAAUUAAACUCAUCUGUUACAAAGGCAUUUCAUUUUUUAAACUUAUUACAACCCCAGACUUUUUGUUCAUUAGUAUGCACUAUUCAACUACUAGGCGGGAGGAGCUCUUUAGUACCGGUUCCAACUGCUAAGCGGGAGGAGCUCUUUAGUACCGGUUCGUGGCGAACCUUUAGCACCGGUUCGUGCCACGAACUGGUACUAAUAAGGUUGUGUUAGGUAAGGCUGGGGCCCCACGAGCACCUUUAUUACGGGUUCAUGGCAUGAACCAGUACUACAGUUUCUUAGAAAGCUGUUUUUUAGUCCCACCUCGCGAAGAGAGAGGGACUAGGAGCGGUUUAUAAGCCCUGAGUGCAGAGACGAUGAAGAAGAGGCUCAAUGCUCACGUUGCUUAGCUUCAAGCCUUGAGGAAUAUGGUAGACUGCAUGGAGCUAUGUGCAAUGCAGUUUACACUAUUCCGAAAGGCUUGAAACUAAUUAACGAGCAUUGCAUCUCUUUUUUAUUUUUAAUAACUUAUUACAACUCCGGACUUCUUCUGUUAUGGCAAAAACUAGAUGCACUUCGUGUACAAACUGGACAAUCUCUUUUAAAGUAUCAGGGCCGGUUUCAGACGAAAACUCUGGUUAUAACUCCAGACUUUGACCAUCAAGUUUUAACCAUCAACUUGGCAUGGUAUAUGAAAAUAAAUGAAUAGAAGAAAAUAAAUAAAGCAGAAAAGAAAAAAACUAUAGCAGAAAAUAAAAAACUAUAUAAAAAACUACUCAGAAAUAAAUAGAAGAAAAUAAAUAUAGCAGAAAAGAAAAAAACUAUUCAGAAAUAAAUAGAAGAAAAAAUAAAGCAGAAAAGAAAAAAAACUAUAUUUGCUAUUUUUCAUUCGUUUACUGAUUUUUUUAGAGAGCCAAAUGACCGUGAAAUUAAAAAUCACUACAAAAUAAACUCUGAAAAUGUUGAAUUUUGGCAAACUAGAUAAAAAACUACUCACAAAUAAAUAGAAGAAAAUAAAUAUAACAGAAAAGAAAAAACUAUACAAAAAACUACGCAGAAAUAAAUAGAAGAAAAUAAAGCAGAAAAUAAAAAAACUAUACAAAAAAAUUGGGGCGCUGCCCAAUGGGCCUGCUAGGCCACGGGCGUGCAAUUACAGGCCCUAACGGCCCAACAGGCUCACAGGGCAGCGCACAGAAGUUAGGCCCAGAAGCCUGCUAUAUAUAGGAGUUCAAAGAGGCAGCCGCGGCUGGGUUUAUAAACCAGUGAGGCUGCCCUUCGCACGGGGAGAUGGGACUAAACGUCGUGCACCGCGGGUGGCAGCGCAAGGCCUUUAGUAUCGGUUGGUGGCUCCAACCGGUACUAAAGCUCGUGCCUUUAGUACCGGUUGGAGUCACCAACCGAUACUAAAGGCCAUCGGUUCCCGUCGUUUGGCCUGGCGAAAAUAGGCCUUUAGUACCAGUUGGAGGCACCAACCGGUACUAAAGGCCCAUCCUAUAUAUAUAGCACUUACGAAAUUUUCAGUUUCAUCCCCCACUUCGUCUCUCGAACCGCGUGCGCCGCUCGAUCCCCGUCGUGUCGCCGCACGUCGCCCGUCGUCCGUCGUCGUCGUCGCUGUCCCCCGCCGCCGCCCGUCGUCGUCGUCGUCUCACGCCGCUGCCCUGAACGCCGCCGCUGUCUGUCGUCGUCGCCGCGGCGCCGCCCGAUACGUCUCUCCCCGCCCCGUACGCCGACGCCCCUGCCCCCGCCCCGUACGCCGCCGCCCCCGCCCCCGCCCCGUACGCCGGCGCCCCCGCGGCGUACUGCACAUACACACACACGUAUACAUAUACACGCAGUACACACAUAUACACACACAUACACAUACACAUUUUUUUACUAGUUGAAUAAUUUAUAUAAUUAAUAUAACUAGUUUAUUUUAGUAAGAAAAUAAUCGAACUAGUUUAUUUAGGUAUAUGAGAUUUGAACUAGUUGAAUAAUUAAUAUAACUAGUUUAUUUUUAGUAAGAAAAUAGUCGAACUAGUUUAUUUAGGUAUAUGAGAUUUGAACUAGUUGAAUAAUUAAUAUAAAGAAAAUUUAGGUAUCUGAGAUUUGAUGAUCUAAUUAAAAUAUUAUUUGUUAAUGAGUUUUUCUGUUUAUUUAAUUUUUUUUAUAUAUUUUUAGUUUAUAUAAAUGUUAGAUUAAUGUCGAAUGUUAAAUGAAUUAGAUAGAAAAGUUAAAUAUAUAGUAAUGUCAAUUGUUAGAGAUGAAUAUAGUUAGAUAUAUUAAUGUCAAAUGUUAGAUGAAUAUAUAUAUUUGAAUUAGCUAGAUAUUAAUUAAUGUUAGAUAGUAAUAAGUGUUUAAUGUUUCACUUAUAUGAACAUAGGAAAUGUCAUCUGACAACGAAGAAGAUUUCAUUAUGUGCGAACACUNNNNNNNNNNUCUCCUACAUGUUGCCUUGGUGCCUUCGGAGCACGAUGACAAGUGGUUCAUGGGGGCGGUAGCGGGUGAUAGUAUUCUCCUUUGGGAUCUAUAACCUGGUCGAGCAAAAAUCCCGCUAUUUCCUCUUGAAGUGCUCGUAUGCGCUCCUCUGAUAGGAGCUUGUCCCGCACCUAUUUGAACUGUUAAGAAGGAGAUCAAUAUGCAUGUGUAUUAGUUGUGUGACUAGAUAUCGACAAUCAUGUAAGAUUUGUGAAUAUUGUUCUGGCAAACGUACCCAGUCCUGUCUAUCAGAUCUGCUCCUUUCGGACGCCAUCAUGCGAAUGUUCUCGCAAACGUAGUAUGCACACACUUCAGUCUCCGGCGCCUGCUUCAGGGCCUUUACGACAAUAGAAUUUAAUCAGAUAAUAAUUAAUCAAGUAUGUUAAUUAAUUAAUUGUAUUGAAACAAGAAUUAAAGAGAUGGUAGUUAGCUAGCUAGUACUACUUAAUUACUUACCUUGGGUCGAUAUCAACAUAGCUUUUGUCGCCAUUUUCCUGGAGUCACCUUGAUGUACUUUGCCCAAGCCCUGCCCGCCGGCAAAGAAAAUUAAUAAAGGGGUUAUUAAAAAUAGUUCAUAUCAGGAAAUGACGAACUAAAUAGGCUGAGAUAUAGUUAAUAAUGAUUGAAAUAACCUGUCGACUAUCCCCUUCACGAUGCUGUAGUCACUAUUUUUUUAAGUAGUGAGUCCAGUACUUCAACUUUUCCUUCGUCAACUUUAAUGUCUAAUAAGAUCCAGUGGAAGCUGCAUGCGCAUACGUUUGCAUGUAUAAAUUAAACGGGCAUGUGCAUAACACUAAUCAACUAUAACCCUAAACCCUAUACACUUAUUAACAUCUAGCUAGUAAGCAAAAACAGAAUUUGUAGUACAAGACAGUGUGACUCACUCGAAGUUGUAAGGAAGUAGUAUAUCUUCAUUGCUAUUGAGGCGCUUCAAGAACUCUAGCAUGCAUUUCUCUACAUCUUGUCUACACCUUUCCAAUUUUCAUGUGUAUUCAUUAACGGUAUUUGGGUCAAUGAACCCAAUGCCAUAGCGUCCAGCUUUUUUCAUUUCAUACAUCUUCAUCCUGCAUAAUACCACAGAAAAGAAUAUAUAGUGAGGAUAUAUAAUUACAGGUAAUUAAUGAUCAAUCAAUGAGCACUAGAGCUAGCUUGAGACUUAAAUUACAGAAAGAAAUCACUUACAGACAAUAGCAACUGACGAUAGAUUUGUCGAGUGCAUCUUGAUUGAAUAACUGAAAUAGUUUUGAAUACUCAAUGGCCAGAACUUUCUUAUGGAAGUAAUGAUCUUCCUCGACUUGCACCAUGAGGGACUCUCGAUUGGAAAUCUUGGUAAUUUUCAUGUACCAAUCAUGCAAUUCAUACAUUCUCGUUGGGAGGUUCUUGACCUCCUCGGGCUCGACCAAAGGUUGGCCCCGGACAUAUUUCCGUUUUAUUUCCUCCUCUCUAAGCGGAGGCAUGGGCUCGAUCUCGAGGAGUUGUCCAACAGUGAUCUUGAGCAUUUCAGCCUGCAUUAUAUGCUCCUCGGUUAUUACCACAUCGCCCAGCUCGGGAACGUAAACGGUUUGCCCACAAUAAUAUUGGGCGCGCGUACUCUCAUGUGUUGUUGGCACAACAAGCGAGGGGGGGGGGGUGGUCGAUUGCGCCGCCUGUUCUCCCAGCUGGGGAACGGUUUUCCCGCAUUUUUUGACAGCUGCUUGUUGGCUCGAGCUCGAGCUUGCUUCUUUCUGUAGUCGUGCUCGAUGUGCCUUCUUGAUUUGGCGCUCAUAGUCUGAGUCAACAGGCUUGGGAGCUGGUGGUCUAGCCAUACGAAUGAAGUGGUCAAUCUUUUCCUCAGGCACUUUCUCCCUCGGCGGCGUUGCCGGUUUCGGUCGAAAAUGAGCGUCCACUUGGGCCCACACUAUUGCAUCGUUUUGCUCCUCGGUCAUGUCGUAAGGCCUCUGAGGAAGAGGAGCGAGGCUGCUUGGACCAUAUUUAUAUCGCUUGUCUCCGCCUGUACUUUCUGUACUACCUCGACUCGUACCGCUACGCACCAUAGCUGCGGCGUGUCUCUUCUGCGAUUGCUUAGGCGGCGGAGACGGCUGACGUGGCUUAGUUGGAGCAGGAGGAGUGGCCCGACGCUGUGCCGGACUUGAAGCAGGAGGUGUGGCCUGACACGGUGUCGGACUUGAAGCAGGAGGUGUGGCCUGACGCCGUGCCGGACUUGAAGCAGGAGGUGUGGCCUGACACGGUGGCGGACUUGGAGGAGCGGGAGUCUGCUGACACGGUGGCGGACUUCGAGGAGGAGUCGGCAGACGCGGUGUCGGUGGACUUCGAAAGAUGAUGCAAUCCUUUUUCCAUAGGAUGAAACGAUGUAUGGCCUCUCCCAGUGUUUGCUCGUCGUCACCUCCAGGAAUGUCAAGCUCUAGCCCCGAAUAUGGGCCCACCACCUCAUCAACCAAGACACGAGCAUAGCCCUCUGGAAUCGGGGCACAAUGGAAGGUUGCUCCGGGGGUAAUUGUAAAAGCAACGGCGUUCGCCACCUUCAUGGAUAUGUUCUUCAUUUUGUAGUGUAGCUCACAGUUAGUGUUCUCUAUGAUGUCAUCCACAGGGUAUGUAUCCAGCAGUGCGUCGCCCGGGGCGGAACCAACGCUGCUUCUCGGCAUGGAUGGGACGGCGCUAUCCAAUGCUGGAUGAUCAUCCGCUUGCUGCUGCCGCUGCUGAGACCCCCUUUCCUGGCUAAGUGAGUCGAUCUGCUGCUGUUGCUGCUGCUGGAAUUUGAGUGCCAAGUCCGCGUGCCUUGCUUCUAGGCCUUGAAGGCGUUCCGCGUCCUGCUUCCUCUGCUCCUCCUCCAGCUUCCUCUUCUUCUCCUCCUCCAUCUUCUUUCUUGCACGGGUCCUGUAGUCGUCGUUCCAUUCCGAAAAGCCCUCAUACCAGGGAAUAACGCCCUUGCCUCGCGUUCUUCCCGGGUGUUCAGGAUUUCCCAGGGCACGCGUAAGCUCGUCGUUCUCUCUGUUGGGCGUGAACACCCCCUUUCGAGCAUCUUCUAUUGCGUCAAGUAACUUUUCUUCUGCUCCGUUUAGACUUGCCUUCUUCGAAACCAGGCCUGUCUUCGGGUCCAACGCCCCCCCAUGCGCAUAGAACCAAGUUCUGCACCUGGGGGGCCAGCUCCUAGUAACCGGAGUGACCCCUGCAUCCUCCAUCUCUUGCUCAGACUUAUCCCACUUAGGCAUUGCCACCGCGUAGCCACCUGGACCCAGCCUAUGGAACUGCGUCUUUUUUGCGGCAUUGGCCUUGUUUUUUCUCGACGUUCCUUAGAUAAUUCUGAUUCCUUGAAUUUCACGAAAGCGGGCCAGUGUUCUCUUUGCUUCUCCAGUGUUCCCUUGAAUUCUGGAGUCUUCCUUUCUGCAGUGAGGUAGUUGGCCCAUACAGUUUUCUUGUGGGUGUUGAAUGCAAUUGCCAUCUUCUUAAGAGCAGCGUCCUUGACUUUCUGCACAUCUGCAUCAGUGAAAUAAUCUGAUAGGGUGAAAUGUUCCAUCAGAGAUUUCCAAAGCUUUUGUUUUGCUCUGUCGUCGACCCAAGUAAUAUCUGGGCGUUUAGUUUUUGGCUCUUUCCAUUCUUGAAUGGAGAUCGGGAUUUGGUCCUUCACAAGAACUCCGCACUGACGAACGAACUUGCUCGCAAUGUUCUUAGGCGUGAGGGGUUCGCCACUAGCUUUGAUGGAAUCGAUGUUGUACUUUACACCCUCCUUCAACUUUUUGCUCGGGCCGCGCUUUGUCCUGCUGUCUGUAGAAGCAGAUUUGCUCGAUCCGGAGGGCUGAAAGAAGAAAGAUCGAUUCGUUAAUAUAUCUUCAAAUAAAAAAACAUGUGAUGAUCACUAGAUGACUGCUUAUAUAAAUAUACCUCGCCGGUAGUCUUUGUUAUUUCAAGAUCAACAUUGUAUUCGUCAUCAUAAUCAUUGUCUGCGUCAUCAUAAUCAUAAUCAUAGUUCAUGACUUCAUCAGCUCGGUCGUCGAGAUUGAAUAUCUUAUCAUCACCCUCCCCGGUAUUGUUCAGAUAUUGGGAGCCGUCAUUUGCUUCAUUUAGAUCAUCUGGCCUGCUAGGGCUGCGUAUGAUCUCGAACAGGGCCUCUUCUCCCUCUCUGCCGGUAUUGUCCGCCAUAGCUUUUAUUUAACUAAUACAAAAGAAAUAUAAAACAAUUAAGUAUUCAAAUUACAAUGCAUGGAUGCAAUCAAUAAGGAAAAACUGAAUCAUAUAGUACAUAAUAUGCAUCGUCUCGAAUAAUAUAUAAUCUCGAAUACAUCGUCUCGAAUAAUAUAUAAUCUCAAAUACAUCACUGGCUAGGUAGCUAAUAAAGAUCGAAUACUAUAGAAGAAUCUAGGCCACUCGCGGUUCCUGGGGCGCGGGCGGUGGACACCCAAAGACAAGGAACCAUCACAGAAUCAUAUCUCUGGUCAUCUGCCCAAAGAACCUGCCAGGUAUUGGAGAACCUGACGUCCAUAGCAGCCAUGUAGCGAUGGACGUGCUCGUCCUCCUCCCUGACACGACGACGCACCACCUCUGGCGGGGCCGGCUCCCUCUGCACCGAAUGUGGCCCACGCGAACGCCACUAAAGGAGAUCAGGGUCGACAACGGGACCCGAGGCUGGGUCCCUCACCAAGCGGCGCGCCCCUCCAGGUAGCACCUCCCAAUGCCAGCCCGGCGGAGCCCAAUCCCGGACAUGGGUCAGCCGGACGUCGUCGCGAACGGGUCGACGGCGAGGAUGCAGGCCGGGCAUCGUCGAGAACAAAUACUAUAUGCCCGCAAAAAGUAACAUUUUUUAAAAGAUUGGAUUGUGAUAACUAAAAUUCUAUAUGCAAAUUCUAACAAUUUGACAUUAAUCUAAUUCAUCUAACUAAAACUAAUUCUAAAAUUUCUAACAUUUCUAUAUAUAUAACUAACAUUUCUAUAACAUUUCUAAUAUUUCUAUAACUAAAAAACAGAAAAAUUGCUACGAUGACGCGGAUGGCGACGAGGGGGGCAGCGACGGGGGCGGCGACGACGGGGACGGGGACGGCCGGGGCGGCGACAACGGNNNNNNNNNNNNNNNNNNNNNNNNNNNNNNNNNNNNNNNNNNNNNNNNNNNNNNNNNNNNNNNNNNNNNNNNNNNNNNNNNNNNNNNNNNNNNNNNNNNNNNNNNNNNNNNNNNNNNNNNNNNNNNNNNNNNNNNNNNNNNNNNNNNNNNNNNNNNNNNNNNNNNNNNNNNNNNNNNNNNNNNNNNNNNNNNNNNNNNNNNNNNNNNNNNNNNNNNNNNNNNNNNNNNNNNNNNNNNNNNNNNNNNNNNNNNNNNNNNNNNNNNNNNNNNNNNNNNNNNNNNNNNNNNNNNNNNNNNNNNNNNNNNNNNNNNNNNNNNNNNNNNNNNNNNNNNNNNNNNNNNNNNNNNNNNNNNNNNNNNNNNNNNNNNNNNNNNNNNNNNNNNNNNNNNNNNNNNNNNNNNNNNNNNNNNNNNNNNNNNNNNNNNNNNNNNNNNNNNNNNNNNNNNNNNNNNNNNNNNNNNNNNNNNNNNNNNNNNNNNNNNNNNNNNNNNNNNNNNNNNNNNNNNNNNNNNNNNNNNNNNNNNNNNNNCGGGGGCGGCGGGCGACGGGGCAGAGGAGAAGAAGCAGAUGAAAACUGACGAAAUUUCUAAGUGCUGCUUAUAUAGGAUGGGCCUUUAGUACCGGUUGGAGCCACCAACCGGGACUAAAGGUCAAAUUUGGCCAGCCCAAGCGGCGGGAAGCGCACCCCUUUAGUACCGGGUGGUGGCACCAACCGGUACUAAAGACCCCCCUUUAGUACCGGUUGGAGCCACCACCCGGUACUAAAGGGUGUGCGCUGCUAGGCGAGGGGCGCAGAAGUUUAGUCCCACCUCGCUAGUUGAGGAGCGCCAGGACCAGUUUAUAAGCCCCGAUGCGGGCACUGCAUUGAGCUCCUCUCAAUAGUAGGCCUUCUGGGCCUACCUCUCCUACUCUGCCUGUGGGCCUACUGGGCUUGCGGGCCUGCAUCCUGGCCCAACUACAGGUUGGGUUUCUAGUCGUAUGCAGGCCGCUCUGGCCGAGUAGGUGGGCUUUUUUAUUUUCUUUUUUUUUUACUUUAUUUAUUUUUGAGUUGUUUUUUGCUGUAUUUAGAGUUUCUUUGGGAAUAUUUUUGCUUUAGGUACAAAAAAUUACAAAGUUUCUGUUAAUGCCGGUAGUUUACAAAUUUGAAUAGUUUAUAUUUUGAAUUAUUUGAAAUUUGUGUGAAUCACUAGUUUGUGAAUAACUUAACUUUGAAAAUAGAUUUUCAGUGAUUCUUUUAUCUUAUGUUUAAUAUUAGUGUGUUUUAUCAUUAUAUUCAAUUUGGUAAUGCUUAGGUUAUUUAAAAAAUGAAAUCCCUUUGUAACGGAUGAGUUUUUGUCCGAAACCCUGAUACUUCGAAAGAGAUUGUCCAUUUUAUACACGAAGUGCAUCCAGUUUUUGCGGUAACCCUCUCUAUUUUUUUGCACAUGCUAUAUGGGUGAAAUUAUGAUACCAUGCCAACUUUCAACCUUUUCUGAGUUCAUUUGAAAUGCUUUUCAAUUUCAGGGUCAUUUAGCUGAAAAAAUCAGUAAAUGCAUGAAAGAAUUUGUUUGCACAUAAAAUUUCUUCGCGUUUCAAAUGUCAAAACACAUAACUACCCUAACUAUUACAGAGAUUCCUUCCUGGGUGUGAAACACAGAAGAAAUUGAUGAUAGUGAAGCCGAUCACAUCCCAGAUCUUUGGGUGUGUAACUUUUUCUUCGCAUAUGUCCCUUUGCGCCGUAGCCAUGGAAAAUCUUCAUCAUUUAACUGGAUGCUCGGGUCAAUAUUCACUGUGAAUGGAGCAAUUUCAUCAAUCUUUUCAUAAUCUUCUGACAUGUCUGUCUUGUCAUCCACUCCCACGAUGUUUCUCUUCCCAGAAAGAACUAUGUGGCGCUUUGGCUCAUCGUAUGAUGUAGUCGCUUCCUUGUCUUUUCUUUUUCUCGGCUUGGUACACAUAUCCUUCACAUAGAAAACGUGUGCCACAUCAUUAGCUAGGACGAAUGGUUCAUCUGCAUACGCAAGAUUGUUGAGAUCUACUGUUGUCAUUCCAUACUGCGGGUCUUCCGUUACCCCAUAUCGUGUCAUAUUGACCCAUUUGCACCGAAACAAAGGGACCUUCAAAUCACGUCCAUAGUCAAGUUCCCAUAUCUCCUCUAUGUAACCAUAAUAUGUUUCCUUUCCCGUCUUGGUUGUUGCAUCAAAGCAGACACCACUGUUUUGGUUGGUGCUCUUCUUAUCUUGGGCGAUCGUGUAAAAUGUAUUACCAUUUAUCUCGUACCCUUUGAAAGUCAUUAUAUUCGUAGAUGGUAACUAGGACAGCGAGUACACAUCAUCUUCAAUAGAGGCGUCAUGCAUGGUACGUGUCUGCAACCAGCCGGCGAAACUCCUGGUUUGUUCACGUGUAAUCCAGUCAUCAGACCGCUCCGGGUGUUUGGAGCGUAGAAAAUUCUUGUGUUCGUCCAUAUACGGAGCCACCAAGGCGGAAUUCUGUAUAACUGUGUAGUGUGCUUCAGUGAGAGAAUGUCCGUCCAUACAUAUUUUUUGAUUCCCUCCUAGCGUGCCUUUUCCAUCUAGUCUGCCCUUAUGCCGCGAUUCAGGAACACCAAUCGGCUUAAGGUCAGGAAUAAAGUCAAUACAAAACUCAAUGACCUCCUAAUUUUCAUGGCCCUUGGAGAUGCUUCCUUCUGGCCUAGCACGGUUAUGAACAUAUUUCUUUAAGACUCCCAUGAACCUCUCAAAGGGGAACAUAUUGUGUAGAAAUACAGGACCCAAAACACUAAUCUCUUCGCAUAGGUGAACUAGGACGUGCGUCAUGAUGUUGAAGAAGGAUGGUGGGAACACCAACUCAAAACUGACAAGACUAAUCGAACGUUGAGGAAUGCACGCAUAGCUUCACAAUGGCUAAUCGAACGUUAUCCGGUAGAAGCCCCCUCAAUGCAACCGGAAGCAGUUGCGUCAUAAUCACGUGGCAGUCAUGAGACUUUAGGUUCUGGAACUUUUUCUCUGCCAUGUUUAUUAUUCCCUUUAUAUUCGACGAGAAGCCAGACGGUACCUUAAUACUGAGCAGACAUUCAAAGAAGAUUUCCUUCUCUUCUUUGGUAAGAGCGUAGCUGGCAUGACCCUGAUGUAUGCCGUCUUUUCCAUGCAUACGUUGCUAGUCCUCCCGUGCCUCAGGUGUAUCUUUUGUCUUCCCAUACACGCCCAAGAAGCCAAGCAGGGUCACGCAAAGAUUCUUCGUCACGUGCAUCACGUCGAUUGCAGAGCGGACCUCUAGAUCUUUCCAAUAGGGCAGGUCCCAAAAUAUAGAUUUCUUCUUCCACAUGGGUGCGCGUCCGUCAGCAUCAUUCGGAACAGGUUGUCCGCCAGGACCCUUUCCAAAGACUACCUUCAAAUCCUUGACCAUAUCAUGUACAUCAGCACCAGUACGGUGGCGAGGCUUCGUCCGGUGAUCCGCCUCACCUUUGAAAUGCUUGCCUUUCUUUCUUACGGGAUGCCUGCUCGGAAGAAAUCGACGAUGUCCUAGGUACACAUUCUUCCUACAAUUGUCCAAAUAUAUACUGUCGGUAUCAUCCAAACAGUGCGUGCAUGCGCGGUAUUCCUUGUUUGUCUGUCCUGAAAGGUUACUGAGAGCAGGCCAAUCAUUGAUGGUCACGAACAGCAAGGCCUUUAGGUCAAAUUCUUCCCCCAAGUGCUCAUUCCACGCACGUACACCUGUUCCAUUCCACAGCUGUAAGAGUUCUUCAACUAAUGGCCUUAGGUACACAUCAAUGUCGUUGCCGGGUUGCUUAGGGCCUUGGAUGAGGACUGGCAUCAUAAUGAACUUCCACUUCAUGCACAACCAAGGAGGAAGGUUAUACAAACAUAGAGUCACAGGCCAGGUGCUAUGGUUGCUGCUCUGCUCCCCAAAAGGAUUAAUGCCAUCUGCGCUUAGACCAAACCAUACGUUCCUUGCGUCAUCUGCAAACUCCUUCCCGUACUUUCUCUCAAUUUUUCUCCACUGCGACCCGUCAGCGGGUACUCUCAACUUUCCGUCUUUCUUACGGUCUUCUCUGUGCCAUCGCAUCGCCUUGGCAUGCUCUUUGUUUUGGAACAAACGUUUCAACCGUGGUAUUAUAGGAGCAUACCACAUCACCUUGGCAGGAAUCUUCUUCCUGGGGCACUCGCCCUCGACAUCACCAGGGUCAUCGCGCCUGAUCUUAUAGCGCAAUGCACCGCAUACCGGGCAAGCGUUCAAAUCCUCGUACUCACCGCGGUAGAGGAUGCAGUCAUUAGGGCAUGCAUGUAUCUUCUGCACCUCUAACCCUAGAGGGCAGACAGCCUUCUUUGCUUCGUACGUACUCUCGGGCAAUUCGUUGUCCUUUGGAAGCAUAUUCUUUAUCAUUACCAGCAACUUUCCAAAUCCCUUGUCAGAUACACCAUUCUCUGCCUUCCAUUGCAGCAAUUCCAGUGUGGUGCCCAACUUUUUCUUGUCAGCUUCGCAAUUCGGGUACAACAAUUUCUUGUGAUCCUCUAACAUGCGCUGCAACUUCUUCUCCAAAUCACUUGCGCAGUUUCUCUUUGCAUCGGCAAUGGCCCGACCUAGAUCAUCAGCGGGCUCAUCUGAUGCCUCUUCUUCAGCUUCUUCCCGCAUUGCCGGCUCAGCUUCUUCCCUCAUUGUUGUAUCAUCGUAUUCAGGGAACCCAUGGCCAGGAUAGUUGUCGUCGUCCUCUUCUUCUUCAUUGUCUUCCAUCAUAACCCCUCUUUCUCCGUGCUUGGUCCAAACAUUAUAGUGGGGCAUGAAACCAGGACUUAAACAGGUGGACGUGAAUGGUUCUUGACGUAGAGUAAUUGUGAUCAUUCUUACAGACUAAACAUGGACAAGGCAUAAAACCAUCCGCCCGCUUGUUUGCCUCAGCCGCAAGCAGAAAAGUUUGCACGCCAUUAAUGAACUCGGGAGAGCAUCGGUCAUCGUUCAUCCAUUGUCGGCUCAUCUUCAUUACACAACACCGAAUAGACCAAAUUAAUACAAGUUCAUACAUAAAGUUCAUACAAGCCUUAAAUGCAACAAACAAAUAACUCUCUAACUAAAAAAUUUAAAUGCAACAACAAAUGCGAUCAAGAUCGCAACUAAGGUGACAAUUGAUCCAACAACAUAAUGAUACCAAGCCUCACUAUCAAUGGCAUAUUUUCUAAUCUUUCUAAUCUUCAAACGCAUUUUCUCCAUCUUGAUCUUGUGAUCAUCGACGACAUCGGCAACAUGCAACUCCAAUUCCAUCUUCUCCCCCUCAAUUCUUUUCAAUUUUUCUUUCAAAUACUCGUUUUCUCUUUCAACUAAAUUUAACCUCUCGACAAUAGGGUCGGUUGGAAUUUCCGGUUCACAAACCUCCUAGACAAAAAUAUCUAUGUCAACUUGAUGGGCAUAAUUUGUCAUAAACACGAAAUGCAACAACUAGUUUUAAAAGAGAAUAUACCACAUCCGAAUCAUAAUAAGGAUGAGGGCCGACGGGGACGGAUAUCAAAACCAUGGCACUAUGUAUAACAAACAAUGUACGGGUAAGAUAAUUAUACGAGUAACUAUAUAUCCAAAUCACACAAACAUCAAUUUGGUAAUGUAAAACAUUCAUGAACAAGAGGCUCACCACAAGGUGGUGCCGGCGACGGAACGGUGUGGGCGAUCGACUGUGGUUACGAUAGAGAUUUAGAAGGCACUAAGUAAACCACACCUACAUAUGCAAACUAAGUGUUAGUUUUGACCACAAAUUGCAUAUAAGUCAAAUACUAGCACAUAUAUUUUCUACCAAAUUACUAAACUCAUAAAUUAAUCACUAUACAAAGCAUUGCAAGAGCUAAUCUAGCAAUGAGAGAUGAAAGGACAAAGUUGCUAACCUUUGUGGUCAUUUGAAUGGAUGGGGGCCUUCAAAUCUUGACAAAUUUUGGGCAAAAUGUGUGAUGAGCUCGAGAGGAAGAGGGGAAGAACAUAGAGGAGAGGGGAAAGGGGAAGAACAGAGCGAGCUCGGGUGGACGAAAGGCUUAUGUACGACGACCUUUAGCAUCGGUUCGUGCCACGAACCGGUACUAAAGGUGCUGGAGGGGCCCCGGACUGACAACAUCCUUCCACCUCUCACUUUAGUACCGGUCCGUAGCACGAACCGGUGCUAAAGGUCGGCCACGAACCAGUACUAAUGAAAGCAGCUGGCUAGCCGUUGGAACCGGCACUAAUGCACACAUUAGUGCCGGCUCAAAAGCAAACCGGCACUAAUGUGCUUGACAUUUGACCCUUUUCUACUAGUGAUUCAAGUAAAUAGAUGCCUAAUGCAUGUUGAAAUAAAAGUUUGCUUUACAUUCUGUUUGCACAAUUGUGUUUUUUACAAAGUCUUUAAAACAAGACCAAUAUUGAAUAUAUUUUUAGAAAUUAAUUUUUGACAACUAAAUCACCAUGCUUCGAACUUGUUCCAUACAUAUUUAUUAAUUCCAUGUGAAAAUUUUAAUAAUGUACAUUUCACAAAUUAUUAUCUUAUUGUUUCACUAUGGCUCCCCAUGUUCCGUUGCAUUUCAUAAUGAUACAUUGUGUGCCAAUGUGUAUCAAACUGAUUCUUAGUAAUCUAAAAGUUUGUAAAUAUUAAUAUAUUUUAUUGCAACAAAACUUUGGCCUUAUCUAGUGUUUAACAAAACAUGGCAUAGUUAUGUGUACUCUUAUAGUGUUUCACUAUGUUUCAGAAUUUAAAUUUUAAAAAUUAUUGAAAUAUAUUCAAAAGUGGUCUCUUUUCAAAGGUCUCGUUGUCAAAAACACAAAUAUGAAACCGGAUCAUAAAUUGUACUUUUGGUUCAUAAGACCAAUUAGAUUUGAACUUGGAAAUAAAAUGAAAAAGUAUGAAAUGGUGGAACGUAGGUGGAACAGUGUACUUGCAUGUGAUGAAAGAAAUAACUAACUAACUGCCAGCGGUAUAAAUGCAUGGCAUCGGAUCUCCAAACAAACCAACGGCGCAUGCAUGCACGGUACCUCCCGUGCAUGGGAGAUUAGCUUUUCUCUAUUUUGGGGGAUACUGUGCCAGUUCAGACUUGGCGUUUGGCAGCGUGGCCUGUUCAUGUGUUUGAUUGGGCGUAGUAGUGUGUGGGUACUUCAGUUAGAUGGUAUGCAGCGGAUCGAGUCUAUCGACCGUGUGGCGAUGCCUGUAGAUUGUAGCACUAAAAUAUGAUGCUCAUUCAUAAACUAAUUUAGAUAAAGCCGCAAAAAAAAUGUGCUAGUUUUUUUUUGUGCUCACAUACUCUGUUUUGUCUCAGUUUUAGUCCAGGGCAACUUUGAAGCUUAUCUUAGGGUGGUAGCCAGAAAAAUGUGUUAAAGACCUUAUUAAGAAGUGAAGAAGAAUAGGCGUCUCCAGUUUUUGUUUCUCCAACUCUAUGCCUACACUGUAAUAUUAUUGAUGGAUUAGCUCCAGUUGAUGCAACUGUACUCUUUCUGGUAGGUCUGAGAUGCGAGUGAGCCAGAUCGAUCCUGAGCUAGCUACUUGUCUCCCUUAAGUCUUACAGCAAGACAAAUGCACUGGACUACAAAGAGGAAAUUCCUGCAGGUUCGUAAUGCAUCUGUUUUGGUUCUGGCAUUUGUCAGAUGUGUAUAGUCCCUUUUCGGUUCUUUCCCGUUGUAUAAGGGGUUUCCUGCAUUUCACCACACAUGUAUAUGUAAUGGCCUUUGACCCUCAGUGAAUACUAGUUGCUGUUUAUCCAACAUGGUAUCAGAUGUUAGGUUCCUCUCUCUCCUGCACGCUGCAACUCCGUGCUAGCUCGCCUCCCCUGAUUCGCUUCGUCCCCUUGCCAUCCGGCUGAUGCUGCUCUCUGGCCGAUUCCGGCUGCCCCCGACCUGAGCUCCGCCCGGUCCUCCUCGUCGUGGAUCCGCCGGGGCCUGCUCGAUCCGGCCUCCCCGGCCUAUCCACGGCCAGGCUCGGCCACCCCUCGCCGCGGAUCCAACCGGGACCUGCUCGUCCCGUGCUCGGCCGUAGCCCUCCUUGCCGCUCGGCCACCCCGCGGAUCCGCCUAUGCCCGACCGGGGCCCUCCUCGCCGUGGAUCCGGUCUCUCCGGCCCGUCCAAUGCCAGGCUCGGCCCGGCCGCCGCCGCCUCCUGCCGGCCGGCCGCCGUCGCCCCUUUCUCCGCCUCGCCUUGGAUCCGGCCGGGGUCUGCUCGUCCCGUGCUCGUCGGGUCCUUGCUUGGCCGCUCGUCUGCCUGGCCGCUCGUCCCGUGCUCCUGCACUCGGGUUCGGCCCUCUGUGGUCAAUGUGUGUUGCCUAUAGUUGACCCUGUGUAAAAAAACCCAAUGAGCUCGUCAUGUCUCCGUCAGGCUAUGUGGCUGUUCCUCGGUGCUCGGUGAUCUUCGAUGGCACCAACUAUGCUGAGUUUGUGGGUUUCAUGCGCAUUCACAUGCGUGGUCUUCUCCUGUGGGGCGUUCUCUCUGGCGAGGUUCCAUGUCCGCCUUGCCCUGUUGCUCCUGUGGCUCCUAUCCCGCCGGUGCCGCCUGUUCUUGCUGUUGAUGCUUCUCAGGCUGAUCGGGAUACAGCCAAGGCCCUUGACGAUGCCGCGGUUGAUGCUUAUGAUCAGCAGGUAUCCGCCUACUCAGAUGCUCUUUCUGCUUACCGAAACGAUUUGUCUGCUUACACUCAGUGGUGCAACGAUGAUGCUCGAGCUACUGCUGUUCUCACUUCGAGUGUCUUACCUCAGUUUGCAUCUGAGUUCAUGGGUCUCAGUAUUGUUGCUGCGAUGUGGUCCUAUCUUUGUCAGUGAUAUCAGCCCUCUGGUGAUGCUCUCUACUUAUCUGUGGUGCAUCAGGAGCACGCUCUUCACCAGGGUGACCCUUCUGUUGAUGAGUUCUACUCACAGAGCUCUGCCAUCUGGCGCCAGAUUGACUCUCUCAGGAUAGUUGUUUGUGGUUCUUGCCGUUGUUGCCAGACUGUACGGUCAGACUUGGAGUUUCAUCGUCUCCAUGAGUUCUUAUCUCACCUUCAUCCAGAGUUUGAGCCUCGGCGUGCUCACCUGCUUGCUCGUGGUCGUGUUCCUAUUUUGGAGGUGCUUGUAGAGCUUCCUGCCGAGGAGACACGCCUCCGUUCUGCUGGUCUGCUUGUGGUUCCCACUGUGCUUGCUGCCCGAGCUCCUGUGUCGUCUGCUCGCCUCACCACUCGACCACUCCUGCCCACACCUCCAGGGGGUGGUUCACCCUCCUUCAGGCGAGGGUCGAUCGCGCUCGCACACCUUCCGUGGCUACUGCAACAGGCCAGGUCACCCAAAGUCUGAUUGUCACAAGAAGCGGAAAGACCUGAAGCGCUCUUCUUCUAGUGGGACUCGUGCGUCUUCCUCGACUUCGUCGCUCAUUGACCAGGAUAUUGUGCGGCUCAAGCGCAUGUUGGCUUCCUCUGGUUCUUCCUCGACGGGUUCUGUUGCCGCUGUGACUACCACUACCACUCCGCCGCCGUCGGAGCCUACUCAGUGAGGUACAUCCUCGUGGGUUCUGGAUUCUGGAGCUUCUUUCCAUAUGUCUUUUGACUCUUCUGCUUUAUCUUCUCUUCGACCUCUUGAUUUUCCUCUUAAUGUUCUCACUGCCGAUGGCACACCCCUUCCUGUUACUAGUCGUGGCAUUCUUUCCACUCCGUCUUUUUCGGUUCCUAGUGUUUCUCAUGUUCCUCGUCUUACCAUGAAUCUUUUUUCCGCUGCCCAACUUACUGAUUCUGGUUGUCGUGUCAUUCUUGAUGCCGACUCUUGUUCUGUUCAGGAUCGUCGCACUCAGGCUCUGGUUGGCGCUGGCCCUCGGCGCGGUGAGUCUAAGGGACUUUGGGAGGUUGACUGGCUUCGUGUUCCUUCCGCUGCUACCACAUACACCAGCUCUCAUGCUCUUGUUGCCUCCUCUUCUGCGUCCUUCCAGCAGUGGCAUCAUCGACUUGGUCACAUCUGUGGCUCUCGCUUGUCCUCCUUAGUUCACCAAGGCGUCUUAGGGUCUGUCUCUGGUGAUGUUUCGUUGCAUUGUGAUGGUUGUAGGCUUGGAAAACAGACUCAGUCACCUUAUCCUACCAGUGAGUCUAUAUCUCAGCGUCCUUUUGACUUAGUUCAUUUUGAUGUAUGGGGUCCUGCUCCUUUUGACUCGAAAGGGGGUCAUCGCUAUUAUGUUUUGUUUAUUGAUGAUUUCUCUCUCUACACUUGGCUUUAUUGUAUGAAAUCUCGCAGCGAGGUUCUCCCCAUAUACAAGCGUUUUGCUGCCAUGGUUCGCACUCAAUUUUCCACGCCUGUCCGUAUCUUCCGUGCUGACUCAGCUGGAGAGUAUAUCUCUCACAUGUUGCGUGGUUUUCUUGCGGAGCAGAGUACUCUUGCCCAAUUCUCUUGCACUGGUGCACAUCCUCAGAAUGGCGUUGCUGAACACAAACAUCGCCAUUUGCUUGAGACGGCUCGGGCGAUGAUGAUCGCCGCCUCUCUUCCACCCCAUUUUUGGGCUGAGGCCGUUUCAGUAUCCACCAGCUCGUCAACAUUCAGCCAUCGGCUGCCUUGAAGGGUGGUAUUCCUAUGGAGCGUCUCUUUGGUCCUGACUACUCUGCUCUUCGCAUGUUUGGAUGCAUGUGCUAUGUUCUCCUUGCUCCGCGAGAACGAACCAAGUUGACUGCUCAGUCAGUUGAGUGUGUUUUCCUUAGCUAGAGUGAUGAGCACAAGGGCUAUCGCUGUUGGGAUCCUGUUGGUCACCGACUGCGCAUUUCGCGUGAUGUGACUUUUGAUGAGUCUCGUUCUUACUAUCCGCAUCCCUCCUCCUCGAGCUUUUCCGUGGAAGAUAUUUCCUUUCUUCUCCUUCCCGACACAUCUCCCUCUGUGUCUCCUGUUAUUCCCUCUCCCCCGAUGAGUCUCCCUACACCAUCGGUACCAUCAUCCCCUCCCUCCUCCUCCUGUCCCUCGUCAUCUCCCUCCCCACCCUCCUCCCCAGUCUUUCGCCCUCACUCCCCUUCUCCUCUCCACUACACUCGUCAUCCUCAUGCUGUGGAUGAUCCUACUGAUGUGCCCUCUACUUCCGGUGCACCUCCUCUCACGCCUACACCGGUCCAUAACCUUUGCGUUAGGCCUUGUCCCCCACCUGAUCGCUAUUCUCCUGACCAGUAUGGUCUUUCUGCCAUUGCUGAGCCCACCACCUAUCGAGCUGCCAUGACUCGGCCUGAAUGGCAGCUUGCCAUGGCCGAGGAGCUUGCGGCGCUUGAGCGCAAUGGCGCGUGGGAUCUGGUUUCUCCUCCUUCUGGUGUUUGUCCCAUCACGUGCAAGUGGGUCUAUAAGAUUAAGACUCGCUCUGAUGGUUCUCUUGAGCGUUACAAAGCUCGUCUUGUGGCUCGUGGCUUUCAGCAGGAACAGGGGCGUGAUUAUGACGAGACUUUUGCUCAUGUGGCCCAUAUGACCACUGUCCGCACUCUACUUGCUGUGGCUUCUGUUCGUCAUUGGCCUGUGUCUCAGCUUGACGUUCAGAACACCUUUCUCAAUGGCGAGUUGCGUGAGGAGGUUUAUAUGCAGCUACCACCGGGGUACUAUGCUCCUGAUGGUAUGGUCUGUAGACUUCGCCGCUCCCUCUAUGUGUAGGAUCGGAAGUAUGUCUAGAGGGGGGGGGGGUGAUUAGACUACUUGACCAAAUAAAAAUCUAGCCUUUUCCCAAUUUUAGUUCUUGGCAGAUUUUAGCAACUUAGCACAAGUCAAACAAUCAACCUACACAUGCAAUUCUAAGAGUAUAGCAGCGGAAAGGUAAAGCAAUUGCAUAUGAAGGUAAAGGGAUGAGUUUGAGGGAGCAAACGCAAUGUUGACAUAGAGAUUUUUUAUCCGUGGUUCCGAUAGGUGGUGCUAUCGUACAUCCACGUUGAUGGAGACUUCAACCCACGAAGGGUAACGGUUGCGCGAGUCCACGGAGGGCUUCACCCACGAAGGGUCCACGAAGAAGCAACCUUGUCUAUCCCACCAUGGCCGUCGCCCAUGAAGGACUUGCCUCACUAGGGUAGAUCUUCACGAAGUAGGCGAUCUCCUUGCCCUUACAAACUCCUUGGUUCAACUCCACAAUCUUGUCGGAGGCUCCCAAGUGACACCUAGCUAAUCUAGGAGACACCACUCUCCAAGAAGUAACAAAUGGUGUGUUGAUGAUGAACUCCUUGCUCUUGUGCUUAAAAUGAUAGUCUCCCCAACACUCAACUCUCUCUCAUAGGAUUGGAUUUGGUAGAAAGAAGAUUUGAGUAGAAAGCAACUUGGGAAGGCUAGAGAUCAAGAUUUAUGUGGUUGGAAUGGAAUAUCUUGAACUCAACACAAGUGUAGGUGGUUCUCUCUCAGAAAAUAUGUAUUGGAAGUGUAGGCAUGUUCUGAUGGCUCUCUCCACGAAUGAAGAGUGGGUGGAGGGGUUUAUAUAGCCUCCACACAAAAUCUAACUGUUACACACAAAUCACCAAACUCGGUGGGAGCGAUUCAAAGAACUCGGUCAGACCGAUUUGGUUCAUAAUGUGAACGUUAGGAUUCUCGGUGGGACCGACAUGUCAACUCUGUGGGACUGAUGUCAUUAGGGUUAGGGCAUAACGUAAUCUCGGUGAGACCGAUUACACAAACUCGGUGAGUCCGAUUUUGGUAAUAGCCAAACAGAGUGUUGGUCUGGCAAACUCGGUGGGACCGAUUCGCUCAUCUCGGUUGGACCGAAAUGUUACGAAAGGGAAACAGAGAUUUUGCAUUGUAAUCUCGGUGGGACCGAUCGCUCAUCUCGGUUUGACCGAAACGUUACGAAGGGAAACAGAGAGUUUGCAACCCCAUCUCGGUGAGACCGAGAUCCCUAUCGGUGAGACCGAAUAGAUUAGGGUUUCUGGCAGUGGCUAUGUCAACUGAACUCGGUGGCUCUGGAUGGAAAGAAUCGGUGGGGCCGAGUUGGACUUUUUGGUUUAGGACAUAUGUGGAUAUGAGAAAGUAGUGGAGGGUUUUGGAGCAUAUCACUAAGCAUUUUGAGCAAGAAUCUCAUUAAGCAACACCUCAUCCCUUCUUAAUAGUAUUGGCUUUUCCUAUAGACUCAAUGUGAUCUUGGAUCACUAAAAUGAAAAAUGUAGAGUCUUGUGCUUUGAGCUUGAGCCAAUGUUUUGUCCUUAGCAUUUUGAAGGGUCCACUUCCUAAUCCAUGCCAUGCCAAACAUUGAGCUUUCCUAAAAUAUUUAUCUUGGAAUAGCAUUAGCUCAGUGAGCUAUAUGUUGUUAGGAAUUACCAAAACCACCCAGGGAUAGUUGCACUUUCAAUCUCCCCCUUUUUGGUAAUUGAUGACAACAUAUAGAUCAAAGCUUCGACAAAUGAUAAAUAAGAUUGAAAAACAUCGUCGCUUUGAGAAGUAUGUGAUAAGCAAGAGCUCCCCCUAAAUUUGUGCAUUAUUUAAGAUUUGCUUUUGAAUGCAAAUGCACAAUCGAUUAGGAUCAUGGGUUACUCUUCCAUGUCACAUACAUCUUGGUGGAGCACUCAAAUGAUAGAGAUUAAAAGCAUGCACUCAUCACCAAGCAAAGUGAAUGAUCAUAAUAGGAUAUGAAAGAUAGCAUUAUCCAACAAGCAUUAAGGGUAGCAUAUGAUCAAACACUUGACCAAAUAAGUAUCUCACAAGGACACAAAGUAGUAUCACACAAGCACGCAGUAAAGUUUCAAACCAACCAAAAAAGAGUGCAAAGAGAGAUAAAAACCAACACUCUCUCUCUCGAAGCCUAUGAUCUAUACAUUUUUCUCCCCCUUUGGCAACAAGUUACCAAAAAGUUUGAAAAUGCAUAGUUCUAAACGACUCUCAGGCUUGAUCUUCGGGAGGUGGUGUUGAGAGAACGCCAAGGACGAAGGCUUCUGAUGAAGUGGCUGGAGCUGGUGGAGUAGCUACUGGCGUUGGAACUGGAGCUGUGGCUGCUGGUGCUGAUGUUGUAGCUCUAGUGUCUGUCACUGGCACUGCAGUAGAUCUCUGUCCUCUGGGCACUCUAGCAAAUGCAUCUGUGGUAGACUUGCCCUUCUUCUCCUCUGCUUCCUCCUGAGGUUGCUCAACUGCUCUUUGGAUCUCAGUUACCUUGACAUCAAGGUCAUAGAAUUUUGUCUCAACAAUCCUUUCCAAGCUCUCCUGGUUCUUGGUCAGGGUGGCCAAGCCCUGCUCAAUCCUCAGAGUGGAUUGGAUCAGAUAUGCAAGCUGGUCGUGCUUGCUCUUCAAGAAUACAUGAGAUGCCUCUUCCAUAGUUGGCAUCUUUGCAACUUUCGCAGCUUUAGCCUUCUCUCUCUUUUCUUGUGCUUGCACAAAUGAUGGUUCAUUCUCAGUCAUGACAACAGUGUUGUCCUCAAAUUCAGGAUAGAUGGGUAGAUGCUCCUUGUCCAAGAUGUACUUGCCUUUGCCCAUCUUUGAGUUGAUGAGCUCCUGGAUGUGUGGGGCAUAUCCACAACUUCGCUUCUGAUCGGCUGCAGUCCUCUUGAUUGUUUCCACAAUCAGGCUCAUAACCUUGAAUUUUUGUGGGACAUCAAAUAUGUGCAGCAAGUUGAUAGCAUGUCCUCUGAUCAUCUUGUGAUCACCUGACUUGGGUAGAAGUGUGUGCCUCAGAAUCCAAUUGAUUGUUGGCAGACCAGACAACAAAUAGUGUACAGAUCCAAACUUAUGUGUGUCCAAAGCAUCAUCAGGGAUCUCUUCGUACAUAUUUGCCAUAGAGUUGUGGUCUUUCUUCUUCUUGUCAUAGACAUCCAAGUCAUCCUCAUGUUCCUCAGGAGCAUUUAUUAGUUUUGCCCAUUCUUCAACUGUAAACUGGUACCUAGUACCCUCAGACAUCCACACAAUCCUUCCAUCUGGAUAGAAGUGUGCAGUGGAGUAAAAUUGCAUAAUGAGCUCAUCAUUCCACUUGGUGAACUUCCGAGCCACAAACUCAUCAACUCCACAUGCCUUGAAGUUUUCAUAUACACCAGGGAAGUGAUCCUCAUUUUCCUUAAUGAAUUUCCAAUCAACCCAUCUCAUGUCACACACUAUGGGCUUCUUGUCAAGUAAGGCAGCCUCAUAGAAGUCCUGUUGUUCCUUAGUGUGGAAUGUGUAGUCCAUAGUAGUCCUUCUCCUGGUGGCAUAUGGAUCAGACUCUCUCCAUAGCCUCAAUCCUGAAUCCUUCCUGAUUUUCAUGUUCUCUGCAACUGGGUGUGCAUCAUUGUGAUCAGGGAUCUUGGGCUUCAGCUUUCUCAAAAUGACAGAAUCAUCUUCUUCUUCUUCAGCAGCUUGAGGCACUGGGGCCUUGUUCUUCUCCUCAGCAGGGAUGUUCCUAGUGCUCCUCUUGGGUUUUGGUUUUGGAGCUGGAGCAGCAGCCUUGGGAGCAGCUUUGGGCUUAGAUGGAGCAGCCCCUGAUCUGAUUGCAUCUCCCAUGAGCUUUUGAGCUUUGGGUGCUGGUGCAGCAUCCUCUUCCUCUUCCUCUUCAGAAUCUUUCCUCAUUGAGGGCUUCCCAAGAACUCUAGAAGUAGUGGUUCUGGCCCUCUUCUUCUUCUUAUCCUCACCAGCUGCUUCUUCUUCAGAUUCAAUGGUGAACUUCAUAGUUUCACCUGUGGCAACUUUUCUUGGCUUAGACAUGGGCUGUCUUCCUGCUGGCCUCUUUGUUUUCAGACCUGGCUUAGUUGCAGCAGCUGAGCCAUACUCUUUCUUCAGCACUUUCUUCUUUGAAGUGGCUUCAUCUUCAACAGCCACAUAGUCUUCAUCCUCAGAGUCAGAAGUUCUCUUCUUCCUUGACCUGGUGGCAGCUUUUGGCAAGUUGCUUGGAGUGCUCCUGCUGCCUUCAUCAUAGCUGCUAGAGGGACUAGUGCCCUCACUCAACUGAACCUGUUCCUCUGACUUGUUCUGGCUGUCACUUUGGUCAGACAUCUUGCAGGCAAACUGUCAGCAGACCCUGUGAACAGGUUAUAGAUGAGGUAGAGUAGAUGAGCAUCACAAAGCACAGGAGUUUUUGCAAAAUAGAUGACUUAAAAACUUAGUUUUAGUUCUUCAUAGAAAGCAUUUCGGAUCUACCGUUUUGUAAACUCGGUGAUACCGAAGCAGCUUUUGGAACCUGAACUAGUGAACUCGGUCAGACCGAGUCACAGUUCGGUGGCACCGAGACUGCUAGGGUUUCACAGAGAAUUGAACUCGGUCACACCGAUUUGCAAUUUUCGGUCGGACCGAAAAUGCGUGUGCUCUGGCCUAAGCCAAAAUCGGUGAGACCGAUUUCUACAACUCGGUCGGUCCGAGAUGAAUUCGGCGGAGACCUAACCCUAAAUUUUCAAAUCAAAACUAAUCUACGGGACGUUUUCGCUGGACAGGAUGAUUUCAGUUGUGGCAAGAAACAUGGCAAAGCAAUGUGCUAAGAAUUGGAGUUAAAGAUUAGCACAAUGAUAAAGUCCGUACCCUAGUGCGGCGACGAACUUGCUACGUCGGCAACGGCGGAGAUGAUUUCCGUUGACGGCGGCGGAGACCAGCGGCGGGAGGACGCUGGCGACGAGAGGACGAUCCGGAGACCAGAGGAGGCAGAGUAGGUUACGCGCGGGCGAAGGGGUUCGGAGAAAUUUCCAAAUUUUGACCCAGCGGUAUAUAUAACCUGACCCUGUCGGUGUGACCGAGUGGAACGACUCGGUGGCACCGAGAUGCAAAACUGCAAGCAGUUACUGCAACUCGGUGUGACCGAAAUGUUCUAAUCGGUUGCACCGAGAUUGAAAACUCUAGAUCAACUUGGUGACUCGGUAGGACCGAAAAGGAUGAAUCGGUCAGACCGAGGUGCACAAAGAGGUUUGGAGGUUUAAGUCUAUGACGAAUCGGGAUCUCCGAGUGCUCCUCACACAGAGUGGUUCGAAUCUGACUUGAUCAAACUUUGUGAUGUAGCAUGAAUAGAGUUUGAGACGAGAAAAGCAUAGAUAGCUAGAGGGUGUUCUUAGGCAUUCUUGUCCAUCCAUUUGGCAAAAGAGAAAGAGCCAAACAAUCAAAACAACAAAUGGAUGUCCUCGAAUGAGUAAAAUAUGCAACCAACAUGCUCACACAAUAAAAUGGCAAAUGAAAUAUGUGAAAAAGCAUGCACAAACAUUCUAGCAUCUAUCAAGCAAUUGGCGAUGACUAGGUCAUCUAUAUAUGAGUAUAUUGACUUAGGAGUCAAAUGAGAACAUUUGAUCAUAGGUCAUACUCAUCGUUUAAGCACAAGUGGGGUUACCACUUUUACAUAAAGAAUUGUUGUGUUCACACCAUUAGAGUUGCUUUAGCUCAUUGAUUUGAGUAAAGCUCCCCCUAGAUGUGAUAUUCCCCCUAAAGGGAAUGAACUAACCUUGGGUUUUGUCGAUGAUGACUUCAUGUAGGUGUUGAAGAUGUAGAUGCUCAAUGUUGAUGUAGAUCAUUUGGAGCAAUCCUUUGGAGUGAGUUGCGCUUUCAAUACCUUGUCCCUUGUCUUACCAACAAGAGGGUUUGUGACUCCUUGAACUAGUGCAAGAUAUGGAAGUUGUUUGCACUUGUCCUUGCCAAAAUGAUAGGAGUGAAGUAUGUUGGCGGAGUCACCCUCAAGAACUCUCUAGUUCUUCUUCUUCUGGAUCCACACCAUCUUGAUGGGAACCCUUGGAGUCGUAGUUGUACUUGAUGAAGUGGAACUUGAUGUAGUCUUGGGAACCCACUUGACAAAGGCCUUAGGUGCUUCUUCAAAUGCAUCAAUUUCCUCUUGAAGCUUAUCCUUGCAUUUUUGCUUGUGGUCUUGUGGUGGAAGAUCAUCUUGAGCUUGUGUUCCUUUGAGAGAAGUAGGAUCAUACUUCUCUUGUUGAGGAACAAACUUCGUCUUGGGGUAUUGAUCUUCUUCCCACUCAACUCCAUUGGCAUCGAACUUCCGUUCAAAACCAACACCUUGAUUCUUCCGGUGUCUUCCUUGCUUGCGCACAAUUUCCUCAAAAUGCUUACUUCCGGCAAGACUCUUGUAAACACCUUUCUCUAUGAUUCCCUUCAAUAAGCUAUUUUCUUGCUCAAGUGUAACUAGGCUAAGAGAAUCAUUAGUGGAAUCAAGAGAACUACUAGAAGCAUCAACAUUGGAUUUAGCAUGAUUGUUGUUACUACUAGAUGAAGAAUCUUUCUUGUUCUUGUUGCUAGAUUUAACUUGUGGCAUGUAAGUAGACAAGAGUAAACGCUUGGCAAUGUAAGAAGAACUUUUCUUGCGAAGAUCAUCAUUGAUUGCCUUUAAAAACUCAUGCUCUUGCUCAAGGUUGAGCUUUUCAAAGCGUAGCUUAUCAUGAGUCUUUAAAAGUUCUCGAUGAUUUUCCAAGGUAGUUUCAUGAGCUAACUUAAGAGUGUUUAGUUCUUGAGUUAGACGCUCAAUCUCCUUCUUAUCUUCAUCAUUCGUUUUAUCUUGAUUAGCAUGUUUAAUUGACGUUUCAUCAUAGUUUUCUCACUAGAGUUGUCAACAAGUAAAUCAUCAUCACCUAGCAAAUCAUCUUCAUCACUAUUGAAAUCAGAAUACUCGGGAUGUGUUACCUUUGGACCUUUGGCCAUGAAGCAUCUUCCAAUUCCUUCAUUUGGUGAGUCAAAUAUAUCAUAGGAGUUGGUUGUCACAACUGUUAGACCGGGAACACCUUCAUCUUGAGUAUAUUCGGAGUCGGAGUGAUAACUUCUUUCGGAGUGAUUGUCGGAGUCGGAGCCGGAUACCCAUUCACCAACAUGAGCUUGAUGUCUUCUUUUUGUGUAGCUCCUUGAUGACUUUUCCUUUCUUUCCAAAUCCUUGCUUCUCCGAGAGGGUCUUUGUCCAUAACGAUCAUCUCUACUCCUCCUUUCUCUCGGUGGUGAUUAUUCUCUUCUACUUCUUCUUUUGGGAGAAUCUUCUCUUCUUUUGUAGGGGGCCGUACACUCAUUGGAGUAGUGUCCGGGUCUUCCACAAUUGUAGCACUUACGCUCACGACUAGAAGAUCUUUUGUCAUUGUAGGACCUUGACUUGGAACCUAUUUCUUUGCUUCUACUUUUGUAGAACUUGUUGAAGUUCUUCACCAUUAAGCUCAAUUCUUCAUUGAAGGUUUGUUUCUCACUUGAAGAUGUGGGAGUAUCACAUGAGGCUUUGUAAGCACCACUUGACUUGUUGUGAAGCUCUUCCUUAUCCUUGAGUGACAUCUCAUGAGCAACAAUUCUUCCAUUGACUUCCGUUGGCUUGAGAUCUUUGUAACUGGGCAUCAUUUGGAUCAAUGUGCACACGGUAUCAUAUUUUCCAUCCAAGGCUCUUAGGAUCUUCUUGAUGAUGAAUUUGUCGGUCAUCUCUUCACUUCCUAAGCUGGCAAUCUCAUUUGUGAUGAGAGCAAGCCUAGAGUACAUUUCAGCGAUACCUUCACCAUCCUUCAUUUUGAACUUGUCAAGUUGACUUUGAAGCACAUCCAAUUUGGAUUCCUUGACGGAGUCGGUACCUUCGUGCAUAUCAAUCAAAGUAUCCCAAAUUUCCUUUGCAUUCUCAAGACGGCUGAUUUUGUUGAAUUCUUCGGGGCACAAUCCGUUGAAGAGAAUAUCACAAGCUUGAGCAUUGUAUUGUAGCAUCUUCAACUCUUCCGCGGUAGCUUCAUGGUUCGGUUCUCUCCCAUCAAAGAAUUCACCUUGCAAGCCAAUACACACAAUAGCCCAAACGGCGGGGUUAUGUCCAAGAAUAUGCAUUUUUAUCUUAUGCUUCCAACUAGCAAAAUUAGUGCCAUCAAAGUAAGGACCUCUACGGUGGUAAUUUCCCUCGCUAGACGCCAUACUCUCCUAGGUUGUGAAACCAAGGCUAUGACCACCAAAAGCUAUGGAAAUCAAAGCAAAUGGAGACCAAAGCUCUGAUACCACUUGUAGGAUCGGAAGUAUGUCUAGAGGGGGUGAUUAGACUACUUGACCAAAUAAAAAUCUAGCAUUUUCCCAAUUUUAGUUCUUGGCAGAUUUUAGCAACUUAGCACAAGUCAAGCAAUCAACCUACACAUGCAAUUCUAAGAGUAUAGCAGCGGAAAGGUAAAGCAAUUGCAUAUGAAGGUAAAGGGAUGAGUUUGAGGGAGCAAACGCAAUGUUGACACGGAGAUUUUUUAUCCGUGGUUCCGAUAGGUGGUGCUAUCGUACAUCCACGUUGAUGGAGACUUCAACCCACGAAGGGUAACGGUUGCGCGAGUCCACGGAGGGCUCCACCCACGAAGGGUCCACGAAGAAGCAACCUUGUCUAUCCCACCAUGGCCGUCGCCUACGAAGGACUUCCCUCACUAGGGUAGAUCUUCACGAAGUAGGCGAUCUCCUUGCCCUUACAAACUCCUUGGUUCAACUCCACAAUCUUGUCGAAGGCUCCCAAGUGACACCUAGCCAAUCUAGGAGACACCACUCUCCAAGAAGUAACAAAUGGUGUGUUGAUGAUGAACUCCUUGCUCUUGUGCUUCAAAUGAUAGUCUCCCCAACACUCAACUCUCUCUCAUAGGAUUGGAUUUGGUAGAAAGAAGAUUUGAGUGGAAAGCAACUUGGGGAAGGCUAGAGAUCAAGAUUUAUAUGGUUGGAAUGGAAUAUCUUGAACUCAACACAAGUGUAGGUGGUUCUCUCUCAGAAAAUAUGUAUUGGAAGUGUAGGCAUGUUCUGAUGGCUCUCUCCACGAAUGAAGAGUGGGUGGAGGGGUAUAUAUAGCCUCCACACAAAAUCUAACCAUUACACACAAAUCACCAAACUCGGUGGGAGCGAUUCAAAGAACUCGGUCAGACCGAUUUGGUUCAUAAUGUGAACGUUAGGAUUCUCGGUGGGACCGACAUGUCAACUCGGUGGGACCGAUGUCAUUAGAGUUAGGGCAUAACGUAAUCUCGGUGAGACCGAUUACACAAACUCGGCGAGUCCGAUUUUGGUAAUAGCCAAACAGAGAGUUGGUCAGGCAAACUCGGUGGGACUGAUUCGCUCAUCUCGGUUGGACCGAAACGUUACGAAAGGGAAAAGAGAGUUUGCAUUGCAAUCUCGGUGGGACCGAUCGCUCAUCUCGGUUUGACCGAAACGUUACGAAGGGAAACAGAGAGUUUGCAACCCCAUCUCGGUGAGACCGAGAUCCCUAUCGGUGAGACCGAAUUGAUUAGGGUUUCUGGCAGUGGCUAUGUCAACUGAACUCGGUGGCUCCGGAUGGACAGAAUCGGUAGGGCCGAGUUGGACUUUUUGGUCUAGGACAUAUGUGGAUAUGAGAAAGUAGUGGAGGGUUUUGGAGCAUAUCACUAAGCAUUUUGAGCGAGAAUCUCAUUAAGCAACACCUCAUCCCUUCUUAAAAGUAUUGGCUUUUCCUAUAGACUCAAUGUGAUCUUGGAUCACUAAAAUGAAAAAUGUAGACUCUUGUGCUUUGAGCUUGAGCCAAUGUUUUGACCUUAGCAUUUUGAAGGGUCCACUUCCUAAUCGAUGCCAUGCCAAACAUUGAGCUUUCCUGAAAUAUUUAUCUUGGAAUAGCAUUAGCUCAAUGAGCUAUAUGUUGUUAGGAAUUACCAAAACCACCCAGGGAUAGUUGCACUUUCACUAUGGUCUUAAACAGGCCCCUCGCGCCUGGUUCGAGCGCUUCGCCUCUGUGGUGACUACCGCUGGUUUCUUGCCAGUGAUCAUGAUCCCGCGUUGUUUGUUCACACGUCUCCUCGUGGUCGGACUCUUCUCCUUCUCUAUGUUGAUGACAUGAUCAUCACUGGUGACGACUCUGACUACAGUGCCUUUGUUAAGGCCCGCCUUCGCGACCAGUUCCUCAUGACUGAUCUUGGUCCACUUCAAUAUUUUCUUUGGAUUGAGAUCUCCUCGACCUCUGAUGGCUUCUACAUCUCCCAGGAAAAAUACAUUCAGGAUCUUCUUGCUCGUGCUACUCUUGGUGAUGAGCGCACUGUUGUGACUCCUAUGGAGCUCAACGUUCAGCUUCGUGCCUCUGACGGUGACCCUCUUCCUAAUCCUACUCGCUAUCGCCACCUCGUUGGCAGCCUUGUCUACCUUGUUGUUACGCGUUCCGACAUCUCCUAUCAUGUUCAUAUACUGAGUCAGUUUGUUUCAGCACCCACCUCUGUCCACUAUAGUCAUCUCCUCCGUGUUCUCCGAUAUCUUCGUGGCACUUUCUCUCAUCGCCUUUUCUUUCCCCGCUCAAGCUCUCUUGAGCUCCAGGCCUACUCUGAUGCUACAUGGGCUAGUGAUCCCUCUGAUCGACGCUCGCCGUCUGCAUACUGUGUCUUUCUUGGUGGCUCUCUCAUUGCCUGGAAGACAAAGAAAUAGACUAACGUUUCUCGCUUGAGUACAGAGGCUGAGUUGCGAGCCAUGGCUAUGUUGACGGCUGAGGUGAUUUGGUUACGGUGGUUAUUUGAGGAUUUUGGAGUGCCUGCUACUACCUCGACUCCCUUACUGUCAGAACCGGUGCUAUCAGUAUUGCGCGUGACCCGGUGAAGCAUGAGCUCACCAAGCACAUCGGUGUGGAUGCCCACUUUGUGCGUGCUGCUGUGCAUGAUCAGACUCUUGCUCUUCACUAUGUUCCCUCUGAGUUAUAGUUGGCGGACUUCUUCACGAAGGCACAGACUCGAGUGCGGCAUGGUUUUCUUCUCUCCAAACUCAGUGUUGUUGAUCCACCAUGAGUUUGAGGGGGGUGUUAGAUGUGUAUAGUCCCUUUUUGGUUCUUCCCCAUUGUAUAAGGGGUUUCCUGCACUUCACCACACAUGUAUAUGUAAUGGCAUUUGGCCUUCAGUGAAUAUUAAUUGUUGUUUAUCCAACAACAUUCACGCCAAUCAUAAAACAGUGUUUGUUAGUAGUGGAGUGGUAGGCGGACGCAAAUCAAACCAUCAUUUUUCUUCUAAUUACACUUGUAAAAGCAUCGAUGCAUCUCCGUCGCUUAAUUUUAUUUGUCAUUCUGUUCAGUACCUGGUUUGGUUCAGGAAGAGCUCUUUUUCCUAUGCAAAAUGUAUAACGUAUAUGCUCCUAAUUCUGAUUGCAGACAUAUUCAUCGCGCUAGUGUUUUGACAUGACGCGGGGAACCAAGAGCCGUUCAACAGCGCGUUUCUGGGAUACGCCACCGGUCUGGCACUAAAGGUAGCGGUGAUGAUCUGGUUUCAAGCCGCGCUGCUAAUAUAUCAUGGCAUCUUGCAGCCUGCUCUGUUGCACAUCGUUCCUGGCGCAUGACUGGUUUGGUCGCCGUUCACUCUCCGUGGAAUGGAGAGGUGAAAGCGGGCAAGUAAGCCUGUCUACUUUGUCCCUUUUGUGUAGUGCUGGGAUCAGAGAAAAUAACUGGCAAUCUGGAUCAGCCUGGUUUUGAGACGCGACUUGUUUGCCACUGACUGUUUUGCGUUGGCAGUUACUGCAGUUGGAGUGGGAAGCUGGAGAGGAGGAAGAAGACGAAGGUCCCAACCGGCAGAGCAAAAAGGUGAACCAGCCCUCGCCUUUUUAAUUACUAGGAGAAAGAAACAUUGAGGCAGUAAUUUCUUCAGGCAAGAUCGAUUGGCAGCUAAUUAAGUAGGCUGGAUGGCAUUGAGAAACCCAAAAACGAUUUACAUACACAUGGUAGAUCGUCUCUCUCUCUCCUUCCACCCCUUCCUUUCAUGGCCAUCGUAGACUGCACCAUGUGGCAUUCAAACUUUUCUCAAGGGGAGAGUUUCCUCACACACACACACAUGCACAUACGCAAGCACACGCACACACGUGUAGUACAAACUUAGAAUUUUUGGAAAUAAUGGGAGGCCGAGCAACGGCCAUGUGAAAAUAUGAGGUAUAUAGCUUGUGGAUUUCCAUUCAGUGUACAAGGCCUGCAUGAGGAAUGGAUAAAGAAAUAUAUCUUUGAUUCCCUUAGUUAAAUCUUAUCCUUCAUCGUCAAUUAUGACUAAGCAUACAUAGUAAUCGCUAGUUUCUCUUAUAUGCUUCCGAGAAGAUAAGACUGGAUAUUUUAGUUGCUAUUAAUUAUUUCCCUUCUUUCGCUAAAUAGUAGUCAAACAUGUUAUUAAUGUAUUUUGUAAGGAUAAGGUCGAGCAUCAUGGCCACUAUGUUCUAUAUAUACUGAAUUUGGUGUUCAGUAUGACAUAACAAACACAUAUUGUGAGAAGGAGUAGUGUACAUUGUUCUCUAGUGCACUUUGUUCAGCAAGUUGGGUGAAAAUGUUGAAUAAACCAUCAAGUUUUCAUACAUUUUUUCAUGGCACAGGUUUGCCUUCUCAUGAUGAUGGCUGCACCGUUUGCACAAGCUGCUGGGAGGCCUGUGGCAUCCUUACCAUGGGUAGCGGGGUGUUGCCUGAGGAACUAUUUGUGUUGUGGUGUUGGUGCUGUUGCCCCGACAUCCCAUGCAUCGCAGGCCACCUCUGUACCUUGAAUUAUGGUUUCGCCUGAUCUCCUCUCAUAACAUAGUUGAUAUAACAUAGUAGCAUCACAAAGGUUGCAUGGUUUCAUUGAUUCAUCUCUUUUCUACUCCGUGAAACUUGUGAUGCCACUUUUGAACAAUGUCAUUGCUAUGUCUUCUUAUAACUAAUAAAAUGGGAGGAUAUUUUCAUAUUAUUUGAAUUGUGUUGUAACAUUACCUACUAAUGUGGAUGAUCUGAGUGGACUACAUAGAUCGGAUCUUCUAAAGAUAUAAUCUAGGACUUUGCGAGAUGAUGAAAUUGUCCUUUAUCUUGGUCGACACCUUUUCGUAGAAGUGUUGGUCGGCCGUCUGUGUCUUUUUGCGGUGCAUGCCGUAGAGUCCUCCAUGUUUUGUAGUUGUACAAUAACCUUUGAGGCAACCGGGGGUGGUACGUCUGAGGAAGUCGGUGGCCCAGGAAUAUUCAUAAUGAGAUCUCGACCAUGGAUGCCAAGUAAUUUGCCCCGUGCUGAUGUCGUCGGGCGACCCGGUCACUUAUGUUUUGACUCAAGGAGUCGCUAUGUUCAUCGAGUCGCGAGACAGCGGGAGGAAGGAGACGAAGGUCCCAAACGUCAGACCAAAAAGGUGGACUAGGGCUCGCCCUAGUUGUGCUCUCGGGUAUUUUCAGUUACUAGUAGGAGUAAGAAGCAUUGCAAAUUGCUCCCUCUGUUCAAUCCGUAUAUAUGUAGUCCGUAUUCAUAUAUUCAAAAUAUUUUAUAUUUGUGAACGAAGGGAGUAAUUAAUAGUAAUGCAACAAUUUCAGGGGAGGCCAGUCAACAGCUAACUAAAUGUGCUGGAUGAGACUGGAGACAUGUAUAAACGAUUUACACAUGAUAGAACUACUCUUUUCUUGUCAAGGAAUGGAAGAAUGGAUGAUUUUAUCCGUUCGGAACAAAACCCAAUAUUCAUCCAGUUAGACGUUGUUCUGAAUUCUGAAGCUUUUGAAAGUUUUCUCGCAGAAAUAUGUGUGUGUAUUCCAGUUGUAUCAUUAGCAAACCAAGGUUGUAUAUAUUAUAGCACAAAGAAUGUUUGGUUGAUUCGUUCAGGCGAAUCAGGUUUGUGGCUGACUGCCAAAGUCAGGCCAACUCCAGCGCACGACCCCAAACAGACAUCUGUUUUGUCUGGAUUCUGCCCGUUUGGAUAUAGCAAUGGGGUCGUGUCCAGGCCUGUCCUGUGAUGCGGUCGCCGUGCGCACAACGCGCGGACGCAUCCUUUGGCCUCAUCAUGUCCGCCACGGCCAAAAAUGCCCAUAUAUUCAUAUUUCAAUAUUCAAAACUAGUUUGCACGUCCAAAUAUUAAUUGUCUGAAAAUAAAAAUAGUUUUACAACCCAAUCAAAAUUGUCUCUAAUAAAAUAGUUUUACAACCAAAUCGAAAUUGUCUUGAAUGAACAUAAUGAAACCAAUACAUCUAUUGGUUGCCAAUGUGAUUCCACAUGUGCUCAACCAAGUCAUUUUGAAGAUCCAAAUGAGUGUGCCAAUCAUGCAUUUCACGAUGACAUUGGGCAAACUGCUCAAACGUGGCCGGUUCUUGGUGCAGGGGCUGAACAUUUUCACCUUGAAAAUCAAAUCCUUGGUCGAAGAUGCUGUUAUCACGCUCGUCCUCGACGAUUAUGUUGUGCAUGAUCACACAAGCAGUCAUCACCUCCCGAAGCUUCCCUUCAUCCCAUGUCAAUGCAGGGUUUCGAACGAUACCCCAUCGGGAUUGAAGCAAACCAAAAGCACGUUCCACAUCCUUUCUAGCACUCUCUUGCAUUUGGGUAAAUCUCUUUCUCUUCUCACCUUGGGGGUUCGAGAUUGUCUUCACAAAAAGUUGACCACUGAGGAUAUAUACCAUCAGCUAGGUAGUAUCCCUUGUUGUACUGGUGGCCGUUGAUCUCAAAGUUGCCAGGUGGGGAGUGGCCUUCUGCAAGCCUUGCGAAGACUGGAGAACGCGGCAGCACGUUGAUAUCAUUGUGAGAACCUGCCAUGUCGAAGAAAGAAUGCCACAUCCAAAGAUCUUGCGAAGCCACCGCUUCUAAUAUGAUAGUGCAUGCUUUAACAUGCCCCUUGUACUGGCCCUGCCAAGAAAAUGGACAGUUCUUCCACUCCCAGUGCAUACAAUCUAUGCUACCAAGCAUGCCUGGAAAGCCUCUAGCCGCGUUGGUCGCCAACAAGCUUUCUAUAUCAGUGGCAUUUGGCUGCUGAGGGAGUCCUGGAUUAAGGGGUCCUCGGGCGUUUGGGCUGCGUAACAUGGGCCGGACUAAUGGGCCGUGAAGNNNNNNNNNNNNNNNNNNNNNNNNNNNNNNNNNNNNNNNNNNNNNNNNNNNNNNNNNNNNNNNNNNNNNNNNNNNNNNNNNNNNNNNNNNNNNNNNNNNNNNNNNNNNNNNNNNNNNNNNNNNNNNNNNNNNNNNNNNNNNNNNNNNNNNNNNNNNNNNNNNNNNNNNNNNNNNNNNNNNNNNNNNNNNNNNNNNNNNNNNNNNNNNNNNNNNNNNNNNNNNNNNNNNNNNNNNNNNNNNNNNNNNNNNNNNNNNNNNNNNNNNNNNNNNNNNNNNNNNNNNNNNNNNNNNNNNNNNNNNNNGAUUCCUUUCCCUGUAAACCGACUCUGUACAACCCUAGCCUUCUCCGAUGUCUAUAUAAACCGGAGGGUUUAGUCCGUAGAGGCAAGGAUAAUCAUACAGGCUAGACAUAUAGGGUUUAGCCAUUACGAUCUCGAGGUAGAUCAACUCUUGUAAUCCCUAUACUCAUCAAAGUCAAUCAAGCAGGAAGUAGGGUAUUACCUCCAUUAAGAGGGCCCGAACCUGGGUAAACAUCGUGUCCCCUGCCUCCUAUUACCCUCUAUCCUUAGACGCACAGUUCGGGCCCCCCUAUCCGAGAUCCGCCGGUUUUGACACCGACAGCUGCCUCAAGUACUCAGGGCCAAACACUGCCACCACAGCCUUGUAGAACUUGUAAAGUGACAACAGACAUGCCGACUCACUCAUGCGCACGUACUCAUCCACCAGAUCGCCUGGAAUUCCAUAUGCAAGCAUGCCGAUGGCCGCGGUGCACUUCUGGUAAGAGGAGAAUCCAAGCUUGCCAAGGGCAUCCGUCUUGCACUCGAAGUAUGGGUCAUGAGCAACCACUCCCUCUCGGAUACGAUUGAACAGAUGUCUUGCCAUACGAAAACGGCGACGGAAUUUAUCCGGCUUGAAGAGCGAGGUAUUCGCAAAGUAAUCGGCAUAGAGCAAGGCGUGGCCUCUCUCUCUAUUGCGUUUCAGGUUGGGAGCACGGCCAGGGACUGACCCCAUGUACCGAGGAAGCUGCCCAAUGUGAUCGUGAACGACCAGUGCAACCACCACCAGAUCUUCGUCAUCCGAGGACGAAUCAUCCAAUGAAUAAAUGAAGUGGUGGAAGAAAAAUUCAUCUCCACUGUCCAUACAUUUGUGGGCAAAGUGUUCAACACCUUGCGGUCGUGGUGGCAAAGAGGCCGCGAUGAUCAUCUCGAUGCAGCAGGGGUGGUUGGCGGCCGGCUACUGGCCGCUCUAGAGCACCCGGCGGAAGCUGCCGUGGUCCAUAUCCGUCGCCGGUGGUCGUAUCCCCUCUAGCACCGGCUACAAUGGCGACGGCCAAAUCUCCUCCAAGCGAUGGCCAGAACUCCUACGAAAGCGCGGGCGUUGUGGCGGCCAUGUCGAGACGUGGUUUGGUAUGGAUGGGCAGGGGGAGGGAGCAGUGAGGAGGCGGUCGGAGAAUACUGGCGGCGCCGGUGGCGGGAUGCGGCGGAGGAGAGCGGGUGAAGGCGUUGGAGGCAAAUGGAGUGCUAGUGUCCCCGACAGGCGGGCCACGGGGAGGACAAGGGCGUGUGUCCAGCCCGUCCGCGUGAUGUCCAUUUCACCCCAAACUCGGCACAAGUUUGGGCCGGGAAUGGGUAAAAAACGGACGAAAUCCGGACAUUUGUCUAUUUGAAGCCGCGCCUUGAGUCAUGCUAUUCGUCUGUUCUACCCUAAACGGACGCACCAGAACGGAAUGGGGUCGCGUGCUGGAGUUGGCCUCACGGCCGUUUCUGCCUUUGGCGCAGACAAGAGAUUCUACACUGUAAAGGAAAAAGCUGAAAGCUCUCUUGUCUCGUGUGUUUCUCUUCUCUUGCACCUUGUCGGAAAACAGUGUGCACCAGGGACGCUCGAUUCCAUGGCAGGCAUCAGUUCAAUCGAUCAUGCUACAGGGAACCGGCACUAUCUUCUUUUUCUUUUUCUUUUUCUUUUAGGUCGUGAACGCAAGUCAUUUGAGAUAUUCACGUAGGACUUACAUAAUUGGUACGUUGUGACAAAACUGGACGCACACGAUGAAAUAUAUAAAUAUUCCUAUGGUAGAUUUAUCAGCAUCAGUGUGGAGCUAAAGUGUUUGAUGUUUUGUAUGAAUGGUUUGGUCUGAACAAUAAAGCCGACCACUCAGGACCUACUUUUGGGCUUUUUUUUUUGUAUUAUUCUAUACUAGCAAAAGGGCCCGUGCGCGGAGAAAAAAAUUAUAAUCUUGAAUGACCAUGAUCACAUUUUUUUUCAUCACCGAGAUACACUAUCACUUUCAACUUCGGGAAAUCAUCUACAUUUUUUAAACUUGUGCACAUUUUUCACAUUCAUGAACACUUUUACAAAUUUGCAAACAUAUUCUAAAAUCAAGAACAUAUUUUGAAUUCAUGAACAUUUUAUAGUAUUUACAAACAUUUUUAGAAAUUACGUUUUUUUAACAAUUUUCUUGAAUAGGCAAACAAUUCUAAAAUGGACGAACAUUGUUUUAGAAAUCGGUGGAAUAAUUUUUGAAAUUCCCGAACAUUUUCUUGAUUUUACAAACAUUUUUUGAAAUGCAUGAUCAUUUUUGUAUAAACUAUUUUGUAUGUCACGAACAGUUUUCCAAAUAUUUGGUUAUUUCCCCAUUCAUGAACAUUUUUUGAAUGGUGAUAUUUUCUUAAAUUUCAUUAACAUUUUUUGUACACGAAUUUUUAAAAAGUCAUGGACGUAUUUUGGUUUCAUGAACAUUUGUUUUCAAAAUUUCAAACAUUUUUCGAGCCAGAUUCUUUAAUAAAAUUGCAAAUAUUUUUUGAAUACAUAAACAUUUUAUGAUUUAUUAAAACUUUAUUUGGAAAUUAUUUUAAUUUUGAAAUAUUUUUUGUAUUCUGAAUUUAAUUAAAGUAGAAAAACGGAAAAAGAUAAAAAAGGAAAUGUUAAAAACAGGCUGCCCGGACAUGGGCCGGCCCAAAUGGGCGGGCCGCGCCUUAUCCCUUCGCGCAGAGCCCAGUAUGGCAGGUCGCUACUACAUGGGCCAGUCCAGACGGGGAUUCCCCUGUGUGAAACAUUUAUAUCACUUAUACGUGACAUUUGGAUCCCCUCUAGUUAGGGUUUUCUCUCCUCCCGGCGGCGCCUGGCACCGACGUGGAGACCGCGAUCCCCUGCGUCUCCUAGACCACUGAUCGCCGGCGGCUUCGGACGUCGGGCUCGUGUGCGCGCUGGGCGAUCUGUCUAGGGUUCUCCCGCCCGCGGAAACCGACUUCUCGGGCAAGAGAUCUGAUGGAAGGCUCAACGUCGGCGUCAGCCGCAGCGAUGAGCGACAUGGAAGCUAUGAUGAAGGAAUUGGGCCUGAAAGAAGAUGAUCUGGAGGAUGUUGUGGUUCAGGAUGGCGACAUACCAGAGGAAGCGGCGCGGUGGAUGGUGAUCCUGCGGGUGCACAUGGAUAAGCCGUACAGUCAGUAUUGGUUUUUUCGUAACAUGCGGGUUGCAUGGGAUCUAGCACAAGAAGUCAAGUUCCGCCCUCUAGAAGACAACCUCUAUACUCUGCAAUUCUCCUACCUGGGUGAUUGGGAGAGAGUCAUGGAGGACGGCCCCUGGACAUACAAAGGAAAAGCUGUCGUAAUCGAGCCCUAUGAUGGUUUCACCAGAUCAUCGUCUAUUGUUCUUAACAAGAUUGAGAUGUGGAUCCAGAUCCAUGAUCUCCCUGAACUGUUCUUCCAGUUGAUUAAAUCGCUAGCAUCUACUGUUGGUGACUUCAUAUUUGCUGAGCCCAAAUCCCAGGACUUUGAGGGGAACUUUUUUAGGGUUCGAGUGAAAGUGGAUGUCACAAAGCCGCUCAAGAACGCUGUAUCGCUGGUGAUCAAGAAGAGGAGAGAGAUAUUCAGGGUGAAAUAUGAGAGGCUUCCAGAUUGGUGUGCUGUCUGUGGUAUGCUAGGUCAUCAGUUCAAAGAGUGUGGCGAUGGGAUCCAUCCCCAAUCUGCGCUUGUGUUCAAAAAUCUGAAAGCUGACUGGUUCAGGAGCCCAGGCCGUGGACCAGGUGCUGCAAGAGGCUUUGAAGGUGGUCGAGGGAGAGGUAAUGGUCGUGCAGGUCAUGGAGGCCGGGGCUCGGGUUGAACACAACAAGAUAACUUUGACCAGGCUGUUGAUCUGGAUACAGACAUGGAAGAAGGAGACGGGAACCGCAAGAGAGGAGCUCAUGCAAACACACUCUUGCUUACUUCUUCAGGGACCAACCCAUCAUCUUCGAUGGAACCCCAAGCCCUCGCUACAGCCACCGUUCCACAGAGUCCCUCGUCGAAGCAAGACCUCAAAAGAACAAAGACCAACCCCCGUCAGUUGGAGAAGAACCCAGGGAAGAACAAGUCCUCAAACACCCAAAACAAUGCGCAAAUGGCGAGCCCUAUCAACUGGUCGCGCCUGGCGCAAUGAGUUGCCUAGUUUGGAACUGUCGCGGGGCUGGCAGACCUGCGACAGUUCGUGAGCUUCGAGAUCUAUCGAAGCUACUUGCCCCCUCUAUUGUAUGCAUUCUUGAAACCCAGAUAGAGGGCUCGCGUGUCGAGAAUCUGGUAGGAACUUUAGGUUAUAAUAAAAGCUUUGCUGUAAGCAGCUCCGGCAGGAGCAGUGGACUAGGCAUUUUUUGGAAUGAGGAAAUAAAACUCGAAGUUAUCGGUUAUUCUGAGUACCACAUAGAUGUUCUUGUUGAGCAGAUGGUAGAAACUAAAACCAGAAUCACCUUUGUGUAUGGUGAGGCCCAAACAAGUGCAAGGUACAAAACUUGGGACAUGUUGCGCGGAAUUGCUGGAACUAGCAACGACCCAUGGGUAGUGAUUGGAGACUUUAACGAAGUACUUCAUGCCCAUGAGCAUGAUGGAACCGGCCAACGAAGCCAGGCGCAGAUGGACGCCUUCUGAGAUGCUAUUGACAAAUGCGGCUUAUCAGAUAUUGGUUAUAAGGGGCAAAGCUGGACUUUUGAAAAGAAGGUGAUGGGCGGUACGUACACCAGGGUGCGCUUGGACCGGAGCGUGGCUAAUCCUGCAUGGGCUUUGGCCUUCCCAGAUGCAUCCCUUGAGCAUCUCACCGCAGCUACUUCUGAUCAUGUCCCGUUGUUGCUUCGGCUUCAAGCAAUGCAUGCAUGCAGAAGGGGACCACGGCCGUUUAAAUACGAGUUGUGUUGGGAGCGCGACCCAACACUGGAGACAAUGGUGCAUGCGGGGUGGAAUCAGCAUCCUGGGGAUUCGGUGGACCAGGUGAAGGCUAAACUCCAAACACUGUCGGGCGACCUGUCGACGUGGGAUCGGCAACAUUUUGGAAGCGUGUGCAGAGAGAUAGCCGAAUUAAAAAAAGGAACUACAGGUGUUGCGAGAAUUUCCAGGAAGAUCUGGCCCCUCUCGACGGGAGACAAAAAUCUGCGACCGCCUGGUUGAAUUGUUUCAUCGCGAGGAGAUCUUGUGGAGGCAGCGAGCUAGGAUUGAUUGGCUCAUGCAUGGCGACAAAAAUACUUAUUUCUUCCACAUGAGAGUGAGUAGGCGUCGACGGAAAAACCAAAUUAAAUCCUUGCAAUGAGCUGACGGGCAGGUAACGGAGAAUGAACUGGAGAUGGAAAACAUGACGAUCUCCUUUUACAAGGACUUGUACACGACAGAAGGGGUUGGUGAUAUGGCACAGGUGCUAGAAACAGUACCAUGCAAGGUUACGCAUGCAAUGAACGCCUCGUUGAAUGCCCCAUAUAGCCCGGAAGAAGUCAAGACUGCCCUUUUUCAAAUGUUUCCCACCAAGGCACCGGGACCAGAUGGCUUUCCCGCUCACUUCUUUCAGAGGCACUGGGAGACGUGCGGAGACGAAAUCACCAAAGUCGUUCUUAAAAUUGUUGAGGGCACAGAAUCUGCAGCAUGUAUCAAUGAGACAGUCUUGGUGCUAAUCCCUAAGGUAAAAAACCCAACCCUCUUGAGCCAGUUCCGACCCAUCAGCUUAUGUAAUGUUCUUUACAAAAUAGCGUCCAAAGUGAUCUCUAACAGGCUGAAGGUGAUACUACCUGACAUUAUAUCUGAGGAACAAUCUGCCUUUGUCCCUGGUAGACUUAUAACUGACAACAUCAUCACUGCCUACGAGUUCCUACACUUUAUGAAAAGAAAUAAAGCUAAAAAGCACCAGUCGUUUGCUCUGAAGCUAGACAUGAUGAAGGCUUAUGACAGGGUGGAGUGGCUAUACCUGAAAGCAAUCAUGGUGAAACUAGGGUUCACUGAGAGAUGGGUGGACAUAGUUAUGGGACUGGUUACCACUGUUAAGUUUUCUGUCAUGUUUAAUGGGAAAAGAUUGGAGGAAUUCGAACCUUCACGAGGAAUUAGACAAGGGGACUCAAUAUCUCCGUACUUGUUCUUAAUAGCAGCAGAGGCCCUGUCGUGCCUGUUAAAAUCAAAGAGUGAGUCAUCCAAUCUGGGUGGUGUGCAAUGGCUCCUACGGCGCCGCCAGUUAGCCAUCUAUUAUUCGCUGAUGACAGCCUACUGUUCUGUAAGGCAAAUUGUGCGGGAGCUAAUGAGGUGAACCUAGUACUGAAUACAUACUGCCAAGCAUCCGGUCAGCGAGUAGCAAGGGAGUGCCGGAAGCUACGAGGACAGAAAUAAAAGGUUUACUCAAUAUUCCCAAUGAAACUUUAAAUGAGAAGUAUCUAGGGAUGCCGUCAGAUAUUGGGAGUUCGAAGAACGGGGCCUUCAAAUACGUCAAGGAUCAUUUAUGGAGUAAGGUACAGGGCUGGGUGGAAAACACCAUGUCAUCCGCAGGCAAGGAGGUUUUGGUGAAAUCAGUUGCCCAGUCCAUACCUAUAUUCUCAAUGUCAUGCUUUAAACAUCCAAGGGGAUUAUGUGAACACCUUAAUAUGCUUAUUAGGAAGUUCUGGUGGGGGAGCAAAGAUGGCAAAAGGAAACCUCACUGGGUAUCUUGGAAAAGUAUGACACAGCCGAAGGGAAUGGGAGGACUAGGGUUCAAAGAUUUUGAACUCUUUAAUAUGGCGAUGCUGGCAAGACAGGCUUGGAGAUUAAUCCAAACACCAGAGUCCCACGCUUGUUGAAGAGCAUAUACUUCCCUGAUUCUACCGUCUUGGAGGCGACCUUGUGCAACCAUCCCAAUCAGAUAUGGCGAGCCAUCAUCGAAGGCAGAGAUACACUCAAACAAGGUCUCAUUCGUAGAAUUGCCAAUGGUCAAUCUACUCGUAUUUGGGAGGAUCCGUGGCUGCCAAGAGAUGAGAUGUUACGGCCAUAUGGGAGCAUUCACCCCAAUCCGCCAACCUUGGUUUCGGAACUGAUCGAUCACACUAGCGCUUCAUGGAACAGUCAGCUAAUCAACCAAGUGUUUAUGCCCAUGGAUGCUUGUACCAUUAUGGGGAUCCCGGUGUGCACUCGCAAUCUCCAUGACUUCUGGAGCUGGAUCUUUGAAACGAGUGGCAACUUCACGGUCAAAUCUGCUUACCGCAUGCUUGUAGCGACAAGACAGCGCCGGGAGGCAUGGCUUGAGGGCACUGCUGGAACAUCAAACAGCACGUCGAAGGAGGGGGCUUAGAAAACGUUGUGGAAGACCCAGGUUCCUGCAAUUCUAUGGCGUUUAUCAAAGCACUCUCUCCCAACGGAGGACGUCAGGGCUCAUCGGCAUAUGGCAGAUAACGCUACUUGCGGUUUAUGUGGCUCGGCUGAUUCGUGGAGACACUCUCUGGUUAACUGCACUAGCUCGAGAUGGUGUGUGGGCUUUAGUUGAUGAGGAGCUAGCACAAAACCUAGUCUCAACCACGGAACCCAACGCCAAGCAGUGGCUCUUCACCUUCAUGCACUCACUAUCACACGAUCAAUUUGUAUUGCUUGCGGUCACUCUCUGGGCGAUCUGGACAGCGCGGCGCAAGGCUAUUCAUGAAGGAAUAGUCCAAUCGCCUCAGGCAACUAACAACUUUCUCAGACGCUUCAUAGCUGAACUAAACAUGAUUAAAGUGGAAAGGCCUAUGAGGGGAGGAGCUCAAUCUAUGGGCCUGUCACGAGCUGCACGCCCCAAAGCUCCCCCGAUCGGCUACGCCAAGAUUCAUGUGGACGCGGGAGUAAGAGCAAGGAAAGGUGGAUCAGCAGCCGCUGUAUGCCGGGACAGGCAAGGCAAUUUCCUAGGCAGCUCCGCGUUGGUGAUCGCCGGUCUAGAGGACCCAGCCAUACUAGAGACUAUCACUUGUAGAGAGGCAUUGGCGCUGGCGGAAGACCUUAAUCUGCAUAAUUUUGUCGUUGCAUCUGAUUCCAAGCAAACAGUGGCUGACAUCUUAAGUGGAGGCAGAGGCAAGAGUGGUACUAUUAUCCAGGAGAUAAACACUAGAGCAACUCUAUUUCAUUGUAAUUUUUCUUUUGAAGGCCGUGCUGUUAAUGUCGAAGCACAUAGACUAGACAAAUAUUCGCUUAAUAUCGGUCCGGGGCGCCACCUCUGGUUAGGUCAGCCCCAUGACCCGAGUUGUAUCCCACCCAUUGUGGUCUUUGAUGAAUAAAAUUUGGCUUUCCCCUCAAAAAAAAAACUUAUACGUGACAUUUGUGGGUAAUUUGUACGACGUGCCAUAAGAAGAAAUAGCCCCUUUAUUAUUAUUAGCAAAAGUGUCCGUGCGUUGUAACGGGAGAAAUAAAAUCAAAAUCUCCAAUGACCAUGACCAUAUUUUGUUGCAUCACCAAGACACCCCUAUCACUCUCAAUUUCGUGUAAUCAUGAAUAAUUUUUGAAAUCACGAACAUGUUUUAAAAUUAUUACACAUAUUUGAAAUCGUGAACAUUUUUCAAAUUCAUGAACACUUAUACAAAUUUCCGAACAUUUCUAAAAUCAAGAACAUUUUUGGAAUUGAUGAACAUUUUAUACUAUUUGCAAACACUUUUUAAAGAUUCCGAACAUCUUUAUAAACAAUUUUCUUUAAUCGAGGAACAUUUUUAUGGAAAUUGAUGGAACAAUUUUCGAAAUUCACAAACAUUUUUUGAUUUAACUAACAGUUUUUGAAAUACAUGAUCAUUUUUUGAAUCAGUGGACAUUUUCUGAAUGACUAAACUAUGUUGUAAGUCACGAAAUAGUUUUUGAAUUUUAGGAUAUUUCUCCAUUCAUGAACACUUUUUGAAUUGGCUAUUUUUUUCAAUUUCAUUAACAAUUUUUGAUAGAAAAACUUUUUAAAAAAUCAUGAAUUUUAUUUGAUUUCCCAAAAAAUUGUUUUUAAAAUUUUGAACAUUUAUUGUGUAAGCAAUUGUUUUUUACAAAACAGCGACCAUAUUUUAAAUCCACUAACAUUUUAUGAUUUAUGAAAAUUUUAUGUCAAAAUACUCAUUUUUUUAAUUUUCGAAACUUUUUUGAAAUCCCAAACUAUUUAUUGUAGAAAAGAACGAAAACAGGAAAGAAAAAUGAAAAUAGAAAACAAAAUCAAAGAAACAGGCCAGCCUGAAAUGGGCCGGCCCAAACAUACGUGUAGCUUCUUCUCCCAGCGUGCAGAGAGCAUUAUAGGAGGUCCCAACUGCAGGGCCGGCCCAGAUGGGGGAAUUCCCCUGUGUGAAUUUUUUGUAUCACUUAUAUGUGGCAUUGAACUCAUGAAGCAUGCGCUAUCCCUUCCAGCUCGCCGCCAUGUAUGGCUCGGACAACCAGAUGGACUUUCUUUCGUCCAUGUAAACGUUAUGACGAUAUAAUAAAAAGCUUCGGAAUUUGUCUAAAAAGACUUAUAAGUGGCAUUGGUGGGUAAUAUUUUGCAACUUUAGAGGUAAUUCCAUGACGUACCACCAGAAGCACAAUAGCCCCUUUACUAUUAUUAGGUACUCUUUUUUCCUUGUGGAGCUUUGGAAAUGAGAGAAUUUGAAUAUAGUAACUCUCGGAAACUCUUAUUGGAUGAGAGAGAUUUAAUAUGAUAUUGGCAUGGGUUCUACCAACUAACGAAGAAGUAUUUGACUGGAUAAACAGACAAUUUCCUUUAAUGGACGAACAUUUUUAUGAAAAUUGGUGGAAUAACUUGGGAAAUUCAUAAAUAUUUUUUUAGUUAACGAACAUUUUUUUAACUUAACGAACAUUUUUUGAAAUACAUGACCAUUUUUUUGAAUCUGUGAACGUUGUAUGAAUGAAUAAACUAGUUUGUAAGUCAUGAGCAGUUUUUCAAUUUUUAGGAUAUUUUUCCCUUCAUGAACAUUUUUUCAAUUGGUGAAAUUUUGUUCAAUUUCGUUAACAAUUUUUAGUGCACAAACCUUUUUAAAAAAUCAUGAACAUGAUUAUUUACCAAAGAAGCAAAUUGUUUUUUACAAAAUCGUGGACAUUUUUUUAACCCAGAAACAUUUUAUGAUUUAUGAAACAUUUUUUUCAAUACACAAUAUUUUUAAUUUUCGAAUUUUUGUGAAAUCCUAAAUUAUUUAAAGUAGAAAAAUCAAAAACAGAAAAGAGAAAGGAAUAAUAGAAAACAAAGUUAAAGAAUAGGCCGACCGAACAUGGGCCGGCCCAAACGGGCGCACUGUAUCUUCUGCCAGCGCCUAGAGCGCAGUAUAGGAGGUCCCUACUGCAUGGGCCNNNNNNNNNNNNNNNNNNNNNNNNNNNNNNNNNNNNNNNNNNNNNNNNNNNNNNNNNNNNNNNNNNAAGAAAAUAAUGCCUAUGCAUAUGCUUUUAUAUUAUUAUUAUUGUUUCAAAUUUAUUCAUAUAUUAUUUUCAAUUGUACAACCAUAAUUUUUCUUAUCUCUCUCGUUCCACUACAUGCUCCUAGUCAAAGAUUUUUUUAAUAAUGGGUGUUUUUAUUAACUCAAAAUAUAGCAUCAAGCGGAUACAAAACAUAAUGAGCCACACCCGGUCUAUGCAUAACUAAGAUGCACACAGCCAAAAGCAGAAGUCUGACAAAAAUAAGAUAAGAAAAUCGACAUAUCGACAACAGUGAGUCAUAUAGUACCGACACUAUGCCUCUGUCGAAGGAGGUGGUGGAGCGAUCUGGAGAUUAUGCUGCCAUCCAUGUUGAGUAAAUAUCUCCCUGGCCACUUGCUCCAACCGCAUAGACGCCGCCAUGAACAACGGUUGGUACUCCAUUCGGUGUAGCAUACACCAUACUAGAGGCUGGGGCGCCACCUGAGGCGGGCCUAUGCACACUUAUUUUGUCUGGGCAGUUCGGUUGUCAUGUUUGGUCAUCAGUAUCACUUAUGUACAUCAAUAUGGGCGUAUGUUGUAUUGUUUGAGUUCAUUAGGAUCUAUCAGUAUCACAUCAAUCAAACUACAUAUACUAUGUUAUUUGAGUUCAGAACCAUCAUAGGCAAUGAUACGUCUAACAAGGAUAUAUAACAUUUAAUUCAAAAGGAAAGACAAAGUAGAAUUAAGUGCUUCAGAUUGGCCGAAGAAAGGAACCUCAUGAUGCCAUGACUAAGGAACCAAAUAUAAAAGAGCACCUUUCAGAGUACUCCAGAGGUAUGACAUCAUCCAUUUCCACAUCAGAAUCAUCGGAAUUCUCCUGAUCCUCAUUUCGAUGUACCCAACACAAAUGCUACAUGGAUUUUAGUCAGCUGCAAUCCCCACUACUUCUACACUUCCCCUUUUUCACACCGAGGAGCAGAGACUGAUGCAAGUUGAUCGAACACAGAACAACAUAUAAUUGCCUAGAGAUGCGCUGGGCCUGAACAACAACAACAACAACAACCGUUGAGCCAGGUCUCCUUCCAGCAGCCUCAGCAACAAUAUCCAUCAGGCCAGGGCUCCUUCCAGCCAUCUCAGCAAAACCCACAGGCCCAGGGCUCUUUCCAGCCUCAACAACUGCCCCAGUUUGAGGAAAUAAGGAACCUAGCGCUACAGACGCUACUUGCAAUGUGCGAUGUCUAUAUCCCUCCAUAUUGCACCAUUGCUCCAUUUGGCAUCUUUGGUACUAACUGAGAAGAGAAGAACUCUAGUAGUAGAUAUAUGAUACACCGUUUUCUUAGUCCAUGGUUUGGUCGUUGUAGCGGUGAAAAAAUAAAGUGACAUGCACUAUCAUGUAAGAACCCGAACUAUACUAGUUCAAACUUGGGAAUAAAAGACAAACACAGGUCUUGUCUACAUAUGAUUGUUUGUUUGAGUUCCACUCAUGUGCCCAUUCACAAGUUCACCCCUAAUUAUAUAUAUUAUGCAUUAAGUAGAUAUUUAUGUUGCAUUAAUCUAAAGAUAACAAAAUGAGUCUGAAAUUUGAAUUAAAUUGAAGUAUUUCCUUGGACUUUCAAAUGGAGUAUUAUUAAAGUAGUAAGGACUAUCCUCAUCCUUGGCUUGCCCUUGAUCAAUUAUUUCCAGAGAAGCAUUCAAUUCGUCAAUCAAUUACAUUGAUUUUUGCAGCCGGUACUUCUCCUCAACAUGAGUAUAUUCAUCGCGGCUACUCCAAAUCGGCAUGAAUGAGGUACCGGUGCUCUGGAGCACUAGUACCUAACAGCUUCUCAUGUGAAGGGGUGCGGGCACGGGAGAGGUGUUUUUGGUGGGCCAGGGGAGUAAGAAGCGGCCGUGGCAGCGGUGCAGACACCCACAAAGCCCCGUAGUUUGUUUUUCGUUUACAGGAAAAUGCACAUCCAGACCGGCCUGCGGGCCGAUAUAGGACCGUAUUGGAUGGCAAAACAUGUCCGGAUGGUUGCGAGCGGUUUGAGGGUUAGCUUUUGUAACGCCCGGUUAGUUAUGCUAUUGUAAUUCCCUGCUAAUGAUGUCACGUAACCACGAUUACUAUUGUUAACCUCACAAUGAUUCAAUCCCAUUCAAAUUCAAAUUUAAAAUAAAGGCAAACAUCAAAAUUUCCAAACAUUAAAACUUAAAUCUUCGAGAGGUGGAAAAUAAUGCAUAAGUAAUUAUGGUGGAGAAACCACACUUUUAUAAAAUGUUUAAAUACUGUAAAAGAAUAAACAGUGGCUUAAACUAUUAUUUAAAUCCUUUUAAAAUAGUAAAAAUGUUCUAACUAAAUUAAUUGGGUACCAAACUUUUGGUGGCAGUGGUAUAUUUAGUAGAACUAAUUUAGAUGCUAAUUAUAUAAUUUACAAAAUUAAAGUAAAUUGAAAAAUAGGAUAAAACAUAAAAGGAAAGACAAAAUAAAUAAAAGCAAAAGGGGGCAACCCCUCGCUGGGCCUCGGCCUAACUGGCCACUGGGCUAGCUAGGCCGGCCCAGCCGCCUCCCUUAACCCCCCACUCCCCAUCGAACCCUGGCCCGAUCGCCCCACUUCCCCCACACCCCGUCGUCAGCCUCCCCACCUGUCGAUCCCAUCUGGAUCGGGGAGGGGAUCGCCCCCAUCAACCCCGUCGCCGUCUCCGGAUCGCCCGCUCGCCCAUCGCCCGCCGGAGUCGCCGGGCCUCCUCCCUGCCGCCCGUCUCCGGCUCGCCUCCUCUCUCGCUCCUCUUCCCUGACCCAAUCUGGAUCGGGAAGGGGCAAUGCGCCCGACGCCCCCCUUCACCGACGCCGUGCGCCAACACCGCCGCCCGAAGACCUCGCCGUCACCGGACCUCGCGUCGCCUCCUCGUAUCCCUCCCCGCCUCGCCUCAAGCCAUGACGACCCCCUUCUCGGCAACGCUGUGAGCCGCCCCCGUUUCCCUCCUCCUCUUUCCACCGCGUUCACAGCGUCGCCCGCCGUGCCCCUCGCCGCGCGCUCGCCCACCACCGCGCCAGCCCCGGUCCGCGCCCUCUCCUGCAUGCUUGCGUGCGCAUGACCCUAGCCGCGCCUGCGCCGUGAUCCCCUUAUCCNNNNNNNNNNNNNNNNNNNNNNNNNNNNNNNNNNNNNNNNNNNNNNNNNNNNNNNNNNNNNNNNNNNNNNNNNNNNNNNNNNNNNNNNNNNNNNNNNNNNNNNNNNNNNNNNNNNNNNNNNNNNNNNNNNNNNNNNNNNNNNNNNNNNNNNNNNNNNNNNNNNNNNNNNNNNNNNNNNNNNNNNNNNNNNNNNNNNNNNNNNNNNNNNNNNNNNNNNNNNNNNNNNNNNNNNNNNNNNNNNNNNNNNNNNNNNNNNNNNNNNNNNNNNNNNNNNNNNNNNNNNNNNNNNNNNNNNNNNNNNNNNNNNNNNNNNNNNNNNNNNNNNNNNNNNNNNNNNNNNNNNNNNNNNNNNNNNNNNNNNNNNNNNNNNNNNNNNNNNNNNNNNNNNNNNNNNNNNNNNNNNNNNNNNNNNNNNNNNNNNNNNNNNNNNNNNNNNNNNNNNNNNNNNNNNNNACCAAGACCCACAUCCCCUAAUUAACCAUUUAAUAAAUUUAAACUCUUAAAUUAACAUUAGUGUAUGACAUGUGGGUCCCCUAUUAAUUAAACUAAUUUAAUUAAAAUCUAUUAACUUCAAGUCUAUGACAUAUGGGCCCCACUGAACAUUUGACCAGUCAACGGUCCAGUCAAAUGUUGACCGGAUAGUUGACCAGAGGGCCCCACCAGUCAGCCUCUGUGCUGUUCUCCUGGGUACCUUUCUGAGUACACCUAGCAUUUUGCAUUUACAAUAUUUGUUUUAAAAUAAAUUAGAAUAAUUUCAAAAAAAUGAUUGAAACUUUUAAAAUUAAAAAAAAUUAUCCGUAACUCGGAUGAAAUUACUUUAUACAUGGAAGUUGCUCAAAAAAUGAGACGAAUCCUAAUACACAGUCCGUUCUUCUGCCACACGUCCCUAGCAUAGCGAACAUGCAACCACCCCCCUCCGGUUCGACUGUCCGAAAAUGUCAAACACCGGGAAUACUUUUCCGGAUGUUUCCCCUUCACUAGUAGCACCUAGUACCGCGUGAGGCAUACCUAGCACCACUUAUUGUAAUGUCAUGCAUCGUCAUGCAUCUGUUUGCAUUGUAUUCAUUGUUUCUUGCUCCUCUUCUCUCCGGUAGACUACGAGACUGACGCCGGUGCUGCCCCGGUCGAUUACGGUGUCCAUGACCCCUCCUUGUCAGCAGAGCUUCCAGGCAAGCAAACCCCCUUGAUCAUCCCGAUAUCGCCUACUCUUUCCUCUACUGCUUGCAUUAGAGUAUUGUUACUGUUUGUCGGUUUGAUCCUAUACUGCUGCAUGGCCUGUCUUUGAUACUACUUAUGUGUUAUUUGUUAGUACGCUUGGAGAAAAUGCCUUUGAUUAGGGCAUCUUCAACAGCGACCAGUAAAUUUCCUCCCGCGUUCGUCCACGAAUAGGGGAUCAGUCCGCGGACACGGAUACAGGAAUUGGCCAUCCAACAAUGUCCGCAUAUAUUUAAAACACUUAAAAAAUAGGAUGAAAUUCAUGCAAACACAGUGGAUUUCAUACAAACCGGACAAAAAUGUUUACAUUUUGGACAUUUUUUUUUUACUAAAAACUCUACAGCCGGUGCCGGCGAAUAUCCACUCCGGCAACAUGGAUACCCUUGACUAGUCUACUGCCGGCCGCAGCAGAUCUCCAAUGUCGUCCCCAUGUUCGGCAGCUGUGAGCCCUAGAGGUAUAUGCUUCAGCGCAAAGAGCGGCUCGCCUCCUACCGCUCAUCGGAGUGGAACAACCAGUUGAUGCUUCUGCCGAUGGGGAAGGGUCCCUACGCUACACGAAUUAGAGUUGGUUUUGGGUUGGGGGAACGGCGGUGGCCUGUCAGAGGGCAAGACACCGACUGUGUACGCUGGUGUCACCUGGUGUGGCAUUCAUGGGACCCAAGCGGCAGCGCCUCCUCAAUGAUGGCAGCGAGCGCGGACGUGUUGGACACCACCUCGUCGAUGUCCGUGCAGCCCGCUUCUUUCUCUGUAGGAAGGACGCGGUUACGCUCGCGUUGACAUCGGAUGACUCGGUCACAUGCACGAGAGGGGCGGUACAACAUGGCACCGUCAAUGGCAGCCAUGAUGCCCGCGCCACCGUGGUCCCUCCCAGUGCCGACCUGGAGCAACUUGCCACUCCUCGGCUCGUGACCGGCGGGCUUUACGGGCCACCUAGCCAUUUUUUAUGCCAGCCAACUCUUCUUCCUGCUCGUCAGAUGUCAUGGAGAAAACUGUUCAAGGAGGAAAAUGAUGAGUGGACGUGUGAUGCGCUUCUUGCCCAACAUCUGACAUUGUUUAAAUAGCGAGGGGACACGAGAGGAGCCAACCGGCGUUCUGUUCAAUGCCAACUGGCUCGCGAACGAACAUGUGGCCGGAGUAAUUAUCCUGGCACACACGCGGGUUUAAUGGUGGAAGGCGGGCAGUCUGCAGGAAUGAGGUGAGGAUGCGUGUUUAGCCGGCGUGCAGCGGGCAGCGCCCUCGGCCGGCGUGCUGCUUCCAUUGCGGAGGUAGUGAGAGGUCGCGUCCGCUCUGCAGCGCAUGAAUGCGGGCAGCUGGCGCAGAGCGGGAACGCGUGCAUGGUUUGGGUGGGCACGGGUGGUGAGAAGAGGUCAUGGGUGUUGUCCGAACGCCUGGAAAGCCCCCCCUCCAUGUUUGUCUCCGGUUUACGGGAGAAAGUACGUCCGGACCGUUUGAUGGACCAAUACAGGCCCGCAUUGGAUGGCACAACACGUCCGGACCAUGUGGUCCGGAUGGUUGUGGACGGUUUAAUUGAGGGUCGACGUUGGAGAUGCCUUAGAGUUUAUGAAUCCAUUGUGUUUUUUAAUCAUAAAAAGCACUUAUAACAAGUUAUAAGGAAAGACACGUUUAUAUGUUAGGUUCGGACUCCAGCUUUCCUCUUACAUAUGCUUUAUUGUGAUCCGACUGAUUCCAAUAGAGUGAGCCUAGCGUUGUUUUUCUGGAAACUUGCGGGAUAAGGAGACAUGCAUACACAUUCAUUCAAGCAAAUCACAUCCAUUCUUUUUAACUCAUUUUUCUUCUUUUAAUAAUAUAAUAGAUCAUUUAUAUUUUUAUCUCAAACAGUUGACGUGUAAUUUAUACUGUAAUCUGAGGAUAAUGUUUGGAUUUACUUUCAAAUAUAUUUGAAAUGGCCAUGAUGGAAUCACAUCCAUUUAUUUUAUUAUUAUUUGAAUUUGAUCCAAAAGAUAAAUAAUGAGUAGAGGUCAUGUCAACUUUUCUGAGAACUUUGCUAAUCAAAAUAUAAUUUGUAUUUAAAAACAUCUUUUUAGCACGCAUGAAAAACAUAACGCCUAUCUUUUCACACAUGAUGAACGGUUGUCAUAAGAACUCAUGGCAUGCCACAAGCUCCCUCCGACCCUGCCAACAUUGUUACAGCUGCACUCGCAAGCUUUAUCGUAGAUGAUCAUUUAUACGAUUUGCGUAAAUCAAAAUAAGAUCUACAAACGAAUAGAAGCUAGAACGUACCUUGGCAUGCACACACAUUGCAAGCCAUACUAAGCUGAUAAGUGUUAAUAACUUCUACAACAUAUACAACACUUAAGACAAGUAAAAGCAAUUUGAUGAGUCAUGGUCUAUCAAAGGCACAUUACUAGUCUAAUCCAUCUUAACAGGUCACACAUGAUUAAAACCUUGUUUGUGUGCAAGUCAAGCUUAUCUAGUUUACAUGUAACAACUUGUAGAACAUUACAAAAUUUAUGUUUGCUAAUAACCUCUAGAACACUACAACACUUGACAUGUAAAAGGAAUUUGAUGAGUCAUGGCCUACUAAAGCAAGUUAUAUUACUAGUCUUAUCUACCUUAACAGGCCACACAAGAUUACAAACUAAGUUCUGUGCUAGCCAUGCUUAUCUAGUUUAUGCGUAACAAUUUGCAGAAAAUUACAAACUUAGUUUCAGAAAAAUAGGCAAUCUAGAUUAGUGUUUGAGCUGUAAAGUGAAUAAGAUGAGUCAUGUGUGUUAUCACACCUUUUUGGUUGUGGAAUAAUAGUGCAACAACAAGGAACUUUAAUGACCAGUCCAAGAAUACACUUGUAAGUAGUGCCACCGAACACAACAUGCCAAAUUUUGAUUUUGAGAAGCAUCCAAACACUUCCACACAAGCAAAUGCCAAUUGUGAAAGAGAUCAUGCCAUGGCAGCUAUAAAUAGGCCCGUAGCAUGACGAUCAUCCUUCCUCAUCCAUCAUUCUCAUAAGUAGAGCGCAUCAUUUAAGCCAAGCAAGCAGUGCUCAAUACAAAUCCACCAUGAAGACCUUUCUCAUCCUUGCCCUCCUUGCUAUUGUGGCGACCACCGCCACAACUGCAGUUAGAGUUCCAGUGCCACAAUUGCAGCUACAAAAUCCAUCUCAGCAACAGCCACAAGAGCAAGUUCCAUUGGUACAAGAACAACAAUUUCCAGGGCAGCAACAACCAUUUCCACCACAACAGCCAUAUCCGCAGCCGCAACCAUUUCCAUCACAACAACCAUAUCUGCAGCUGCAACCAUUUCCACAGCCGCAACUACCAUAUCCGCAGCCGCAACCAUUUCGACCACAACAACCAUAUCCACAGCCGCAACCACAGUAUUCGCAACCACAACAACCAAUUUCGCAGCAGCAGCAGCAGCAGCAGCAACAACAACAACAACAACAACAAAUCCUACAACAAAUUUUGCAACAACAACUGAUUCCAUGCAGGGAUGUUGUAUUGCAACAACACAACAUAGCGCAUGGAAGCUCACAAGUUUUGCAAGAAAGUACUUACCAGCUGGUGCAACAAUUGUGUUGUCAGCAGCUGUGGCAGAUCCCCGAGCAGUCGCGGUGCCAAGCCAUCCACAAUGUUGUUCAUGCUAUUAUUCUGCAUCAACAACACCACCACCACCAACAACAACAACAACAACAACAACAACAACCGUUGAGCCAAGUCUCCUUCCAACAGCCUCAGCAACAAUAUCCAUCAGGCCAGGGCUUCUUCCAACCAUCUCAGCAAAACCCACAGGCCCAGGGCUCUUUCCAGCCUCAACAACUGCCCCAGUUUGAGGCAAUAAGGAACCUAGCGCUACAGACGCUACCUGCAAUGUGCAAUGUGUAUAUCCCUCCAUAUUGCACCAUUGCUCCAUUUGGCAUCUUCGGUACUAACUGAGAAGAGAAGAACUCUAGUAGUAGAUAUAUGAUACACCGUUUUCUUAGUCCAUGGUUUGGUCGUUGUAGCGGUGAAAAAAUAAAGUGACAUGCACUAUCAUGUAAGAACCUGAACUAUACUAGUUCAAACUUGGGAAUAAAAGACAAACACAGGUCUUGUCUACAUAUGAUUGUUUGUUUGAGUUCCACUCAUGUGCCCAUUCACAAGUUCACCCCUAAUUAUAUAUAUUAUGCAUUAAGUAGAUAUUUAUGUUGCAUUAAUCUAAAGAUAACAAAAUGAGUCUGAAAUUUGAAUUAAAUUGAAGUAUUUCCUUGGACUUUCAAAUGGAGUAUUAUUAAAGUAGUAAGGACUAUCCACAUCCUUGGCUUGCCCUUGAUCAAUUAUUUGCUGAGAAGCAUUCAAUUCGUCAAUCAAUUACAUUGAUUUUUGUGGCUGGUACUUCUCCUCAACAUGAGUAUAUUCAUCGUGGCUACUCCAAAUCGGCAUGAAUGAGGUACCGGUGCUCUGGAGCACUAGUACCUAACAGCUUCUCAUGUGAAGGGGUGCGGGCACGGGAGAGGUGUUUUUGGUGGGUCAAGGGAGUAAGAAGCGGCCGUGGCAGCGGUCCAGACGCCCACAAAGCCUCGUAGUUUGUUUUUGGUUUACAGGAAAAUGCACAUCCAGACUGGCCUGCGGGCCGAUAUAGGACCGUAUUGGAUGGCAAAACAUGUCCAGAUGGUUGUGAGCGGUUUGAGGGUUAGCUUUUGUAACGCCCGGUUAGUUAUGCUAUGGUAGUUCCCUGCUAAUGAUGUCACGUCACCACGAUUACUGUUGUUAACCUCACAAUGAUUCAAUCCCAUUCAAAUCCAAAUUUAAAAUAAAGGCAAACAUCAAAAGUUUCAAACAUUAAAACUAAAAUCUUCGAGAGGUGAAAAAUAAUGCAUAAGUAAUUAUGGUGGAGAAACCACACUUUUAUAAAAUGUUUAAAUACUCUAAAAGGAAUAAAACAGUGGCUUAAACUAUUAUUUAAAUGCUUUUAAAAUAGUAAAAAUGUUCUAACUAAAUUAAUUGGGUACCAAACUUUUGGUGGCAGUGGUAUAUUUAGUAGAAAAAAUUUAGAUGCUAAUUAUAUAAUUUACAAAAUUAAAGUAAAUUAAAAAAUAGGAUAAAACAUAAAAGGAAAGACAAAACAAAUAAAAGCAAAAGGGGGCAACCCCUCACUGAGCCUCGGCCUAGCUGGCCACUAGGCUAGCUAGGCCGGCCCAGCCGCCUCCCUUAACCCCCCACUCCCCAUCGAACAAUAGCCCGAUCGCCCCACUUCCCCCACACCCCCUCGUCAGCCUCCCCACCUCUCGAUCCCAUCUGGAUCGGGGAGGGGAUCGCCCCCAUCGACCCCGUCGCCAUCGCCGGAUCACCCGCUCGCCCAUCGCCCGCCGGCGUCGCCGGGCCUCCUCCCCGCCGCCCGUCUCCGGCUCUCCUCCCCUCUCGCUCCUCUUCCCCGACCCGAUAUGGAUCGAGAAGGGGCAAUGAGCCCGACGCCCCCCUCCACCGACGUUGUGCGCCAGCACCGCCACCCGAAGACCUCGUCGUCGCCGGACCUCGCGUCGCCUCCUCGUAUCUCUCCCCGACUCGCCUCCUCAAGCCACGCCGACCCCCUUCUCGGCAACGCUGUGAGCCGCCCCCGUUUCCCUCCUUCUCUUUCCACCGUGUUUGAUAAGUCUCCAACGUAUCUAUAAUUUUUGAUUGUUCCAUGCUAUAUUAUAUUCUGUUUUGGAUGAUUAAUGGGAUUUAUUAUACACUUUUAUAUUAUUUUUGGGACUAACCUAUUAACCGGAGGCCCAGCCCAAAUUGCUGUUUUUUUGCCUAUUUCAGUGUUUCGCAGAAAAAGAAUAUCAAACGGAGUCCAAACGGAAUGAAACCUUCGGGAAUGUGAUUUUCGGAACAAACGUGAUCCAGAGGACUUGGAGUGGACGUCAAGCAACAGACGAGGAAGCCACGAGGUAGGGGCGCGCCUACCCUCCUGGGCGCGCCCUCCACCCUCAUGGGCCCCUCGUGGCUCCACUGACCUACUUCUUCCUCCUAUAUAUACCUACGUACCCCCAAACCAUCAGAAGCGACCACAAAAACCUAAUUCCACCGCCGCAACCUUCUGUACCCGUGAGAUCCCAUCUUAGGGCCUUUUCCGGCGUCCUGCCGGAGGGGGCAUUGAUCACGGAGGGCUUCUACAUCAACACCAUAGCCUCUCCGAUGAUGUGUGAGUAGUUUACCUCAGACCUUCGGGUCCAUAGUUAUUAGCUAGAUGGCUUCUUCUCUCUCUUUGGAUCUCAAUACAAAGUUCUCCUCGUUUCUCUUGGAGAUCUAUUUGAUGUAACUCUUCUUUUUGCGGUGUGUUUGUCGAGAUCCGAUGAAUUGUGGGUUUAUGAUCAAGAUUAUCUAUGAACAAUAUUUGAAUCUCCUCUGAAUUCUUUUAUGUAUGAUUGGUUAUCUUUGCAAGUCUCUUCGAAUUAUCAGUUUGGUUUGGCCUACUAGAUUGAUCUUUCUUGCAAUGGGAGAAGUGCUUAGCUUUGGGUUCAAUCCUGCGGUGUCCUUUCCCAGUGACAGCAGGGGCAGCAAGGCACGUAUUGUAUUGUUGCCAUCGAGGAUAAAAAGAUGGGGUUUAUAUCAUGUUGCAUGAGUUUAUCCCUCUACAUCAUGUCAUCUUGCUUAAAGCGUUACUCUGUUUUUAUGAACUUAAUACUCUAGAUGCAUGCUGGAUAGCGGUCGAUGUGUGGAGUAAUAGUAGUAGAUGCAGAAUCGUUUUGGUCUACUUGUCACGGACGUGAUGCCUAUAUACAUGAUCAUACCUAGAUAUUCUCAUAACUAUGCUCAAUUCUAUCAAUUGCUCGACAGUAAUUCGUUUACCCACCAUAAUACUUAUGCUCUUGAGAGAAGCCACUAGUGAAACCUAUGGCCCCCGGGUCUAUUUUCCAUCAUAUUAAUCUUCCGUCAACAAGCUAUUUCUAUCUUUAUUUACCUUGUAAUCUUUACUUUUACUCUUUAUCAUAAAAAUACCAAAAAUAUUAUCUUAUCAUCUCUAUCAGAUCUCACUCUCGUAAGUGACCGUGAAGGGAUUGACAACCCCUUUAUCGCGUUGGUUGCGAGGUUCUUAUUUGUUUGUGUAGGUGCGUGGGACUUGAGUGUGGCCUCCUACUGGAUUGAUACCUUGGUUCUCAAAAACUGAGGAAAAUACUUACGCUACUUUACUGCAUCACCCUUUCCUCUUCAAGGGAAAACCAACGCAGUGCUCAAGAGGUAGCAAGAAGGAUUUCUAGCACCGUUGCCGGGGAGUCUACGCACAAGUCAAGACAUACCAAGUACCCGUCACAAACUCUUAUCCCUCGCAUUACAUUAUUUGCCAUUUGCCUCUCGUUUUCCUCUCCCCCACUUCACCCUUGCCGUUUUAUUCGCCUCCUUUUCGUUUGCUUCUUGUUUGCUCGUGUGUUGGAUUGCUUGUUUGUCGCGAUGGCUCUACCUAGAUUUGGUGAUCUUCCAUUAAAAGGUUAGAAGAGAUUGAAAGCAACGUCAGAAGUUUCAUGACUUUACAAUUUGAGCAUAACAAUUUCUUUAGAAACGAGCUUAAGGAACAAAAAAGCUUUAUGGGUUACAUGAAUAAAGAGCUCGACGAUAUGUCUAAGGAAUUUUAUGGUCUAAAAUCUUAGAUUUCUCAUCUCGAAAAAUUAAUUGCUGAAAUUUCGGAUAAGCAGGCCACCUUAGUUAAUAAGAUGGCCGCUAAACCGGUAAUUUUUUAUGAGAAUAAAGAUGAAGAUCUAAAAGUUAUUGAUGUGUCCCCUAUUAAAUCUUAGUUUUGCAAUAUGAAUCUUGAUAAUGAUGGGACUGGAGAUGAGUCAACUUUAGUUAAAAGGCGUCCCAAAAAUUCGGAGUUUUUAGAUCUUGAUGCAAAAUUUGGUAAAAGUGGGAUUGAAGAGGUCAAAACUUUAGAUAUCAAUGAACCCACUAUCUUGGAUUUCAAGGAAUUUAAUUAUGAUAAUUGCUCUUUGAUAUAUUUUAUUUCCUUGUUGCAAUCCGUGUUAAAUUCUCCUCAUGCUUAUAGUCAAAAUAAAGCUUUUACUAAACAUAUCGUUGUUGCUUUGAUGCAAUCUUAUGAAGAAAAACUUGAGUUGGAAGUUUCUAUCCCUAGAAAACUUUAUGAUGAAUGGGAACCUACAAUUAAAAUUAAAAUUAAAGAUCAUGAAUGCUAUGCUUUGUGUGAUUUGGGUGCUAGUGUUUCCACGAUCCCAAAAACUUUGUGUGAUUUGCUAGGUUUCCGUGAAUUUGAUGAUUGUUCUCUAAAUUUGCAUCUUGCGGAUUCCACCAUCAAGAAACCUAUGGGAAGAAUUAAUGAUGUUAUUAUUGUUUCAAAUAGGAACUAUGUGCCCGUAGAUUUUAUUGUUCUUGAUAUAGAUUACAAUCCUUCAUGUCCUAUUAUUUUUGGUAGACCUUUCCUUAGAACGAUUGGUGCAAUUAUUGAUAUGAAAGAAGGAAAUAUUAGAUUCCAAUUUCCGUUAAGGAAAGGUAUGGAACACUUUCCUAGAAAGAAAAUAAAAUUACCUUAUGAAUCUAUUAUGAGAGCUACUUAUGGAUUGCCUACCAAAGAUGGCAAUACCUAGAUCUAUCCUCGCUUUUAUGCCUAGCUAGGGGCGUUAAAUGGUAGCGCUUGUUGGGAGGCAACCCAAAUUUUAUUUUAGUUUUUUUGCUUUUUUGCUUCUGUUUAGGAAUAAAUCUUUGAUCUAGACUCUGGUUAGACUUGUUUUUAUGUUUUAAUUAGUGUUUGUGCCAAGUUAAACCUAUAGGAUCUUCUUGGAUGAUAGUUAUUUGAUCUUGCUGAAAAUUCCAGAAACUUUCUGUUCACGAAAACAAUUGUUAAAAAUCACCAGAACGUGAUAAAAUACUGAUUCUAAUUGCAGUAGAUCAAUAAACAAAUUAUCUAGGUCUUCCUAUUUUGGUAGAUUUUUCUGAGUUACAUAAGUUUGUGUUAGUUACAGAUUACUACAGACUGUUCUGUUUUUGACAGAUUCUGUUCUUCGUGUGUUGUUUGCUUAUUUUGAUGAAUCUAUGGCUAGUAAAAUAGUUUAUAAACCAUAGAUAAGUUGGAAUACAUUAGGUUUAACACCAAUAUAAAUAAAGAAUGAGUUCAAUACAGUACCUUGAAGUGGUGUUUUGUUUUCUUUCGCUAACGGAGCUCACGAGAUUUUCUGUUAAGUUUUGUGUUGUGAAGUUUUCAAGUUUUGGGUAAAGAUUUGAUGGAUUAUGGAACAAGGAGUGGCAAGAGCCUAAGCUUGGGGACGCCCAAGGCACCCCAAGGUAAAUCUAAGGACACCAAAAAUCCAAAGCUUGGGGAUGCCCCGGAAGGUAUCCACUCUUUCGUCUUCGUCCAUCGGUAACUUUACUUGGAGCUAUAUUUUUAUUCACCACAUGAUAAGUGUUUUGCUUGGAGCGUCUUGUAUGAUUUGAGUAUUUGCUUUUUAGUUUACCACAUUCAUACUUGCUGUACACACCUUUUGAGAGAGACACACAUGAUUCAGAAUUUAUUAGAAUACUCUAUGUGCUUCACUUAUAUCUUUUGAGCUAUAUAGUUUUUGCUCUAGUGCUUCACUUAUAUCUUUUAGAGCACGGUGGUGGUUUUGUUUUAUAGAAACUAUUUUUCUCUCAUGCUUCACUUAUAUCAUUUUGAGAGUCCUACAUAACAGCAUGGUAAUUUGCUUAAAUUGAGAAAUUAGUCCUAAUAUGAUAGGCAUCCAAGAUUAGUAAAAACUUUCUUAUAAGUGCGUUGAAUACUAAGAAAAGUUUGAUGCUUGAUGAUUGUUUUGAGAUAUGGAGGUAGUGAUAUUAAAGUUGUGCUAGUUGAGUAGUUUUGAAUUUGAGAAAUACUUGCGUUGAAGUUUGCAAGUCCCGUAGCAUGCACGUAUGGUAAACGUUGUGUAACAAAUUUGAAACAUGAGGUGUUCUUUGAUUGUCCUCCUUAUGAGUGGCGGUCGGGGACGAGUGAUGGUCUUUUCCUACCAAUCUAUCCCCCUAGGAGCAUGCGCGUAGUGCUUGGUUUUUGAUGACUUGUAGAUUUUUGCAAUAAGUAUGUGAGUUCUUUAUGACUAAUGUUGAGUCCAUGGAUUAUACGCACUCUCACCCUUCCAUCAUUGCUAGCAUCUUCGGUACCGUGCAUUGCCCUUUCUCACCUUGAGAGUUGGUGCAAAUUUCGCCGGUGCAUCCAGACCCCGUGAUACGAUACGCUCUGUCACACAUAAACCUCCUUAUAUCUUCCUCAAAACAGCCACCAUACCUACCUGUUAUGGCAUUUCCAUAGCCAUUCCGAGAUAUAUUGUCAUGCAACUUUCCACCGUUCCGUUUAUCAUGACACGUUUCAACAUUGUCAUAUUGCCUUGCAUGAUCAUGUAGUUGACAUCGUAUUUGUGGCAAAGCCACCGUUCAUAAUUUUUCAUACAUGUCACUCUUGAUUCAUUGCCCAUCCCGGUACACCGCCGGAGGCAUUCAUAUAGAGUCAUACUUUGUUCUAGUAUCGAGUUGUAAUCAUUGAGUUAUAAAUAAAUAGAAGUGUGAUGAUCAUCAUUCAUAGAGCAUUGUCCCAAAAAAAGGAGAAAGGCCAAAUGAAAAAAAGGCCCAAAAAAAGGGGCAAUGUUACUAUCCUUUUUCCAUACUUGUGCUUCAAAGUAGCACCAUGGUCUUUAUGAUAGAGAGUCUCUUGUUUUGUCACUUUCAUAUACUAGUGGGAAUUUUUCAUUAUAGAACUUGGCUUGUAUAUUCCCACAAUGGGCUUCCUCAAAUGCCCUAGGUCUUCGUGAGCAAGCAAGUUGGAUGCACACCCACUUAGUUUCUUUUGUUGAGCUUUCAUGCAUUUAUAGCUCUAGUGCAUCCGUUGCAUGGCAAUCCCUACUCCUUGCAUUGACAUCAAUCGAUGGGCAUCUCCCUAGCUCGUUGAUUAGCCGCGUCAAUGUGAGACUUUCUUUUCUUUUUUUCUUCUCCACAUAACCCCCAUCAUCAUAUUAUAUUCCACCCAUAGUGUUAUAUCCAUGGCUCACGCUCAUAUAUUGCGUGAAAGUUGAAUUUUUUUUGAGAUUACUAAAGUAUGAAACAAUUGCUUGGCUUGUAAUCGGGGUUGUGCAUGAUGAGAGCAUUCUUGUGUGACGAAAAUGGGGCAUGACCAAACUAUAUGAUUUUGUAGGGAUGAACUUUCUUUGGCCAUGUUAUUUUGAGAAGACAUAAUUGCUUAGUUAGUAUGCUUGAAGUAUUAUUACUUUUAUGUCAAUAUUAAACUUUUAUCUUGAAUCUUUCGGAUCUGAAUAUUCAUACCACAAAUAAGAGAAUUACAUUGAAAAUUAUGCUAAGUAGCAUUCCACAUCAAAAAUUCUGUUUUUAUCAUUUACCUACUCGAGGACGAGCAGGAAUUAAGCUUGGGGAUGCUUGAUACGUCUCCAACGUAUCUAUAAUUUUUGAUUGUUCCAUGCUAUAUUAUAUUCUGUUUUGGAUGAUUAAUGGGCUUUAUUAUACACUUUUAUUAUUUUUGGGACUAACCUAUUAACCGGAGGCCCAGCCCAAAUUGUUGUAUUUUUUGCCUAUUUUAGUGUUUCGCAGAAAAAGAAAAUCAAACGGAGUCCAAACGGAAUGAAACCUUCGGGAACGUGAUUUUCGGAACAAAUGUGAUCCAGAGGACUUGGAGUGGACGUCAAGGAACAGACGAGGAAGCCAUGAGGUAGGGGGGCGCGCCUACCCCCUGGGCGCGCCCUCCACCCUCGUGGCUCCACCGACCUACUUCUUCCUCCUAUAUAUACCUACGUACCCCCAAACCAUCAGAAGCGACCAUGAAAACCUAAUUCCACCACCGCAACCUUCUAUACCCCUGAGAUCCCAUCUUGGGGCCUUUUCCGGCGUCCUGCCGGAGGGGGCAUUGAUCACGGAGGGCUUCUACAUCAACACCAUAGCCUCUCCGAUGAUGUGUGAGUAGUUUACCUCAGACCUUCGGGUCCAUAGUUAUUAGCUAGAUGGCUUCUUCUCUCUCUUUGGGUCUCAAUACAAAGUUCUCCUCGUUUCUCUUGGAGAUCUAUUUGAUGUAACUCUUCUUUUUGCGGUGUGUUUGUCGAGAUCCGAUGAAUUGUGGGUUUAUGAUCAAGAUUAUCUAUGAACAAUAUGUGAAUCUCCUAUGAAUUCUUUUAUGUAUGAUUGGUUAUCUUUGCAAGUCUCUUCGAAUUAUCAGUUUGGUUUGGCCUACUAGAUUGAUAUUUCUUGCAAUGGGAAAAGUGCUUAGCUUUGGGUUCAAUCUUGCGGUGUCCUUUCCCAGUGACAGCAGGGGCAGCACGGCACAUAUUGUAUUGUUGCCAUCGAGGGUAAAAAGAUGGGGUUUAUAUCAUAUUGCAUUAGUUUAUCCCUCUACAUCAUGUCAUCUUGCUUAAAGCGUUACUCUGUUCUUACGAACUUAAUGCUCUAGAUGCAUGCUGGAUAGCGGUCGAUGUGUGGAGUAAUAGUAGUAGAUGCAGAAUCGUUUCGGUCUACUUGUCACGGACGUGAUGCCUAUAUACAUGAUCAUACCUAGAUAUUCUCAUAACUAUACUCAAUUCUAUCAAUUGCUCGACAGUAAUUCGUUUACCCACCGUAAUACUUAUGCUCUUGAGAGAAGCCACUAUUGAAACCUAUGGCCCCCGGGUCUAUUUUCCAUCAUAUUAAUCUUCCGUCAACAAGCUAUUUCUAUCUUUAUUUACCUUGCAAUCUUUACUUUUACUCUUUAUCAUAAAAAUACCAAAAAAAAUUAUCUUAUCAUCUCUAUCAGAUCUCACUCUCGUAAGUGACCGUGAAGGGAUUGACAACCCCUUUAUCGCGUUGGUUGCGAGGUUCUUAUAUAUUUGUGUAGGUGCGUGGGACUUGAGUGUGGCCUCCUACUGGAUUGAUACCUUGGUUCUCAAAAACUGAGGGAAAUAAUUACACUACUUUACUGCAUCACCCUUUCCUCUUUAAGGGAAAACCAACGCAGUGCUCAAGAGGUAGCAGUGUUCACCGCGCCGCCCGCCGUGCCCCUCGCCGCGCGCACGCCCACCACCGCGCCAGCCCCCGCUCAGCGCCCUCUCCUGCACGCUUGUGCGCGCAUGACCCUAGCCACGCCCGCGCCGUGAUCCCCUUGUUCGGCCCGCCUUCGUCCCGCGCUCGCCGCGGCCCCCAUGCUCCCCCGUGCCAUCUUCUAGGGGCGUCGGCUGCCCCUGUCCCGCUGCUCGCUGCCACGCCUCGCCCGCCCGCGCCUCGCCACCGCUCUACUGCUACGCUAAUAUUGCGCUGUGGCCGCCGCCGCUUCCCGCUGCUCUGCCAGCGCCGAAGCUCCCGGUUGGCUCCGCCGCUGCUCACGUUUUACCGCCCCUAAACGGCCUACCCCCCCCCUCGCUAAUGAACCCCCACUGACCCGCUGACACCGGGACCCACAUCCCCUAAUUAACCAUUUAAUAAAUUAAAAAUCUUAAAUUAACAUUAGUGUAUGACAUGUGGGUCCCCUAUUAAUUAAACUGAUUUAAUUAAAAUCUAUUAACAUUGAGUCUGUGACAUAUGGGCCCCACUAAACAUUUGACCAGUCAACGGUCUAGUCAAAUGCUGACCGGACAGUUGACCAGAGGGCCCCACCAGUCAGCCUCUGUGCUGUUCUGCUGGGUACCUUUCUAAGUACACCUAGCAUUUUGCAUUUACAAUAUUUGUUUUAAAAUAAAUUAGAAUAAUUUCAAAAAAAGAUUAAAACUUUUAAAAUUAAAAUAAAAUAAUCCGUAACUCGGAUGAAAUUACUUUAUACAUGCAAGUUGCUCAAAAAACGAGACGAAUCCGAAUACACAGUCCGUUCGUCUGCCACACGUCCCUAGCAUAGCAAACAUGCAACCAUCCCCCUCCGGUUCGACUGUCCGAAAAUGUCAGACACGGGAAAUACUUUUCCGGAUUUUCCCCUUCACCAUUAGCACCUAGUACCGCGUGAGGGCAUACCUAGCACCACUUAUUGUAAUGUCAUGCAUCGUCAUGCAUCUGUUUGCAUUGUAUUCAUUGUUUCUUCCUCCUCUUCUCUCCGGUAGACUACGAGACCGACGUCGGUGCUGCCCCGGUCGACUACGGUGUCCAUGACCCCUCCUUGUAAGCAGAGCUUCCAGGCAAGCAAACCCCCUUGAUCAUCCCGAUAUCGCCUACUCUUUCCCUCUACUGCUUGCAUUAGAGUAUUGUUACUGUUUGUCGGUUUGAUCCUAUACUGCUGCAUGGCUUGUCUUUGAUACUACUUAUGUGUUAUUUGUGUAGAUUUGUCAAGGAAAAAUGAGUCUAUAGCCUAAUAAAUGAAGUGUUGCAUGUUACCACACAUAUGUUAAUCCCCACUAUAGAGUUAGUAACAUAGACUAGUAACAUGUGCAUGUUACUACCCAUUGUGGCCAGUCUAUGUUACCACUUUCCUCUCUUUCUUCAUUUAUUGCUUGCCACAUCAUCUAUUUUAUCUAGGUAUGUGUGAUAUUACUACCUAUGUUACUCCCACUGUGGGUAGUCUAAGCAGGCUAUAAGGAAUAGAAUAAUAUAUAUGUGCUUAUUAGUUGGAGGAAAGAGAAGAGAAGCGGGCUCUUGGUUAGUAGAGCCAGCUACAACAUGAGACCCAAGCACUUUGUGAGGAUGUAAGGUGGCCAACUAUUGAUAAACUAGUACGUAUAUAAAAAUUAUUAUUGCACAUGGCCGCUAAGAGGUUGGCUGUAUAUGACAUGACAACUUCUUAUAGCCGACCCUUGGCUGUAUUAUUAACCAUGCUCUUAGUGAGGUAGCUAGUAUAUCAUAGACGACUAGCUAGUAUCAGACUAGCCAAAGUGGGAGUAACUUCAGCAGUAACAUCGACUCCAACUCAGAAAACUUGCUUAUGUGGGAGUAAACCGUGCCCAAUGCAAAAUACAAUCCCAGUCAUAAUUUUUUCAGGAAACGUGUGGUAUCCCAAACGAAAAGUACAUGUCACUCUUGCGGCAACGAUACCCAAUAAAUCACAAACGGUCUGCAGCACUUGUAUGUGUGCGAAGAGGCUCCUGAACCGUUUGUGAUAGAACAUUAUCGUAGACGAUAAUUGUUGGCAAACGUGUGCGAUGGAGUCUAGCAUGGCAGACAGGUUACGCAGAAAACUCGUGUGCGAUGGGGCACAAAUCGCACACAGUUCAUAUGUUGGCCCGUGUGCCUUACAUACUAUUUCCCAAACGGUUUGUUACGACAGACCGUAUGGUUUCAGUGCGUCAUUAGAAACGCUUAAUCACCGAUACCACACGUGCGAAAGAAUUUAGUGUGUGCUUCAUCGCACACGAUUACAUUUUGGAAGGCCUCUGGAUCACUGCUCCAUAUCCCCGACGGUUUCUGGGUCGUGUGGGAAGUACACCCUAUCGCACACACUCACUUGGCGACGGUUCCAAAUGCCAUCGCGGAAAGGGGUUGAAAACAGUUUGUUUAGAACCGACGCGUACCAUUGUCUAUCUAUCUAUCUACCUAUCUAUCUAUCUAUCUAUCCAUCCAUCUAUCUAUCUAUCCAUCUAUCUAUCCACCUAUCCAUCUAUCCAUCUAUCUAUCUCUAUCCAUCUAUCUAUCUAUCCAUCUAUCCAUCUAUCUAUCCAUCUAUUUAUCUAUCUAUCUAUCUAUCUAUCUAUCUAUGUAUCCAUCGAUCCAUCUAUCCAUCCAUCGAUCCAUCUAUCCAUCCAUCUAUCUAUCCAUGCAUCCAUGUAUCCAUCUAUCGAUCUAUCCAUCUAUCCAUAUAUCGAUCUAUCCAUCUAUCUAUCCAUCUAUCCAUCUAUCCAUCUAUCGAUCUUUCCAUCUAUCGAUCUAUCCAUCUCUUCAUCUACCCAUCUAUCCAUCUAUCCAUCUACCGAUCUAUCUAUCCAUCUAUCUACCUACCUAUCUAUCUAGCUAUCUAGCUAUCUAUCUAUCUAUCCAUCCAUCUGUCCAUCCAUCCAUCUAUCUACCUACCUACCUACCUACCUACCUACCUAUCUAUCUAUAUAUCUAUCUAUCUAUCUAUCUAUCUAUCUAUCUAAAGGAAAUAUGCCCUAGAUGCAAUAAUAAAGUUGUUAUUUAUAUUACUUAAACUAGCAGAGUCACCCGCGCAUUUGCGCGGCUAGAUUGACUACAUAUAUUGUUAUAUUUGGGAUUAUUUUUCUAUGCCAACUUUAUGGCCUCUUACUCAGAUAUUAUCUAAUUUAAUUUACCACCACCAUAUGUUAUAUCCAUAGAUUAUAAUUAAAAGGCAACUUGCGACGAAACAUGGUCAGAUUAUUGAGUGCUCAGAAGACGGGCGCAAUAUCAUAUAUAGACUUCUAUACCAAUCUUCAUGGUUCCCAUCUUUGAUCCUCUCCUCGUCCCUUGGUAUCUAUCUUUGCACCCAAUAUGUCUUUGGAGUUCCAAGAAUUGGAUCUUAGCAUGAAUGGCUUCAAAGUGUACCAAAUGUUCUCUUGUUCCUCCCAAAUUAAUUACUGGUUGCAUUCUUAGUUGCUUUGACAUUCUUGGUUAAUGCAAUGUCUUGCCUACCAAUAUAUGCAUCCACACACGAUCAUAUUUAUAUGACCACUUACCUCUGUAUUCUGGUAUUUGUGCUUCAGAAUUUUUCUCUCAUUCAGUUUAUUCAUAGAUUAGAAACGUCGAUCGUUUCUUUAUUGGUUUGCAUUAUCUUGUUUGCCGAAUGUAAGCAUCCACACAUGCUCGUCAUGAUAUGAUUGGUCAUCAUUGUAUAUUUGUAUUUGUGUGUUGAUAGCUUAAGGAUUUUCUCGGAUUCACUUCAUAGUUUAAGGAUUUUCUCGCGUUCAAUUUAUUCUACCUUAUUCAUUUUCAUGUUUCUUUAUUGUAUUCAUAUCCAUUCUUACAAUAUAUUUUCCAAGAUAUGAACUCAACUACUAAUUACGUAGUUUUCAAUGAAAUUUUACAUGUAAAAGUGGUACAAAUGCAUAAACCCAAUUUUUUUUUAAACACGUUGACUUACAAAAAGGACAAUUCAAGCUGCAUGUACGUCCGACUCAUGUUUACCUGACAAUGUCGAUGUUGAUUUCAGCAGUAAAUGAGCUGUGUGUGACCUUUGCGCUUUCCGGUAUUCUUCUAACCUGUGUGCUUUAUGAUCAGUUUGUUGUGCUUAGUACUGGACACUGGAGUAUACUAUCAUAUUUGAUACAAACAAAUCCGAACUGCUAUAGUUAUGAUCCACUGUAUAGUUAAUGGUGGUGGUAAUUAAUAUAUGUGGUUAAAUACUUGCGCUCCUUAGGUGGGGAGUUGGAUUUGUAUUUGUCUAAAAUGAAUUUCAGAUUUCGUAUCAGUGGUGAAGCCAGCCGGAAGAACCUCUGCGUCAUUAUUAAUUUUGGUGAUAUUUUUCAUCAUAGUGUAGAAUAAUUUUAGUGCUUAUUCCGCAAAAAAAUGGCCUCAACUGACCCCAUAGCUUGUAUGUUGCGCCACCACUGUUUCGUAUAUCUUAUUACAUCCGUUGUUUUUAGAUCUUGAUGCAUAACUUUGACAAUUUUUAAUAGAUAUGUGUCUGUAUAAAAAAAUUAUAAAUGCUAUGAUAAUUUGAUUAAUUAUGAUGAAUAAAAUGGUAUUGCUUUGACUUGAUCCCUCUAACAAUUUAUAGGAAUGCUCUUAAAUAUUUCUGCUUCAUUUGAUCUCAUUAUAGCCUGCCUAAAUUACAUGGCUUAAUCGCCUUUUUUCUUUUAUCUUAGUUCAUUUCCGUAAAUUCAUUUGUACUAUAUAUGCUCCCGUAAAUUCAUUUUUUUAAUUGCUCACAUUUUUUUGAGGCAUUUUGAGUUUCUCACGUACGCUCAAACGCCCAAGAAAACACAUAUAGUGUUCGCUACGCCCAAGAAAACACAUUGAGGCAGUAAUUUCUUCAGGCAAGAUCGAUCGGCAGCUAAUUAAGUAGGCUGGAUGGCAUUGAGAAAUCCAAAAACGAUUUACAUACACAUGGUAGAUCGUCUCUCUCUCUCCUUCCACCCCUUCCUUUCAUGGCCAUCGUAGACUGCACCAUGUGGCAUUCAAACUUUUAUCAAGGGGAGAGUUUCCUCACACACACACACACACAUGCACAUACGCAAGCACACGCACACACGUGUAGUACAAACUUAGAAUUUUUGGAAAUAAUGGGAGGCCGAGCAACGGCCAUGUGAAAAUAUGAGGUAUAUAGCUUGUGGAUUUCCUUUCAGUGUACAAGGCCUGCAUGAGGAAUGGAUAAAAAAUUAUAUCUUUGAUUCCCUUAGUUAAAUCUUAUCCUUCAUCGUCAAUUAUGACUAAGCAUACAUAGUAACCGCUAGUUUCUCUUAUAUGCUUCCGAGAAGAUAAGACUGGAUAUUUUAGUUGCUAUUAAUUGUUUCCCUUCUUUCGCUAAAUAGUAGUCAAACAUGUUAUUAAUGUAUUUUGUAAGGAUAAGGUCGAGCAUCAUGGCCACUAUGUUCUAUAUAUACUGAAUUUGGUGUUCAGUAUGACAUAACAAACACAUAUUGUGAGAAGGAGUAGUGUACAUUGUUCUCUAGUGCACUUUGUUCAGCAAGUUGGGUGAAAAUGUUGAAUAGAACCAUCAAGUUUUCAUACUUUUUUUCAUGGCACAGGUUUGCCUUCUCAUGAUGAUGGCCGCACCGUUUGCACAAGCUGCUGGGAGGCCUGUGGCCUCCUUACCAUGGGUAGCGGGGUGUUGCCCGAGGAACUAUUUGUGUUGUGGUGUUGGUGCCGUUGCCCCGACAUCCCAUGCAUCACAGGCCACCUCUGUACCUUGAGUUAUGGUUUCGCCUGAUCUCCUCUCAUAACAUAGUUGAUAUAACAUAGUAGCAUCACAAAGGUUGCAUGGUUUCAUUGAUUCAUCUCUUUUCUACUCCUUGAAACUUGUGAUGCCACUUUUGAACAAUGUCAUUGCUAUGUCUUCUUAUAACUAAUAAAAUGGGAGGAUAUUUUCAUCUUAUUUGAAUUGUGUUGUAACAUUACCUACUAAUGUGGAUGAUCUGAGUGGGACUACAUAGAUCGGAUCUUCUAAAGAUGUAAUCUAGGACUUUGCGAGAUGAUGAAAUUGUCCUUUAUCUUGGUCGACACCUUUUCGUAGAAGUGUUGGUCGGCCGUCUGUGUCUUUUUGCGGUGCAUGCCGUAGAAUCCUCCAUGUUUUGUAGUUGUACAAUAACCUUUGAGGCAACCGGGGGUGGUACGUCUGAGGAAGUCGGUGGCCCAGGAAUAUUCAUAAUAAGAUCUUGACCAUGGAUGCCAAGUAAUUUGCCCCGUGCUGAUGUCGUCGGGCUGACCCGCUCACUUAUGUUUUGACUCAAGGAGUCGCUAUGUUCACCGAGUCGCGAGACAGCGGGAGGAAGGAGACGAAGGUCCCAAACGUCAGACCAAAAAGGUGGACUAGGGCUCGCCCUAGUUGUGCUCUCGGGUAUUUUCAGUUACUAGUAGGAGUAAGAAGCAUUGCAAAUUGCUCCCUCUGUUCAAUCCGUAUAUAUGUAGUCCAUAUUCAUAUAUUCAAAAUAUUUUAUAUUUGUGAACGAAGGAAGUAAUUAAUUGUAAUGCAACAAUUUCAGGGGAGGCCAGUCAACAGCUAACUAAAUGUGCUGGAUGAGACUGGAGAAAUGUAUAAACGAUUUACACAUGAUAGAACUACUCUUUUCUUGUUAAGAAAUGGAAGAAUGGAUGAUUUUAUCCGUUCGGAACAAAACCCAAUAUUCAUCCAGUUAGACGUUGUUCUGAAUUGUGACGCUUUUGAAAGUUUUCUCGCAGAAAUAUGUGUGUAUUCCAGUUGUAUCAUUAGCAAACCAAGGUUGUAUAUAUUAUAGCACAAAGAAUGUUUGGUUGAUUCGUUCAGGCGAAUCGGGUUUGUUGCUGACUGCCAAAGUCAGGCCAACUCCAGCGCACGACCCCAAACGGACAUCUGUUUUGCCUGGAUUCUGCCCGUUUGGAUAGGGCAAUGGGGUCGUGUCCGGGCCUGUCCUGUGAUGCGGUGGCCGUGCGCACAACGUGCGGACGCAUCCUUUGGCCUCAUCAUGUCCGCCACGGCCAAAAAUGCCCAUAUAUUCAUAUUUCAAUGUUCAAAACUAGUUUGCACGUUCAAAUAUUAAUUGUCUGAAAAUAAAAAUAGUUAUUACAACCCAAUCAAAAUUGUCUCUAAUAAAAUAGUUUUACAACCAAAUCGAAAUUGUCUUGAAUGAACAUAAUGAACCAAUACAUCUAUUGGUUGCCAAUGUGAUUCCACAUGUGCUCAACCAAGUCAUUUUGAAGAUCCAAAUGAGUGUGCCAAUCAUGCAUUUCACGAUGAAAUUGGGCAAACUUCUCAAACGUGGCCGGUUCUUGGUGCAGGGGCUGAACAUUUUCACCUUGAAAAUCAAAUCCUUGGUCGAAGAUGCUGUUAUCAUGCUCGUCCUCGAUGAUUAUGUUGUGCAUGAUCACACAAGCAGUCAUCACCUCCCGAAGCUUCCCUUCAUCCCAUGUCAAUGCAGGGUUUCAAACGAUACCCCAUCGGGAUUGAAGCAAACCAAAAGCACGUUCCACAUCCUUCCUAGCACUCUCUUGCAUUUGGGCAAAUCUCUUUCUCUUCUCACCUUGGGGGUUCGAGAUUGUCUUCACAAAAAGUUGACCACUGAGGAUAUAUACCAUCAGCUAGGUAGUAUCCCUUGUUAUACUGGUGGCCGUUGAUCUCAAAGUUGCCAGGUGGGGAGUGGCCUUCUGCAAGCCUUGCGAAGACUGGAGAACGCGGCAGCACGUUGAUAUCAUUGUGAGAACCUGCCAUGUCGAAGAAAGAAUGCCAUAUCCAAAGAUCUUGCGAAGCCACCGCUUCUAAUAUGAUAGUGCAAGCUUUAACAUGCCCCUUGUACUGGCCCUGCCAAGAAAAUGGACAGUUCUUCCACUCCCAGUGCAUACAAUCUAUGCUACCAAUCAUGCCUGGAAAGCCUCUAGCUGCGUUGGUCGCCAACAAGCUUUCUGUAUCAGUGGCAUUUGGCUGCUGAGGGAGUCCUGGAUUAAGGGGUCCUCGGGCGUCUGGGCUAUGUAACAUGGGCUGGACUAAUGGGCCGCGAAGAUACAAGAUGGAAGGCUUUCCCCCCAUGUCCGGAUGGGACUCUCCUUGGCGUGGAAGGCAAGCUUGGCAUGCGGAUAUUAAAGAUUCCCUUCCCUGUAAACCGAGUCUGUACAACCCUAGCCCCCUCCGAUGUCUAUAUAAACCGGAGGGUUUAGUCCGUAGAGGCAAGGAUAAUCAUACAGGCUAGAUAUCUAGGGUUUAGCCAUUACGAUCUCGAGGUAGAUCAACUCUUGUAAUCCCUAUACUCAUCAAAGUCAAUCAAGCAGGAAGUAGGGUAUUACCUCCAUUAAGAGGGCCCGAACCUGGGUAAACAUCGUGUCCCCUGCCUCCUGUUACCCUCUAUCCUUAGACGCACAGUUCGGGCCCCCCUAUCCGAGAUCCGCCGGUUUUGACACCGACAGCUGCCUCAAGUACUCAGGGCCAAACACUGCCACCACAGCCUUGUAGAAUUUGUAAAGUGACAACAGACAUGUCGACUCACUCAUGCGCACGUACUCAUCCACCAGAUCGCCUGGAAUUCCAUAUGCAAGCAUGCCGAUGGCCGCGGUGCACUUCUGGUAAGAGGAGAAUCCAAGCUUGCCAAGGGCAUCCGUCUUGCACUCGAAGUAUGGGUCAUGAGCAACCACUCCCUCUCGGAUACGAUUGAACAGAUGCCUUGCCAUACGAAAACGGCGACGGAAUUUAUUCGGCUUGAAGAGCGAGGUAUUCGCAAAGUAAUUGGCAUAGAGCAAGGCGUGGCCUCUCUCUCUAUUGCGUUUCAGGUUGGGAGCACGGCCAGGGACUGACCCCAUGUACCGAGGAAGCUGCCCAAUGUGAUCGUGAACGACCAGUGCAACCACCACCAGAUCUUCGUCAUCCGAGGACGAAUCAUCCGAUGAAUAAAUGAAGUGGUGGAAGAAAAAUUCAUCUCCACUGUCCAUACCUUUGUGGGCAAAGUGUCCAACACCUUGCGGUCGUGGUGGCAAAUAGGCCGCGAUGAUCAUCUCGAUGCAGCAGGGGUGGUUGGCGGCCGGCUACUGGCCGCUAUGGAGCACCUGGCGAAAGCUGCCGUGGUCCAUAUCCGUCGCCGGUGGUCGUAUCCCCUCUGGCACCGGCUACAACGACGACGGCCAAAUCUCCUCCAAGCGAUGGCCAGAACUCCUACGAAAGCGCGGGCUUGGUGGCGGCCGUGUCGAGACGUGGUUUGGUAUGGAUGGCCGGGGGGAAGCAGUGAGGAGGCGGUCGGAGAAUACUGGGGGCGCCGGUGGCGGGGUGGGGCGGAGGAGAGCGGGUGGAGGCGUUGGAGGCGAAUGGAGUGCUAGUGUCCCCAACAGGCGGGCCGCGGGGAGGACAAGGGCGUGUGUCCAGCCCGUCCGUGUGAUGUCCGUUUCAUCCCAAACUCGGCACAAGUUUGGGCCAGGAAUGGGUAAAAAACGGACGAAAUCCGGACAUUUGUCUAUUUGAGGCCGUGCCUUGGGUCGCGCUAUUCGUGUAUUCUACCCUAAACGGACGCACCAGAACGGAAUGGGGUCGCGUGCUGGAGUUGGCCUCACGACCGUUUCUGCCUUUGGCGCAGACAAGAGAUUCUACACUGUAAAGGAAAAAGCUGAAAGCUCGCUUGUCUCGUGUGUUUCUCUUCUCUUGCACCUUGUCGGAAAACAGCGUGCACCAGGGACGCUCGAUUCCAUGGCAGGCAUCAAUUCAAUCGAUCAUGCUACAGGGAACCGGCACUAUUUUCUUUUUCUUUUUCUUUUUCUUUUAGGUCGUGAACGCAAGUCAUUUGAGACAUUCACAUAGGACUUACAUAAUUGGUAGAUUUAUUAGCAUCAGUGUGGAGCUAAAGUGUUUGAUGUUUUGUAUGAAUGGUUUGGUCUUAACAAUCAAGCCGACCACUCAGGACCUACUUUUGGACUUUUUUUUUGUAUUAUUGUAUACUAGCAAAAGGGCCCGUGCGCGGAGAAAAAAAUUAUAAUCUUGAAUGACCAUGAUCACAUUUUUUUGCAUCACCGAGAUACACUAUCACUUUCAAUUUCGGGAAAUCAUGUACAUUUUUUAAACUUGUGAACAUUUUUCAAAUUCUUGAACACUUUUACAAAUCUGCAAACAUAUUCUAAAAUCAAGAACAUAUUUUGAAUUCAUGAACAUUUUAUAGUAUUUACAAACAUUUUUAGAAAUUACGAAUUCUUUUUAACAACUUUCUUGAAUAGGCAAACAAUUCUAAAAUGGACGAACAUUGUUUUAUAAAUCGGUGGAACAAUUUUUGAAAUUCACGAACAUUUUUUUGAUUUUACAAACAUUUUUUGAAAUGCAUGAUCAUUUUUGUAUAAACUAUUUUGUAUGUCACGAACAGAUUUUCAAAUAUUUGGUUAUUUCCCCAUUCAUGAACAUUUUUUGAAUGGUGAUAUUUUCUUCAAUUUCAUUAACAUUUUUUAUACACCAAUUUUUAAAAAGUCAUGGACGUAUUUUGAUUUCAUGAACAUUUGUUUUCAAAAUUUCGAACAUUUUUCGAGUCAGAUUCUUUAAUAAAAUUGCAAAUAUUUUUUGAAUACAUAAACAUUUUAUGAUUUAUUAAAACUUUAUUUGAAAAUUAUUUUUAAAUUUCAAAUAUUUUGUGUAUUCCGAAUUUAGUUAAAGCAGAAAAAACGGAAAAGGAUAAAAAAGGAAAUGUUAAAAACAGGCCGCCCGGACAUGGGCGGCCCAAACAGGCGGGCCGCGCCUUAUCCCUACGCGCAGAGCCCAGUAUGGGAGGUCGCUACUACAUGGCCCAGUCCAGACGUGGAUUCCCUGUGUGAAACAUUUAUAUCACUUAUACAUGACAUUUGUGGGUAAUUUGUACGACGUGCCAUAAGAAGAAAUAGCCCCUUUAUUAUUACUAGCAAAAGUGUCCGUGUGUUGUAAUGGGAGAAAUAAAAUCAAAAUCUCCAAUGACCAUGACCAUAUUUUGUUGCAUCACCCAGACACCCUAUCACUCUCAAUUUCAUGAAAUCAUGAAUAAUUUUUGAAAUCACGAACAUGUUUUAAAAUUAUUACUCAUAUUUGAAAUUGUGAACAUUUUUCAAAUUCAUGAACACUUAUACAAAUUUUCGAACAUUUUCUAAAAUCCAGAACAUUUUUGGAAUUGAUGAACAUUUUAUACUAUUUGCAAACACUUUUUAAAGAUUCUGAACAUCUUUAUAAACAAUUUUCUUUAAUCGAGGAACAUUUGUAUGGAAAUUGACGGAACAAUUGUCGAAAUUCACAAACAUUUUUUGAUUGAACUAACAUUUUUUGAAAUACAUGAUCAUUUUUUGAAUCAGUAGACAUUUUCUGAAUGACUAAACUAUGUUGUAAGUCACGAAAUAGUUUUUGAAUUUUAGGAUAUUUCUCCAUUCAUGAACACUUUUUGAAUUGGCUAUUUUUUUCAAUUUCAUUAACAAUUUUUGAUACAAAAACUUUUUAAAAAUCAUGAAUUUUAUUUGAUUUCCCAAAAAAUUGUGUUUAAAGUUUUGAACAUUUAUUGUGUAAGCAAUUGUUUUUUACAAAACAGCGACCAUAUUUUGAAUCCACAAACAUUUUAUGAUUUAUGAAAAUUUUAUGUCAAAAUACUCAUUUUUUAAAUUUUCUAAACUUUUUUGAAAUCCUAAACUAUUUAUAGUAAAAAGAACGAAAACAGGAAAGAAAAAUGAAAAUAGAAAACGAAAUCAAAGAAACAGGCCAGCCUGAAAUGGGCCGGCCCAAACAUGCGUGUAGCGUCUUCUCCCAGCGUGCCGAGAACAUUAUAGGAGGUCCCUACUGUAGAGCCGGCCCAGAUGGGGGAAUUCCCUUGUGUGAAUUUUUUGUAUCACUUAUAUGUGGCAUUGAACUCAUGAAGCAUGCGCUAUCCCUUCCAGCUCGCCGCCAUGUCUGGCUCGGACAACCAGAUGGACUUUCUUUCGUCCCUGUAAACGUUUUGAUGAUAUAAUAAAAAGCUUCGGAAUUUGUCUAAAAAAACUUAUAAGUGGCAUUGGUGGGUAAUAUUUUGCAACUUUAGAGGUAAUUCCAUGACGUACCACCAGAAGCACAAUAGCCCCUUUACUAUUAUUAGGUACUCUUUUUUCCUUGUGGAGCUUUGGAAAUGAGAGAAUUUGAAUAUAGUAACUCUCGGAAACUCUUAUUGGACGAGAGAGAUUUAAUAUGAUAUUGGCAUGGGUUCUACCAACUAAACGAAGAAGUAUUUGACUGAAUAAACAGACAAUUUCCUUUAAUCGACGAACAUUUUUAUGAAAAUUGGUGGAAUAACUUUUGAAAUUCAUAAAUAUUUUUUGAGUUAACGAACAUUUUUUGAAAUACAUGACCAUUUUUUUGAAUCUGUGAACGUUGUAUGAAUGAAUAAACUAGUUUGUAAGUCAUGAGCAGUUUUUCAAUUUUUAGGAUAUUUUUCCCUUCAUGAACAUUUUUUCAAUUGGUGAAAUUUUGUUCAAUUUCAUUAACAAUUUUUAGUGCAUAAAACUUUUUAAAAUCAUGAACAUUAUUAUUUACCAAAGAAGCAAAUUGUUUUUUGCAAAAUCAUGGACAUUUUUUGAACCCACAAACAUUUUAUUAUUUAUGAAACAUUUUUUUAAUACACAAUUUUUUUAAUUUUCGAAUUUUUGUGAAAUACUAAAUUAUUUAAAGUAGAAAAAUCAAAAACAGAAAAGAGAAAGGAAUAAUAGAAAAGGAAGUUAAAUAAUAGGCCGACCGAACAUGGGCUGGCCCAAACGGGCGCACUGCAUCUUCUNNNNNNNNNNNNNNNNNNNNNNNNNNNNNNNNNNNNNNNNNNNNNNNNNNNNNNNNNNNNNNNNNNNNNNNNNNNNNNNNNNNNNNNNNNNNNNNNNNNNNNNNNNNNNNNNNNNNNNNNNNNNNNNNNNNNNNNNNNNNNNNNNNNNNNNNNNNNNNNNNNNNNNNNNNNNNNNNNNNNNNNNNNNNNNNNNNNNNNNNNNNNNNNNNNNNNNNNNNNNNNNNNNNNNNNNNNNNNNNNNNNNNNNNNNNNNNNNNNNNNNGUAUUAUUAUUGUUUCAAAUUUAUUCAUAUAUUAUUUUCAAUUGUACAACCAUAAUUUUUCUUAUCUCUCUCGUUCCACUACAUGCUCCUAGUCAAAGAUUUUUUUUAAUAAUGGGUGUUUUUAUUAACUCAAAAUAUAGCAUCAAGCGGAUACAAAACAUAAUGAGCCACACCCGGUCUAUGCAUAACUAAGAUGCACACAGCCAAAAGCAGAAGUCUGACAAAAAUAAGAUAAGAAAAUCGACAUAUCGACAACAGUGAGUCAUGUAGUACCGACACUAUGCCUCUGUCGAAGGAGGUGGUGGAGCGAUCUGGAGAUUAUGCUGCCAUCCAUGUUGAGUAAAUAUCUCCCUGGCCACUUGCUCCAACCGCAUAGACGCCGCCAUGAACAACGGUUGGUACUCCAUUCGGUGUAGCAUACACCAUACUAGAGGCUGGGGCGCCACCUGAGGCGGGCCUAUGCGCACUUAUUUUGUCUGGGCACUUCGGUUGUCAUGUUUGGUCAUCAGUAUCACUUAUGUACAUCAAUAUGGGCGUAUGCUGUAUUGUUUGAGUUCAUUAGGAUCUAUUAGUAUCACAUCAAUCAAAGUACAUAUACUAUGUUAUUUGAGUUCAGAACCAUCAUAGGCAAUGAUACGUCUAAUAAGGAUAUAUAACAUUUAAUUCAAAAGGAAAGACAAAGUAGAAUUAAGUGCUUUAGUUUGGCCGAAGAAAGGAACCUCAUGAUGCCAUGACUAAGGAACCAAAUAUAAAAGAGCACCUUUCAGAGUACUCCAGAGGUAUGACAUCAUCCAUUUCCACAUCAGAAUCAUCGGAAUUCUCCUGAUCUUCAUUUCGAUGUACCCAACACAAAUGCUACAUGGAUUUUAGUCAGCUGCACUCCCCACUACUUCUACACUUCCCCUUUUUCACACCGACGAGCAGAGACUGAUGCAAGUUGAUCGAACACAGAACAACAUAUAAUUUCCUAGAGAUGCGCUGGGCCUGAAAGGCAACAUACCUAGCAUGCGCAUAAAAUGUGAGAGUAACAAUAAAAGAACAUACCAUUUACCGAUAUGAUUAUUAUUGCUUGCCAAAAUGAUACGUUUUGAUUACUAUUGCAUGCCAAUAUUCUUAAUCACUCCAAGCAAAUUUAACCUAAACUAAAUAUCUAAGAGUAAGCUCUGGUUUAUGUAUUUUACAGAAGUUUGGUUCAGCGAAACUUCGGAAGCAAAUGUGUGAAGGUUUUAUCAUUCUAAUUAAAGGCCUUUUGAUUGUGCAAAACUUACACUACCACAUGAGUUACUGACCAACAUGAGAUGCAAAGUAACAACAGCAUGAUAAUUUUUUUUGAAGGCAGUCAUAUUCUAAAGCAUUAAAAGAUGAAUUCCAAUGCUUUGAUUCUGUAAAGAAUUAGAUCGAUCACUCAACAGUUCUAUUGGCGCCACUAAAAUUCUGAGUGCAAUGUUGUGUAUGUAGCUAAAAUUCACCCAUCAAAGACAACCUUAAUAAUAAGCAAUGGUCAAAACAAGCAAUUGUUGAAGUUAAAUGUAAUUAGAUAGGAAGUCACAUUUGAUUCAUGACCAUCGAGCUGAAAAUGAGACCGAUAAAAGCUGAUUCACCAUGAAGAGAAACAACUAAUGUGAACCUCGGGUUGUAAAACAAAUAGGAUGAGUCGUGUGCUGAUUGCAAAAAAUUGUACUUCUAACCAAAUGACCAUGCUUCAUGAAUAGAUGACAAUAUAGUAACACGAAAGUGAAGUACGGUGAAAUUUUGUAAGCUACUAAGGGCAUAGGGCAAAGCUCACACUCCAGCUUGCACUCCUUGAAGAAAUCAACCAAAAGCACCCAGAAAGAUAAAUGGCAUUGUGGCAUCCGAUGAAUGUUGAUAACUGUACCAUCACACUAAUUUAAUCUACAAAAUUCAUGUCAACAUCACUAAUCAUGAUGUAUCAGGUUAGGAUAAAAUCAUUGUUUUUUCCCAAAAUAAAAUAAAACAAGCCCAGUUAGAAAGAAAUCAUAAGCCUAUCAGACAAUCAGGCAAUUCUGUUAGCAUGUCAACAAUCAGACAGAACAAAACCUAUAGUCCUCAUUUUUUUCUUUCUAAAAAAAGUGUAAUGCUAGAAAAGAGAGUUAAAUAAAAUGCUACGUGAAUCAGCAUACAGAAAAUUCAUAGAAGCAAUGAAGAAAAUAUGAACAAAAUUUAUGUCGAAACACCUAUACUUUCCCCACGAGCAAAUAUGUGUAAUGUUAGAAAAGGGAGUUAAAUAAAAUGUUAGGCAAAUCCGCAUCCAGAAAAUUCAUAGAAGCAAUGAAGCAAAGAUGAGCGACAAAUUUAAUCUACACACACACACACACACACACAUUCAGGCAAACAAAUUACUUCGAUUGAAUCCAUUCCUUUGCAUAUAUGGCAUAAAUGCAUCUAAGGAAAAAAAAACUUGAUGGUGUUAGUUUACCUUGCCAAGAUCAUGAAAUCCAUCUAAAUGAAUAAGAAGCUCCAACAGUGUCCGCUGGAUCUCAUGGUCGUCAUUGGUUCCCUCACUAAAUCUUCUCGCAUCAAUUGCAUCGAUUUCAUCCAUGAAGAUAAUGCAUGGCUAGAAAUAACAACUUGAUGAAAAUGAAACAAAAUUUGCAAGCACCGUAAAUAAACUAAAUGGUGAUAUAAGCUAAAAUGAUCUCAGAAGUGCACUUUUACAUAUAUAGAGAUCAGUUUGAUUUCUUCUUCUCAGGAAAAACUGAUACUGAAAUCUAAAGCUUAAAGUUUUUCUAGUGUUGAACCAGAAUACAAUUAGAUGACAUGACAUCUGAGUCAAGGGAACUAUCAAAGUCACAGCUUGAAUCUCAACACCAGUAGAUGCAUAACCAUCUGCCAACAUACGUUUCUAACAGAUAAUAAGGGAAUUAGGUUUAAGACCAAUUGGCUUUGCAAAAAAGAAAGGCGGAGCAAAACUUACUUGGCGAUCGCGUGCAUAGCCGACCAUUUCUCUGAUUAAAAGCGCACUUUCCCCGAUAUAUUUGUCAAUUAUAGCACUUGACACAAUCUGGUUUUUAGACAACACGUCAGUGUAAUGUAAUACUCACAGAAUGAAAAUACCAACCACCAUCAAUCAAGUGAAAACCACAGCUCCAAAAAGUUAGCAUGAAUGUUACUGGAUAUAGCCCUUGAUAGUAAUGGCUUCCCUGUAGAGUAGAACGCACUUGAAAAAGUUAAAGAAACAUACACUGGCUCCCAUAUAUUGAUCUUGUAUUUGACAAGUGGCCGGGCAUCAACAUUGUGCCUGCUGGUGUACCAAUUCAGCUUGUAGCUGCCAGCUAAUCUCCUUCUGAACAGUUAUGCUGUCCUCACUCACGUGCUACGCCUAUUCAAACUUGCUUAAUUUAAUUUGUUACUACUAUGUUAAUGCUGACAUAUUAACUGGCAGACCUCAUGUACUAACAGUAAAUCCCAGCAUACUUUCUUAAUUUGCUACUAUCCGGAUUUAUUCUUUUAGCGAGAGGUCAGGUAUCACUUGGAACAACUGAGUUUCUUUUUAAUCUUUGUGGACACUACACUUGAACGCCACAACCACCUGGAUAUGUCAGGCAGGACGGGCAGCAGCGCAUCAUCAGUAAGUUUAUUUAAGAGAGUAAAAUUCAGUCGCAAUCAGUCAAUCUCAAUCAGGUUCAGAUUUGGACGCGACCUUGAAUAACGAAGCCCCAACUGGGAAGAACAAGGUUGCAAGAACAAGCAGAUUGACGAUGGGUUCAUGGAAGCUUACCAGGCAGGCAGUCCGCCCGGCGGCUUGAGCAAGCUGCUGCUGGUACCCUACGCGCAGUCGCAGUCCGCACCGGCCAGGGCACACGAGCACUGACGCGCGUGCCGCCUGCCGCUUCACCAUGCCCACGUUGUAGUCGCCACCGAUUCACGGCAGGGCAGAGGGGCCUCGACCUCGUCCUCCUCCACAUCAUCAUCGGCGAUGCCCUUCCCCUCCUGACCCCAACACCAUCAUGCCCCCGCCGACUCAUCUCCCUACAGCGACGGCGACUCCGGAGGCUCCGAGACCUGGGACACCGACAUGAGUGGCUCGUCGGCAUCGGAUCUCCUCCACCCNNNNNNNNNNNNNNNNNNNNNNNNNNNNNNNNNNNNNNNNNNNNNNNNNNNNNNNNNNNNNNNNNNNNNNNNNNNNNNNNNNNNNNNNNNNNNNNNNNNNNNNNNNNNNNNNNNNNNNNNNNNNNNNNNNNNNNNNNNNNNNNNNNNNNNNNNNNNNNNNNNNNNNNNNNNNNNNNNNNNNNNNNNNNNNNNNNNNNNNNNNNNNNNNNNNNNNNNNNNNNNNNNNNNNNNNNNNNNNNNNNNNNNNNNNNNNNNNNNNNNNNNNNNNNNNNNNNNNNNNNNNNNNNNNNNNNNNNNNNNNNNNNNNNNNNNNNNNNNNNNNNNNNNNNNNNNNNNNNNNNNNNNNNNNNNNNNNNNNNNNNNNNNNNNNNNNNNNNNNNNNNNNNNNNNNNNNNNNNNNNNNNNNNNNNNNNNNNNNNNNNNNNNNNNNNNNNNNNNNNNNNNNNNNNNNNNNNNNNNNNNNNNNNNNNNNNNNNNNNNNNNNNNNNNNNNNNNNNNNNNNNNNNNNNNNNNNNNNNNNNNNNNNNNNNNNNNNNNNNNGGAGGCUCGAGCUUGGGAAGGGGGGAGGGGAACGAAGGGGUGGGGCUCCAGGCAAUCCUCACCUCCAAAGACAACUUGACCGGCAACACGGGCAGGCUAGACCUCUUCUAUGGCGAGGCCAACUUCGGCGAGGGGACGAGGUGGUGCGGGACCUUGGAGAUAUCUCCCCCGCGCGUGGAGCUUGUCCGGCGACGCCGCUGAAGAUGCCACUGCCACGACCAGCUCGAUCCUCCUUCGCUGGACUCCGAUCUGGACGAGGACUGAGCUAGGAGGAGGGAAGCGGGAGAGGAGAAGGCGCAGGAGAAGCGGCUGAGCCGGCGGCGCAGGGACCAGGGAGAGAAGAAGGCGAACGAAGAGGGGAUUGACAGAGUGGCGAAGAAGCAUGCGGGCUAGGUUUCCUUUUCUUUUUCUCCCAGCACUGCACAGUUGCUUGUCUCGUAGCUUGCCGGCAUGGCUAUGGCGAGGGCUCGCCCUUGAUGCGUAGGUUAAUGUAUUCGACUAGCGGGGCGCCUCUUGAGAGGAAGCUGAGCGGUGCUAGGUGGGACGCGCCCCUUUCCCUUUCCUGCAUAUACUAUGUAAUGUUAUUGCAUCAGAUUUAAAGUAACAUGCUCAGCUAAGUGCAAAGUGUGAUGAAUAAGUGAAACAGAAGGAAGCUGGUACAUUGGUGUAUGCCAAAAACUGAAUAUUAUAACAUAAACACAUGAAGUCAUCGACGUCUAUGGUAUGAAAUGCACAUGCACAAAAUUAGAGUGCACAUGAAGACAGAGCACUAUAGUGUCCUGAGUUGCAAGUCUCUAAGCACUGAAAUGAUCUGCAAUCAUAUGUACAAAGUAACCGAAUAAGAACAAGAAAUUUAGAGUAAAUGAGCUGUAAAAUUGUAAGUAAUGAGCAUUGGAAUUAAGGCAGAGUCAGUGACAGUUGGGUGCACUUGACAGGAAAAUCGGCGAGGCAUAAUAUGAAAUUAGAGUAAAUGAGUGCGUGCACUUCUCUUGGUGGCACCUAAAUGAAAAAAGAAACUAUUCACCUCUCGAUAUAUUCCCUAAGACCAUAUAAAAUCAGGAAGGUACUGAAGAGAGAUGCUCAAAUUCGAAGUUGCCAUGUCUAGGAAUGCUUGAAGCUUCAAAGAUUUCCUAUAAUACAGCAUGCCUCUAACUAUUCACAAUAAGAAAAACAUGUAAAUGCGGAAUCAACCAAAUGAUGGUAAAUUGUAGUUGAUUUUGGCCAAGCAAACGUCAGAUGAAAGAAACAUACAUGAGUGAACAUCACGAUUGGAUGUUUUAUUCAAAUUUAACAGGUUAAACUCACCAAAUACAUCUGGAUAUUUAGUGUUAAACUUCAACAGAUGGUCAGUUGUAGCUAGAUUCACACCACUGAAGCAAAAUUCCAUCUGCCACGGUUACAUCACACCAUCUUUUCAUCGUUACUAUUUAAAUUCCAAAAGCCUGCAACUCAUUUUUUUUGUUACGAUGUAUGCAUGAUUUUUAACUCAAGAGGAAGAGGGGAAACUAAAUCCAAGAAAAGAACACCAAGGAAGCAUCCAAAAUAGAGAAAGGAAAAAUCCAAAAUAGAGGCAGAAUCGAAGGGAAGAAACCCCAUAAAAAAUAGGAGAUCAAACGGUGAAAAAAAUCUAAGAGUCAAACAAUUCCAGGUAAGACCAAAUCGACGGCAAAAUAGCACAAGAGGGACUCACAUUAACAGGUAUACCAAUUCAGAAAGAAGUGUAAAGCAAACAGUGCAAUGGACCACUAGUAUAAAUUGGAUGUACACAAACAUGGGACUUAAACAGGAACUGCGAGAUGCAGGGUUCACGUGCAAACCCAAAAAACGGAAAACUGAAACCCACAACAAGAUUUUAUCUUCAUAUAUAUAUAUAUAUAUAUAUAUAUAUAUAUAUAUAUAUAUAUAUAUAUAUAUAUAUAUAUAUAUAUAUAUAUAUAUAUAUAUNNNNNNNNNNNNNNNNNNNNNNNNNNNNNNNNNNNNNNNNNNNNNNNNNNNNNNNNNNNNNNNNNNNNNNNNNNNNNNNNNNNNNNNNNNNNNNNNNNNNNNNNNNNNNNNNNNNNNNNNNNNNNNNNNNNNNNNNNNNNNNNNNNNNNNNNNNNNNNNNNNNNNNNNNNNNNNNNNNNNNNNNNNNNNNNNNNNNNCCUAUCUAUUAGUUGCUUCUUCCGAAUCCCCACCUAUCAAGCGUUUUCUUUGAAUAAACAAACACAAUAGUAUUCUCUGAAUUAUACUGUACAGUGAUAAUUAACCAAGCGACUGGAAUUAACAAUAUUAUGAGCUAUUGGCUUUUUAGUCAGGUAAAUAUCAUUCUUAAGACUACGGAAAACAGCAGGCGGCGAAGAAAACAUCUAUUGAUGAGAACUAUACACAUACUUAAGAAGGAAGUGACAUCUAUGGUAGCAGAACAUAUAUCAAGCUGUUGCAGCUACAUUAGCAGUUUAGCACAGUCCCUCCAUAAUACACAGGCUAGUGUAAUUUCACAAAUACAAUAAGCUAACAAUAUAUAUUUGGUAGAUGGAAAUGGCUGGAUCAUGACCAAUAUACGAUUACACAUCCGAUGAUGCAAAUAAAGAAACGAGGCCCAACAAUAGUGGAAAAUAAACCACAAUAGAACAUGUAUUUGGCGAAACCUCCAUACUGCAAUAUCAAACAUGAAUUGAAAUUAACAAUCUAGCAAAAAAACAUGACAGAUGCAGUCUUGGUCAUUUUUUCUUUUGUGACAUCCCCUAAAAAAAGUAAAAAGAAUGUUGUUCGUAUUUUACCAGAGAUACACUGAGCUGGGACAAAUCGGUCUGAAAUAAAAUAUGAUGGCUUCGGAGGAUUCGGAAGGCAAGAAAUUUGCUUUCUUCCAACAUAUAUGGUCUGCUGAACUAAACUUUGUUUCAGCGAGCUUUGGCAAAAAUCUGUAACUGCAAACAUCAAACUUGUGUGCCCUUCCUACAUCAAACUUUAAACCUGACGGAUUAAAUAUUUUAGGUUAGGCUGAGAUCAGUGUACUUUAUGAGUGUUAAGUGUACUUUCUAAAUAGCAGAGAAACCAUAACAUCUAAGCACAACCCAGCAACUUGUACAAGCUAACAUCAAAUCUGAAAGAGGAAAUGUCGAGAACAGGUGAAGGUACCAUGAUCCAUGACUGAGCAAAGUUAUCUAUAAUCCUCGGUGAAUAUCAUAAAUUAGGAUCAACAAAGCUGAAGAACAAACGGGAAAGGAACCUAGAAAGAUCUUCUGCCGGUAGAAUAUAACUGAUACACUAUCCUCAUUCUCGAGAUCAAGGUCGUUUCUUGAAUUGCAGUUUCCUCACUGUAGUAUGGGGUCAUUACACUGCGAAGAACAAAGUGUCAUAUGAAUCAUUUAGAGCCCAAUCUUUUUCACUGAAACUCUUAUGAUCACAUAACGAAUUUAAACAUAAGGUUUAUUAGAUAUUUGUUGUUGUGAACUGAUAAUAUAUUUCUGGUGUUGACAAUGUUUUGAUUAUGGAUGCACUUCAAGAUGGGUGGCACAGAUUCUGUUGUACAGGCCUCCACCUGGAAUUUCAUCACUUGUUAUUUUUGUUUAGAAUGUCUAGGUGCAUUUUUCCUUUAAGGUGGAAACAGAUGUACUUGUAUAAGCAACAAGAAUACAAAGCGCCACUGCCAUACAUUGUGGAAGUUCAAUGCUUCUGUUUACAAAAUCUGCUUCCCAAAACAGAAGGAUUUAUAAUUUUUUAUUACAAUCAAGCGGACAUGAGCUGAUGAGUACAGAUGUAAACAUGUACUGAGAGCAGCACCCUUUCAAAAGUGGAUCAUUUACAAGUUGGAUAGUUUGAUGGUCUGAAAUUAGUGGUCGUGUUUCAGAAUUGUUAUCGAAUAGUAGAGGAUAUAUAUUAACUUCUGAAAUUAGUGGCUGUUUGUCAGAACUGUUAUCGAAUAACAGAGCACAUAUAUUAACUUCAAUAAGUGGAGUAAUAUCUUUGGAUUCGCUGUGAGGAAAGAUUACCAAAACAAAACAGAAGUGAGUGCGACGACCCAGAUGAGGGCGCUCUUGAGCCUCUUCCCGACCGACCUAGAUGCAGGAGCAGAACACCGCGGAUCUAAUCAGCCAACGAAUAAAGCCGAGGCAGGUAGAGGAAGUAAGGGAGGAAGAAGACUGACUUGUCCUGGUCGCCCUCGUAGUAGAAUAUGGUGAACGGGAUGACGAGGAAGACGAGGACAGCGUCGAGGAUGUAGACGACGAGCCAGAGCGUCUUCAUGGGCAGGAUAAGGGCGCAGGCCCCGUUGUAGGCGGCGUGCUUGCAGGUCUGGCGGUUGGCGACGUCAGCGGGGAGCAUGAGGAUGGAGAGGACGGCGACGGUGAUGCCGAGCACGACGACGAGCUUGGGGAAGUAGGCCUGGUUGGCAUCAUCCGGGUGCUGGUAGUUGACGAGCAUGUAGACGCUGACGAGGAGCACCAGGAUGCUGACCACCGCCGCCACGAUCACUAGCGCCACGUUAAAAACCCCAUCUCCUCGGGGCUCCGGUCCCGGUUCCGGCCCGCCGCCUCGCCCCCGUUGGUCGGUCAGAUCUCUCUGUCCCUAGAGGCGGGGGGAUACAGGCUAGGGUUUGGGCGUGGGCGGGGAAUAGGCUGCUAUGGUGUCGGCAGCGGGGCGGCCACCGGCGGGGAGGGCGGGAUCCGCGCGGGGUGGCGGGAUUUGGGCAGGCGGUGGGCUCGGGGGAGGGCGGUGGCAGCGAAGCAGCAGGGAGGGGCUGGAGGAGAUGAAACGAAAGAGGUCGCGUGACACAGCGACAGCGUCGUCCAAUCCCCUCGCUGCCGAUUUAAAAAAAGGUAAUGAUAACUCCCGAACGUUCAGGAGUUAAGCAUGGCAACCCGAACGGGUUUAGAUGGCAAGUUUAGUUUGCGUGAGAUUAGAGAAACAUGGCAAUUUUCUGACAAAAGAAAUGAAAAAGGACGAAGUUGCCAUCCCCUAUCAACUAAAGUUGCCAUCCCUAUGAACUAAAGUUGCCAUGUAAAAACGUUCGGGAUGAAAUGCUCAAAAUCCGAACGUUCGGAAGUUAUUGGAUUCAAAAAAAAUCCCCUUGCUGCCAAUCGCUGGCCCGUUUCUUUUUUCGCCCAAUCGCUAGGUGAUGACGUGGCUAUCACGGGAAGGCGCCCUUGAUGCGUAGUCGAAUGGUUUUAAUUAAUAGGAAGCGAGUGCUUACUCUAGUUACUGAAUUAUGUACACCAAAUAAAGCCAUUUACACGUAGUUAAUGACAAAAAAAGUUGAUGUUUGCUACGCAAACGUGUAGUACAAAUUAAGAAGUGCAAGAUAAAAAAAAAUGCUGGUCCUUGAUUCGUUGUUGAUCGUCAGCAUGCCAUCAUCAAUUUGUAGUUAAUUAUCAUACAAAUUGGCUCUUUCAUAGAGUUGGAGGCUAGCUCCUUUGAUCAGCACGCGCUUAAACAUAAACAGCACGUAUAUGUUUUGUCUCCGGAGUUCAAUUCUUCAUCGGCCAGCAAAAAUGGCCCGACCGGGUAGAGGAAAAGGCAUGUUUGUUAGUACGCCUGGAGGAAAUGCCUUUGAUUAGGGCAUCUUCAACAGCGACCAGUAAAUUUCCUCCCGCGUUCGUCCACGGAUAGGGGAUCAGUCCGCGGAUACGGAUACAGGAAUCAUCUAUCUAACGCUGUCCGCGUAUAUUUCAAACACAUUUUUUUUAAAAAAAUAGGAUGAAAUUCAUGCAAACACAAUGGAUUUCAUACAAACCGGACAAAAAUGUUUACAUUUUGGACAUAUUUUUUUUACUAAAAACUCUACAGCCGGCGCCGGCGAAUAUCCACUCCGGCGACAUGGAACCCUUGACUAGUCUACUGCCGGCCGCAGCGGAUCUCCAAUGUCGUCCCCAUGUCCGGCAACUAUGAGCCCUAGAGGUAUAUGCUUCAGCGCAAAGAGCGGCUCGCCUCCCUACCGCUCAUCGGAGUGGAACAACCAGCUGAUGCUUCUGCCGAUGGAAAGGGUCCCUACGCUACACGGAUUAGAGUUGGUUUUGGGCUGGGAACGGCGGUGGCCUGCCAGAGGGCAAGACACCGACUGUGUAUGCUGGUGUCACCUGGUGUGGCAUUCGUGGGACCCAAGCGGCAGCGCCUCCUCGAUGAUGGCGGCGAGCGCGGACGUGUUGGACACCACCUCGUCGAUGUCCGUGCAGCCCGCUUCUUUCUCUGUAGGAAGGACGCGGUUACGCUCGCGUUGACAUCGGAUGACUCGGUCACAUGCACGGGAGGGGCGGUACGACAUGGCACCGCCAAUGGCAGCCAUGAUGCCCGCGCCAGCGUGCUCUCUCCCAGUGCCGACCUAGAGCAACUUGCCACUCCUCUGCUCGUGAACGGUGGGCUUGACGGGCCACCUAGCCAUUUUUUAUGCCAGACAACUCUUCUUCCUGCUCGUCAGAUGUCAUGGAUAAAACUGUUUAAGGAGGAAAAUGAUGAGUAGACGUGUGAUGCGGUUCUUGCCCAACAUCUGACAUUGUUUAAAUAGCGAGGGGACACGAGAGGAGCCAACUGGCGUUCUGUUUAAUGCCAACCGGCUCGCGAACGAACAUGUGGCUGGAGUAAUUAUCCUGGCACACACGCGGGUUUAAUGGUGGAAGGUGGGCAGUCUGCAGGAAUGAGGCGAGGAUGUGUGCUUAGCCGGCGUGCAGCAGGCGGCGCCCUCGGCCGGCGUGCUGCAUCCAUUGCGGAGGCAGUGAGAGGUCGCGUCCGCUCUGCAGCGCAUGAAUGCGGGCAGCUGGCGCAGAGCGGGAACGCGUGCGGGCGAGGGAGGAGGGGGUUUGGGCGGGUGGUCAGAAGAGGUCGUGGGUGUUGUCCGAACGCCUGCAAAGCCCCCCUCCAUGUUUGUCUCCAGUUUGCGGGAGAAAGUAUGUCCGAACCGUCUCCAAUGGACCAAUACAGGCCCGCAUUGGAUGGCACAACACGUCCGGACCAUGUGGUCCGGAUGGUUGUGGACAGUUUAAUUGAGGGUCGGCGUUGGAGAUACCUUAGAGUUUAUGAAUCCAUUGUGUUUUUCUAAUCAUAAAAAAGCACUUACAAUAAGUUAUAAGGAAAGACACGUUUAUAUGUUAGGUUCAGACUCCAGCUUUCGUUUUACAUAUGCUUUAUUCAUCCGACUGAUUCCAAUAGAGUGAGCCUAGCGUUGUUUUUCUGGAAACUCGCGGGAUAAGGAGACAUGCAUACACAUUCUUUCAAGCAAAUCACAUCCAUCCUUUUUAACUCAUUUUUCUUCUUUUAAUAAUAUAAUAGAUCAUUUAUAUUUUUAUCUGAAACAGUUGACGUGUAAUUUAUAUUGUAAUCUGAGGAUAAUGUUUGGAUUUUACUUUCAAAUAUAUUUGAAAUGGCCAUGAUGGAAUCACAUCCAUUUAUUUUAUUAUUAUUUGAAUUUGAUCCAAAAGAUAAAUAAUGAGUAGAGGUCAUGUCAACUUUUCUGAGAACUUUGCUAAUCAAAAUAUAAUUGUAUUUAAAAACAUCUAUUUUUUAGCACGCAUGAAAAAGAUAACACGUAUCUUUUCACACAUAAUGAACGGUUGUCAUAAGAACUCAUGCCAUGCCACAACCUCCCUCCGACCCUGCCAACAUUGUUGCAGCUGCACUCGCAAGCCUUAGCGUAGAUGAUAAUUUAUACAAUUUGCGUAAAACAAAAUAAGAUCUACAAAUGAAUAGAAGCUAGAACGUACAUUGGCAUGCACACACAUUGCAAGCCAUACUAAGCUGAUAAGUGUUAAUAACUUGUACAACAUAUACAACACUUAAGACAAGUAAAAGCAAUUUGAUGAGUCAUGGUCUAUCAAAGCCACAUUACUAGUCUAAUCCAUCUUAACAGGUCACACAUGAUUAAAAUCUUGUUUGUGUGCAAGUCAAGCUUAUCUAGUUUACAUGUAACAACUUGUAGAACAUUACAAAAUUUAUGUUUGCUAAUAACUUCUAGAACACUACAACACUUGACAUGUAAAAGGAAUUUGAUGAGUUAGCGUACUAAAGCAAGUUAUAUUACUAGUCUUAUCUACCUUAACAGGCCACACAAGAUUACAAACCAAGUUCUGUGCCAGCCAUGCUUAUCUAGAUUAUGCGUAACAAUUUGCAGAAAAUUACAAACUUAGUUUCAGAAAAAUAGGCAAUCUAGAUUAGUGUUUGAGCUGUAAAGUGAGUAAAAUGAGUCAUGCGUGUUAUCACACCUUUUUGGUUGUGGAAUGAUAGUGCAACAACAAGGAACUUUAAUGACCAGUUCAAGAAUACACUUGUAAGUAGUGCCACCGAACACAACAUACCAAAUUAUGAUUUUGAGAAGCAUCCAAGCACUUCCACACAAGCAAAUGCCAAUUGUGAAAGAGAUCAUGCCAUGGCAGCUAUAAAUAGGCCCGUAGCAUGACGAUCAUCCUUCCUCAUCCAUCAUUCUCAUAAGUAGAGCGCAUCAUUUAAGCCAAGCAAGCAGUGCUCAAUACAAAUCCACCAUGAAGACCUUUCUCAUCCUUGCCCUCCUUGCUAUUGUAGCAACCACCGCCACAAUUGCAGUUAGAGUUCCAGUGCCACAAUUGCAGCCACAAAAUCCAUCUCAGCAACAACCACAAGAGCAAGUUCCAUUGGUACAACAACAACAAUUUCCAGGGCAGCAACAACCAUUUCCACCACAACAGCCAUAUCCGCAGCCGCAACCAUUUCCAUCACAACAACCAUAUCUGCAGCUGCAACCAUUUCCGCAGCCGCAACUACCAUAUCCGCAGCCGCAACUACCAUAUCCGCAGCCGCAACCAUUUCGACCACAACAACCAUAUCCACAACCGCAACCACAGUAUUCGCAACCACAACAACCAAUUUCGCAGCAGCAGCAGCAGCAGCAACAACAACAACAACAAAAACAACAACAACAACAACAACAACAGAUCCUUCAACAAAUUUUGCAACAACAACUGAUUCCAUGCAGGGAUGUUGUAUUGCAACAACACAGCAUAGCGUAUGGAAGCUCACAAGUUUUGCAACAAAGUACUUACCAGCUGGUGCAACAAUUGUGUUGUCAGCAGCUGUGGCAGAUCCCCGAGCAGUCGCGGUGCCAAGCCAUCCACAAUGUUGUUCAUGCUAUUAUUCUGCAUCAACAGCAACAACAACAACAACAACAACAACAACCGUUGAGCCAGGUCUCCUUCCAACAGCCUCAACAACAAUAACCAUCAGGCCAGGGCUCCUUCCAGCCAUCUCAGCAAAACCCACAGGCCCAGGGCUCUGUCCAGCCUCAACAACUGCCCCAGUUUGAGGAAAUAAGGAACCUAGCGCUAGAGACGCUACCUGCAAUGUGCAAUGUCUAUAUCCCUCCAUAUUGCACCAUUGCUCCAGUUGGCAUCUUCGGUACUAACUGAGAAGAGAAGAACUCUAGUAGUAGAUAUAUGAUACACCGUUUUCUUAGUCCAUGGUUUGGUCGUUGUAGCGGUGAAAAAAUAAAGUGACAUGCACUAUCAUGUAAGAACCCGAACUAUACUAGUUCAAACAUGGGAAUAAAAGACAAACACAUGUCUUGUCUACAUAUGAUUGUUUGUUUGAGUUCCACUCAUGUGCCCACUCACAAGUUCACCCCUAAUUAUAUAUAUUAUGCAUUAAGUAGAUAUUUAUGUUGCAUUAAUCUAAAGAUAACAAAAUGAGUCUGAAAUUUGAAUUAAAUUGAAGUAUUUCCUUGGACUUUCAAAUGGAGUAUUAUUAAAGUAGUAAGGACUAUCCACAUCCUUGGCUUGCCCUUGAUCAAUUAUUUCCAGAGAAGCAUUCAAUUCAUUAAUCAAUUACAUUGAUUUUUGUGGCUGAUACUUUUCCUCAACAUGAGUAUAUUCAUCGCGGCUACUCCAAAUAGGCAUGAAUGAGGUACCGGUGCUCUGGAGCACUGGUACCUAACUGCUUCUCAUGUGAAGGGGUGGGGGUGCGGGAGAGGUGUUUUUGGUGGGCCAGGGGAGUAAGAAGCGGCCGUGGCAGCGGUCCAGACACCCACAAAGCCCCGUAGUUUGUUUUUGGUUUACAGGAAAAUGCACAUCCAGACCGGCCUGCGGGCCGAUAUAGGACCGUAUUGAAUGGCAAAACAUGUCCGGAUGGUUGCGAGCGGUUUAAGGGUUAGCUUUUGUAACGGCCGGUUAGUUAUGCUAUGGUAAUUCCCUGCUAAUGAUGUCACGUCAGCACGAUUACUGUUGUUAACCUCACAAUGAUUCAAUCCCAUUCAAAUUCAAAUUUAAAAUAAAGGCAAACAUCAAAAGUUUCAAACAUUAAAACUAAAAUCUUCGAGAGGUGAAAAAUAAUGCAUAAGUAAUUAUGGUGGAGAAACCACACUUUUAUAAAAUGUUUAAAUACUCUAAAAAUAAUAAAACAGUGGCUUAAACUAUUAUUUAAAUGCUUUUAAAAUAGUAAAAAUGUUCUAACUAAAUUAAUUGGGUACCAAACUUUUGGUGGCAGUGGUAUAUUUAGUAGAACUAAUUUAGAUGCUAAUAAAACAUAAAAGGAAAGACAAAACAAAUAAAAGUAAAAGGGGGCAACCCCUCGCUGGGCCUCGGCCAAGCUGGCCACUGGGCUAGCUAGGUUGGCCCAACCGCCUCCCUUAACCCCCCACUCCCCAUCGAACCCUAGACCGAUCGCCCCACUUCCCCACACCCCCUCGUCAGCCUCCCCACCUCUCGAUCCCAUCUGGAUCGGGGAGGGGAUCGCCCCCAUCGACCCCGUCGCGGUCGCUGGAUCGCCCGCUCGCCCAUCGCCCGCCGGCGUCGCCGGACCUCCUCCCCGUCGCACGUCUCCGGCUCUCCUCCCCUCUCGCUCCUCUUCCCCGACCCGAUCUGGAUCGGGAAGGGCCAAUGAGCCCAACGCCCCCCUCCAUCGACGCUGUGCUCCAGCACCGCCGCCCGAAGACCUCGCCAUCGCCGGACCUCGCGUCGCCUCCUCGUAUCCCUCCCCGACUCGCCUCCUCAAGCCACGCCGACCCCCUUCUCGGCAACGCUGUGAGCCGCCUCCGUUUCCCUCCUUCUCUUUCCACCGUGUUCACCGCGCCGCCUGCCGUGCCCCUCGCCGCGCGCACGCCCACCACCGCGCCAGCCCCCGCUCCGCGCCCUCUCCUGCACGCUUGUGCGCGCAUGACCCUAGCCGCGCCCACGCCGUGAUCCCCUUGUCCCGCCCGCCUUCGUCCCGCGCUCGCCGCGGCCCCCAUGCUCCCCUGCGCCCUCUUUUGGGGUCGUCGGCUGCCCCUGUCCCGCAGCUCGCUGGCAUGCGUCCCCGCCCGCGCCUCGCCACUGCUCUACUGCUACGCUACUAUUGCGCUGUGGCCGCCGCCGCUUCCCGCUGCUCUGCCAGCGCCAAAGGUCCCGGUUGGCCCUGCCGCUGCUCGCGUUUAACCGCCGGCCUAAGCGGCCUAACCUCCCCCCUCACUAAUGAACCCCCACCGACCGGCUGACACCGGGACCCACAUCCCCUAAUUAACCAUUUAAUAAAUUAAAACUCUUAAAUUAACAUUAGUGUAUGACAUGUGGGUCCCCUAUUAAUUAAACUGAUUUAAUUAAAAUCUAUUAACUUUGAGUCUAUGACAUAUGGGCCCCACUAAACAUUUGACCAAUCAACGGUCCAGUCAAAUGCUGACCGGACAGUUGACCAGAGGGCCCCGCCAGUCAGCCAAUGUGCUGUUCUGCUGGGUACCUUUCUAAGUACACCUAGCAUUUUGCAUUUACAAUAUUUGUUUUAAAAUAAAUUAGAAUAAUUUCAAAAAAAAUUAAAACUUUUAAAAUUAAAAUAAAAUAAUCCGUAACUCGGAUGAAAUUACUUUAUACAUGGAAGUUGCUCAAAAAACGAGAUGAAUCCGAAUACACAGUCCGUUCGUCUGCCACGCGUCCCUAGCAUAGCGAACAUGCAACCAUCCCCCUCCGGUUCGACUGUUCGAAAAAUUAUUAUUGCACAUGCCCGCUAAGAGGCUGGCUGUAUAUGACAUGACAACUUCUUAUAGCCGACCCUUGGCUGUAUUAUUAACCAUGCUCUUAGUGAGGUAGCUAGUAUAUCAUAGACGACUAGCUAGUAUCAGACUAGCCAAAGUGGGAGUAACUUCAGCAGUAACAUCGACUCCAACUCAGCAAACUUGCUUAUGUGGGAGUAAACCGUGCACAAUGCAAAAUACAAUCCCAGUCGUAAUUUUUUCAGGAAAUGUGUGGGAUCCCAAACGAAAAGCACACGUCACUCUUGCGGCAACUGUUGGUGACACCCAAUAAAUCACAAACGGUCUGCAGUAGCUGUAUGUGUGCAAAGGGGCUCCUGAACCGUUUGUGAUAGAACAUUAUCGCAGACGGUAAUUGUUGGCAAACGUGUGCGAUGGAGUCUAGCAUGGCAGACGG